CAUUCUCUCCUUUCUUUUUCAUUUCUUGCCACGAAAAUCUCGCCGUUCUCUUCGAUAAUUUAAAAACAACUCUUCUGUCUCUCAUUUUCUGACUCUUUUGUCCCCAGCAAUUAGCGUUCCAAAAUCCAACUAAUUAAUUAAACAAAUCUGUUGCAACCUUCGAAUAGAAAAGAGAGAAAAAAAAAAAAACAGUAAUGGAAUUUUGAAGCGCAUGCUUGCAACUUUCUCUCUCAUUUUUACGAUAAAAUCUUCAAGCGAGAGAAAGUGCACGAUACAAGGAAAAAAAAAUGGUUUUGUGUUAUGUUAGACACGUGGCGGUUUAGUAAUGGAUGAAGAAAUGGAGGAGCUCGUGUUGACGGCGGAGCCGAUCGUGGCGGAAGAAUUUGAAGUUGAUUUUGAUUACGAGUUUGACGCACCUCAAUAUCACGAUUUUACCCUUCCGGAAACGCCGGCUAAGGCUAGAGAAAACGAGCUCUGGUUUGAUUCCGCUGCAAGCUAUCCACCUUCGCGUAAGCAAAACACAGCAAAAGCAUUCGAAAUUUAUCGUUUCAUUUUUGCUGAUUCGUUUGUUAUUUAGAUUAUUUCAUUUUCUGAAUGGCGUUUAUUUCAGCCUUUAUUUUGAAGUUCAACUGGAGAUAUGAUUUCCCUGCGGAUACUGCAAGCGUUUCUUGCGAUUCCAGAGGAGGAAGCAUGAGUUCUAUUGGUAAUGUCUCAUAUUUUGAGACCGAUUCCGAAGCUUUCGACAUUUAUCAAAUUAAUAGAGGUAUUUUUUAUUUUAUUUUUUUAAUCAAUGAGGUACAUUUACAAAGAUGACGCUUUUUUAUUGCUUAUUUUUAUAAUGUAAAAGGAUAUGGUUGUGCAAUUAUGAUAUUUAAAAUUUCUAUGUGGCAGCAUGUGACUGAUAAUAGUUUAUUAAGGAUUGUCCCAUCGUUUUUUUUUUUAAAGCAAAUUAUUUAACAGCCUUAUUCACAUGUAUAUAUGCAUCUUCUAAACCUGAGUCACAAUAAACAAAAUGAUCUGAUUUUUACCUAAUAUAAGCGAUAGCCAGUGUUGUAGACUUCGUAGUGUUCGUCAAUAUCUGUUUUCUUUGUACAUUUUAUUCUAGGGCCAGAAUUUUGUGGUGACAUGGAUCAAGAUGUUUCAAAAUCCAAAACCAAGUCUUUUGCGAAGUCAUCUAUACAGAGGAGUUCGACUUUGAUGAAACCCACGGCAAGUUAUUUGGCCAAAUACAAUCAACUUCAAGAAUUUCAUUUCAACCAUUUUUUGAGGUAGUGUUGAUUAUUUUUUAAGUAGUACCUUUUGUGUGAUGACACUAGCAGAUUUCGCAUGAAGAUUAAAGAAAUAAAAAAAAUAAAAAGCAGUUAUUAUCAUUUUUUUUUUGGUACUAGUACAGAGCUGUGAAGUAUUGAUUGUUUUAAUCUUACAAAGAAAAGUUGCUAAGUUCUCUAUAUGUAUAUGCAGUAUAUUCACAUUUGACAGGUUUUAUAGUUUUGAAAGUUUUUUGGUAAUUUGAUUUCUUUAUUUAGUUUGGCUUUGUUUCCUUAUCUCUAAGGUUAUGCUGAACAUCUUUAGGUCUCAAAAGAUAGUCAAAUCUGACAAGAGUUCACUGAAUUCGUCUACAAUUGAAAACCUCGCUACCAAAAGACAGAAGCUGGAAGCUGGUUUCUUACCGAAGGUGCACUAAUUUAGGUCUUCAAUUUAUUAGUAUUCUUCGAUGGAUUAUUGACAAAAGUUUAAUAUCUUGAACAAUGAGUUUGAGCUUAUAAAAUGGUGAAUUAGACUUCCUUUGAAACUGACAGAUAAUAUGCUGAGACAUCAAGUUGACUGAAACUAUGAUUUAGGCCUGUAAUUGGUAUAUAUUGGUUCAAAUGCCUGCUUAAGAUUUCAUGAAAGAUUCAAAAGGAGAACGCUAUGCCUAGUAAGAUUUUAAGAGUUGGGAUUUCAAGAACUUUAUUUACUCUACUAUAUUUCAGCAAAUUAGAUAUAUUUAAGAAACCUAAGACCACUUCUUGUUAUGGUUUUGGUUUGGCUUUAGUAUGAUUACAUACUUGUAAUACGUUGCUGUACUCGUACCAUUCUCUAGAGAUGCUGGCUUUGUUCACUUUCUUUGUAGACUCUUGCUUUUUAAGAUCUAUAGGUUCAUGCAAGUUCUCAUAUAGAUUGCUGGUUCUUUUACUGCUGUUUUACUUGAAAACAAUAACUUUUAUGUAGUUUGUUGUCAAGUCAGACCGAAGUUUUUAAAAGUGUUUCUGCAUUUGCAAAGCAGGUUUCUCAUCUAAAGCAUCAAACUCAUUUUCUACACAAAGUUCCAGUAAAGGUAAUAUGUACUAUUUAGAAAGUGGAUGUCACAUAAAUAUCGUAGUUAGGUGCAGAAUUUUUCUUUUCGUUAAAAGUAUAAAUUUUUAAACUACUUGAUGUUGCAGGUUGGGCUCCUUGAAAUAAACUCGGUGAAUUGUAGAUCUAAAGUUACUAUUCCUAGAGAACCUAAUCUGGAAACAGCACAUAGGGCUCAAAAACAUAGGUAAUAUUCACUUCCUCUCCUUUUUAUGUUGACAUUUGUUGUCAUACAUCUGUAAGGUUACCAGGCUUUGCCUCUUGUGCAAUUGUUUAUGUCGUAUUUUCUGGAUUUCAGGGCUAAGGCUAAGGUUGAUGCAGAGUCAGAUGAACAUGCAAAAUCAAAUGCAUGCAACUUUAAAGCACGCCCAUUGAACAGAAAAGUACAUACUUUCAAUAAAUAAGAUCCAAGUUUUAUUGAAUUUCAUAGGAACCAUGAACUUCAAAAGAAAUUGCCCUUAUAUUUAAGUUAGUAUAUGUUAUCUUUUUCAAUAACUUUUUCGGGCUUGGCAGAUUCUUGAAGCUCCUUUACCACAUCCCCCCAAAAAGAGCACGCCACAGCCUACUGAGUUUCAAGUAAUUCUUAACAUGUUUGAAUCUUCUUGUUCAUCUUGUGAUAUGAGCAUUUUCUUGGACGGAUUUAGUGAGAUAAGCUUGCUGCAUAUCUUAGGUUUAACACAAAUUGCCUUCACUGCUGUGCAGGAGUUUCAACUGCGAACAUCCGAGAGGGCUAGACAACACGCAUGUAAUAAUGUAGGUUAUGAAAAGUUUACUUUACAGAUUGUCAUAUUGUUAAUAUCAUGCACAGUUUUAGUAAUAAACAUUGCAAUUUCUUACUUGUGCCCAUGCUAAUAUAAUAGUAGGAAUAGAAUGUGCCUUGAUGGUGGAAAGCUAAUGCUCUCCUCAUUGCAGGUGGCAACCAUGCAUAACCACAAUGCUAUCUCCCAAAAUGAAACUAAAGACUCCAGAAGGUAAUGAUGUCUUGAGUUUUUCUCAUACCAUCGAAGUUAAACAUUGAAAGAUUCCUUUUUACCAAUUAAUACUCUCAUGUUGCUAGAGCAUUCUGCAUUGCUCAUGGUUUUUAGCUUGAUCUUACUUGGUAUAUUGGUCUAGGACUUUUAACUUCCUUUUGCUCAUGUGAUAUGCAAUCGCACAAUUGUUUUUUAACUUCUCCAUCUUUAUCAGGACAUUAAAUUUUCAUUUUAUCUUUUUCACAAAUGCAAGGGGGGAGCCUCAACUUUCAUAUAUUUUAAGUAGUUUUCAUCAUUACCAUUUCUUGUAAUCUUUGAUAUACUGACCUAUAAUUAAUGAAUUUACAUUCUGUUGAAUAUGAUUACUUUCUAACGUGGUUAUUCUCGUUGAACAGGCCAAACUCUGUUGAUGCCCUAAAGGAGGAGAAAUGUGAAGGAGUUAAAAAAAUUAAAGCAAACCCUCUCAAUAAGAAGGUGCUGUUAAUAUUAUGUUUGGACCUUAUAAUUGAGAUUGUUUUUGCACAGAUUCUCAGUGUGUGGCCACAUUAUUUCCUUGACACAGAUUUCUUCUGGUAAAGGAGAUCCCGGCGUCUUUCGAAAUAUCAGACAAGAUACUGCUGCCUCAAUGGUAGUUUACAAUGGUUCCUUUAUUCUCAGUUUGGAUAUGUUACUCAUUGCCUUGCAGGAAAAUUUUUCUCUGUUAACCCAUGCUUGUAUUUCCUGCCAGGAUAACAAUUUUCCAAUGAAUAAGGGGUCUUUGAAUGAGCCACCAAUUGACCUAUUUAGAAAGGUAAGAUGCGAUCUAGUUCUUCUGUACUUGUUGGUAAUGAGUCUAAAAUUGGAGCUCACCGGUGAUUUCUCAUUUUCUUACUUAAGUUUGGAUAUAUUUUUCACAAUCCUCUUCAUGACUUGGUAUGCAGCUCUCCUUGGCAUCUGAAGUCCAUAACAACUUAAAAUCUCAGUCAAAAAUGCCUUUGGUUUCUAAGGUUAGUGUAAACGAUAAUUUUAGCUUUGAAUCUUUUAAUGAAAGUUUGUAUCUUUUUUUUUUAAUUAAUAUACUAGUGCUUUCAUUGAUUGAAUAAGGAAUCAAAAGAGAAUGCACCACAAUCAUUCCUUCUUGAACAUGAGGUAUACUACUAUGUUCCAUAUAUCUAUUGAUAUAAUAUGUAAAACAAUUCCUAGUCAAUUACUGCAAAAACUUGCAUCCUAAAUAAAUCUAGUAUUAUGGUUCAGGUUUUGAUUUGUUGUUAGUCCUCUUACCACGAUAAUCGCAGUCUCAUAACAUCCAAUUUUGCAGAUGAAGGUGUUCAAAGAGAAAUCUCAGAAGUUUGGUAGGAAUCAGUAUCAGUGUGGGAGUGAAUCAAGUGAAAGUAGGAUUACCGAAGGUGGAUCACGGUUCAACUUCAACAGGUAUCACUAUUUCUGAAUUUAUUUGAUGCGAAAUGCCAACUGAUCCUUUUCUCCAAAUUCUGACUUUUCUUUUAGCUUUAGAACUUGACUAAGAAAAUUAUCAGGUACAACAAUUUUUAUAUUUAUACUGCAAUAAGCUGCUGAUUCCAUCUCCACAAUUUCCUGUUAAAAGUUAAAACUUCGACACAAUAUAUUUGUAUACAUUUCAUUGAGACAGAAUAUUUUCGAUGAUUCUUGUCACAGGAAUUUGGAUAUACGCUGAGAACAGAGCCGAAAAGCUUUCAUUUUUUGAAAUGAGACAAGUUUUUCGAAUGAAGCUAGUCUUAAAUCUACAAUCUAAUGCGAAAAGAAAAUUUUGUUUUAUAUCAAUAAUGUAAAGGAAAUAAAAAAAAUUUUGGAGAGCAGCAAUGUACAUAAGUAUAAAUUAUAGUUGGCAUGUUUCUUCUGUUUCUUGUAUAUACCAGGGAAAUUGUAUUUGUGGUUCAGGUUAAGCGAAAAGUGUUGAUUCAGUUUUUACCUUCUUGUUCUUUGUUGAAGGAUUUCAUUUUAUGUCUGAUGGUUCCUGUUUCAGCGAUCUGUUUCUACAAUUCUCACACGUGUCACGUUUCCAUGUGAGGUUACACAAUGUUGUUGGCACAAUAUCAUUUUGCAUCAAAACGUCGUAUAAGUUGGUGACCGUAAUAAUGGAGGAAAAUAAAAAGGAAAGUGAAAAGCGACUAGUAUGGUAGAGAUUGAGUAUUUUUUUUUUUUAAAUAUAUAAGGAGGUGGAGAUAAAUGAAUCUCAUCAUUUUAUGGUAAAAAAAAUGUAACUUUUCUCCUUAAAAUUGGAGUAGUUGGCAUAUGCUCCACAUAUACUAAUUGCAAAAGCAUUUUCAAAUUAUUAUUUAAUAAGUUCACACCAGACAUAAAACAAUCCAAGAAAGCUAUUUUACCAUUUUGAGGGGUUUUUAGUUCGGUUCCGUACGCAAAAAUAAACCAAACCAAAAUCGUUUUGGUUUGCUCUCGUUUUUCAUUCAAUUGAUUAAAUAGAUCGAUUUUUUUUUUUCUUAAUUUGAAAAGCAAACUGAGCUAUUAGUUCGGCUUAAUAUUUGGGGGGGGUCGUUGUUUUUUGGCCCAGUCCUAGCCAUGAGGGUAAACAUUUUUUAGGUAAAGCUUAUAUAAAGAUUAAAAAUAGGUAAAAAAAAAUUAGUUAGAUUAUGAGGGUUCACUUAAUCUGAUAGUCAUUUAUUUAAGAAUUUGCUUUCUCAAAUCUAGAUUUUUAAAUGAAAAUUUCAUGUGGAUUUGUUGCUGCACUGUAUGAUGUUAUAGUAUUUUGGUUCGAUUAACUAUUAUAUUAUACGGUGUAAUAAUAAAUUCAUAUGAAAUUUGCAUUUAAGCAUCGAGACCUAAGAAAUUAUACAUAGAGAGAGAGAGAGAGAGAGAAUUUCUAAUAAGGAUAAUAAGAUAUCCUUAUUUUAAUAAAAAAAAUUGCUACUAAAAUACAAAAAAUAAUAUAGUAACUAAUGUAUUGAAAUUUAGUUUUCUUGUAUUUUUGUGGUAUUCUCGUUUUAUUAAAAUGAGGAUGUUUUCAUUAAAUAAUAAUAAUAAUAUAGUCAUUUUUUUAGCACGAGUGCUUGUAUUAUUUAAGAUUUGGGAUUUCACAGCUGUGUCAAAUAUUUUUAUACUAUUGUAAAAUAAUUUUUGAUGCUAUUGUAAAAUCUCAAAUCCGUAUUAUAAAUAUGCAUUGUUAUAUACUACAAUGCGAGCGUGUGUAUUUCUUGUGUUUUAAUAAUAUAUCUUCUUACUAUAACGACUUAAGGGAUUGUGUGUGUAUAAUUUUCUUAUUGGCAAUUCGAAUAGCAAAACCGAUCAGUUUUUGAAUUAAAAAAAUAUAAAUGCCCAAAUCUCUGCCAUUGUCCAAAAGAAACCCAAGCUCCUAGCUAGCCUGCCACCAAUCGUCAUCGGUCAUCGCUCAACUCCAUCGCGCGCCAGUAGCAUCAAUAGCGCCGCCCCAUUUUUGCAUAUUAAUAACACCUGUGGUUGAAUAAAUUUUCCAAACCAUGGAUUCGAACACAACAAGCUUGACUUGGACGACCAAAAUAGCAAUGUAGUUGCCUUCUUUAAAGUUUUGGCGGAAAAACAGAUGACAUGUCGUAUAUUACAAAAUAACCAGAUGACAUUUUGUAAAAAAAAAUGCAUGCGCCGGCGGCAUCCUGUACGACAUGUCGUAUCUGUAUAAAAAAAUUUUAACUUGUUUGGAAAUCAAAAUUUCAAUUGAAUAUGCUAGAAGACAAUAUAAUAUUGGGAAAAUUUCAAAUCAUUUCAUAUAAGUCAAGAAAUUAAAUAUAUAUUUACACACGUUAAUCAGUAGCAUAUGUGGUGGAACCACAAAUACUACACACAGGUAGGCGGCUGAAUAAAUUAAUAGCAAGUGAGUUUACAUAUGUUUAUUUGUUGCGUUUGUUAAGAUCUGAGUACUUAAAAUAUUACUACGAAGCACACAAUUCUAAUAUUUGAAAUUAGCCCUUUCAUCAGUGAGAUAAAUGAAGAGAUGAUGGACAAAUUGAAAUUUGUAAAGCUAACAUAUUCUGUCCAUAAAUUCAUGGUAACAUAAUUCACCUCACUAAAAACUUAAACGUAAUAUCCGAAUACGAGUUAGUAAUGCUAGAGAACUUGGCCUGUAACCCACAAGCAUUCAUAAGCAACCAUUCAACAAAAGAUUUUUAGUACUUCAAACUAAAUUCCUAAGCUAGUCAGUCCAGAAUGUACAAAAAUUAGUGAUAAGCACAAUUAUACAUCUUCUCUCUUCAAGGAACAACAUCAGAGACUAAUUUUAUCCUUCAAGUUCCUGGCUGUUAAUUCAAAACACAAAAGGAGACUAGCAAUUUAAAGGGUGUUCUUAGAUAUAACUUCUCCAAACCUAACAAACCACCGAGCAUCAGACGAAUUGUCGUCGUGCUCAACACGCUGCUGCCGUUCUCUGUUGACCACAAAUUUGGUGUAAUAGUCGAUUGGUUUUGGAGCGGCCAGAGAAAGUUUUGCGGGUGGAGCUGGAAGAAGGGAAACCAGAACUCUGGCUACUUCCUGCAUGGUUGGUCUUUCUGAAGGGUAGCGCUUUGUGCAGAGCAGAGCAAGCUGGAAGGUCUUUCUCACAGCGCUUAAAUCCACGCAUGUCACUGAAACCUCUGGGUCAACAGCCUCCAUCACUGUGUUGUCAUCAGCCUUGGACAUUAUCUGAAAACACAAAAUACACAUGCAGACCGUUCAACUCAAGAGUUAAGUUGCUUAAUAGCAUACUUAAUGUAAAACAAAUGCUUAAAUUUAGUGACAGUUUAAUGUCCCACACAGCAACCCAGGAUUUUCCACUUUGACAACAUAUUUUAACUCACAGGAUCAAUGAAAAUUAGACCUUAUAAUUCAGGGCAUUAGAUGCAUACCAGUUGAUGCAAGUUAGACUCGUUAUCCACAGCCUUCUUCCCAGUCAGAAUUUCAAGAAGUACAAUACCAAAGCUAUAAACAUCUGAUUUUUCAUUGAGACGAGAGGUAUGGGCAUACUCAGGAUCAAUGUAACCAAUUGUUCCUAGAACAAAAGUUGAGGCAUGAGGCAUUGCAGUCGGUAUGCAUCUUGCAAUCCCAAAGUCAGAGAGAUGAGCGUCAAAAUUCUCAUCUAUCAGGAUAUUUGAUGAUUUUACAUCCCUGUGAAUGAUCCGGGGGUUGCAAUCAUGAUGAAGAUAAGCAAGUCCUUGUGCAGCUCCAACUGCAAUCUUCAGGCGAGUUUCCCAGUCAAGUUUUACUUUCUUGGAUGGUCCUGUAAUGCAACACUUGUCUUCUUCAGAAACAAAAAAAAAUAUAUAUAUAUAUAUAAAUACACAUAUAUAGUAAGAUAAAUAAUUCCCCAAGUAAAUAUUCAAUAUAGGAAAAAUGAGCAUAUCAUCAACUUUCAUCUAGUAAUAACAACUAUAUGGUACAGGCAAGAUAACUGACCAUGAAGGAGAUCCCACAGAGAACCAUUCACCAUGUAGUCAUAGAACAGGAGAUUUCCAUAUGGAGACAAAGCAUAACCAUGCAAGCUCACAAUAUUUCUGUGUCUAAUGCUGCCAAUGGUUUCAAGUUCAGUCUCAAACUCUCUCAAGUUGUGAGGAUACUGAUUGUAAAGUUUCUUAACUGCUAUUGGUCGGGAAUUCUUCAGUGCACAUUUGUAAACAGUACUAGAUGCACCAUAGCCAACGAUAUACUUCUCACUCAAAUUCUCAGUGCUUCUCAUUAUAUCAUCAAAGGUGUGAAUAGCCAUAUCCAUGUGCAGAAUCACAAGCUUGGGUGGUCCUGGGUAGAAAGGAAACCAACCUUGAAGAUUUGAAGAUACAAAUGUUGCAAGUAAAUACUAAAGCAAAGACAUACCUAGCAUAGAUUUUCUGGAACCAGUAAUUAAUUGCUGCCUUUGUUGGUUGGAUUUAUACACAGCAAUUGCAGCCAUCACUAACAAUGUAAUGAAGCCUAACACCAUACAAACAACAGCAGUUCGGGAGAACAUAACUGGAAAACAAGAUAGCUCAUUGGGUAAGCAGAGAGUUCUAAAUUUGAUCCUGCCAAUGAUCGUAUACACAAAACAUGGAUCUAUCAUAAAAUAACAAAAGAUUACAGAAAGAUUAAGUUAAUACCUCUGGCCUUUGUCACCGAAGGACCACAUAUUGAUCCUAUCCAAUUUCCACACAGUAGUGGAUUUCCAAUGAAGCUGGUGCAAAUAUGAAUAAUCAAUACAAAAAUCAAAAUUCCAAAAGCUAUGAACUAAUGUUUUUGCAUACCUAUUUGAUGAAAAUCGUGAGAAGUUUCUGAUUGGGGGUAUAAUCCCUGAUAAGUUGUUGUACGACACAUUCCUGAAAUUCAUUAAAUUUAGUAGUUUGCAAGACUUCAUAACAAACAAGAAUUUCUUUCAUAGAAAGGGUAAUGUCUUACAAAUUAGAUAGACUGAAACAAUUGCUAAGCUGAUCUGGGAUCCCACCUUGCAAAUUGUUGUUGUUCAAAAUCCUGACAUAAAUUUUCAUCUCACAUUUUAUAUCUGCUUGAUAAAUAAAUACACAACAAAAGUACUGCUUCAACCACAUGGGAAAAAGACCAUGAACUUACAGAGAAAUGAUAUUUUGCAGUUGACCCAGUUCUGCAGGAAUGCUACCAGACAGUUGGUUGAAUGACAUGUCACUAAAAAACAGAAGAGAAGAAAGAUUAAAAAAACAGAGGUUACUCCAUUCCAUACAGCUGUAGAUUUAUCAAAGUAAAUUAGCUCACAUUGUUUGUAUGCUUCUAAGGUUUCCGAAUUUUGCAGGCAACAGCCCAUUCAGAUGAUUCCUGCUCAAAUUUCUGGGCAAGUGGAAACUAUAUUAACUGAUGCACUAAUGUAAAUCAAACAGAAUGAACCCACAUUGAACCAUGCUUGGGUUGAAGGAUUACAAAGUGAGAAGGUGCUCCAGAUCACCAAUUGAAGCAGGAACAGAUCCAGAAAAAUUAUUAACUGAGAGAUCCCUGAAUCAUAGAACAAACAUAAGCACCUAAAACUGGAAAAUAACAAUAGACAAAACACAUCAUGGCAUGAAACUCACAGCGUGUCAAGAUUAAUAAUUCGUCCAAGCUCAGUGGGUACCUUGCCUUUGAAGUUGUUCCUUGAAAGGUUUCUGAACAUCAACUAUAUUAGUAUAGGAAAACAGGCAUCCAUGCAAUAGAUAUUGUAACUUAAAAGAAUUCUCUAAACUGAAUGAUCAAAACGUACAAGUAAGUCAGACUCCCCAGAUUCCGGAAACUAGAUGGGAUAGCCCCGCUUAAGCGAUUACCAUGCACAUUGCUGUGAAAUAAAAUCAAGAAUCACAAUCAAAUUAACUGAAAUGAGACGCAACAUUAUUACAAACACACACAAGGGAUUCAGUUGUAUUCAGAAAAUUGGUAUCUUACAACUGAUUCAAUGCUGUACAGGAACUGAUAUUAUGCGGAAUGGGUCCUUCCAGAUUAUUAUCUGCAAGAUUCCUGAAUCAUAAAGGACAAACUGAUAAGUAACAUGAAAUGAAAAAUAAUACUACACAGACAUAACAGCAGAGACUCACAAUUCAAACAACUGCUCUAGCUUCCCAAGUUCUGCAGGAAUUGUUCCAACAAGUUGAUUAUUUUGUAAUUGCCUACGUGAAAGUAAUUAUCUUAUCAACAGCAUGAACCGUGCAUAUGUAUACUAAGUUUUGGGAAAUGGAAAAUAGCUCACAAGUAGCUCAGUUUAGACAUAUUGCCAAGCUCUGGGGGAAUUGGUCCAGUCAGCUUAUUGCCAUGGAGAUAUCUGGCACAGAAGAAAAUUUAAAAAACAAAAAAGAAUCAAGACAUAAAACAUAUUAAAGAACAAUAAUAUUAUCGUUUGAUGUAAUCAAACUAACAGUUUUCCAGUGUAUGACAAAUUGCCAAGUAUGGGAGGGAUUGGUCCAACAAGCUCAUUCUCACUUAAAUCCCUGAAAAGUAAAAGAAACAUAAACACAAAAGUCAAGACACGUGCUAUAAAUGUAUCUAAAGUCCAUAGAGUCUGGGCGACAAAGAACGCAUGUACUUACAACACGGCUAGAGCCUGCAUAAGGCCAAUGACCUCUGGAAUUUUACCCGUUAGCUUAUUUCCUUGAAGUGAUCUACAAAACAUCAGGUGUCAAUUACAAAAAACAUAUGAUAAUUGUAAAAGUUUCAUAUGUAAAGCUCUAUGUUUAAUAAGAAAAAUAAAUUGAAGUGGAAAAGCUCACAGUGUUGCCACUUGAAGGAAUCCAAUAUUGUAUGGUAUCUCUCCAGUGAUCUGAUUGUAAGAUAUGUCCCUGAAGUUCCCCACGAUCAGAAAGUUGAUUAACACAGAAAAAUGUAAGUACAAAAUUCAGUGCAGUGUACAGUAGUUGACAUACAAUAUUUCAAAGCUUGUACAGUUGCCAAUGCUGUCCGGGAUUGUUCCAGUUAGAUUAUUGCCUCGUACAUCACUAAAAUCAAUAAAAACAACUAAUAUCAUAAGUAAUUAUAUCUGUUGAAUGGAAAAACCCAAUUUUUAUAUACAUUGAAUGGAAAAAAGCAAUUUUUGCACCCCAAAAAAAAAAAAACUGACUACUCACAAAUACCACAAGCCGGUUAAUUGACACAUGUCAGGAGACAGCAUUCCAGUCAAUGCAUUUCCCCUUAGCCCACUGUAAACACAACCCCAAACACAAAAUGUGAAAUCCUAUGCUUCAAGAAAAUGUGUAAACCUAAAUGUCAGUAGGCAAAAACUUAAAAAUGUAUGAACUCUCAAUGGCUCCGUUGAAACUUCCAUAUAACUAUAGUAAAUUGUAACAGGAGGGAACACAAUGUUCAAAUGCCUAACAGACUACUAUAUCUUUAUAACUUACAGGUAUUGCAGCACUUCAUUCCAGUAUAUUAGCCUUGGAAUCUCACCAGUGAGCUGGUUUCGAGCAAGAUCACUACAAAUAUAAACAUUCAAAUGCAAUUGAAAUUAUUAAAAACGAUAAAUAUCUCAAAAGAAGUAACAUCAUAUCUGAUAUCACGACUAAAUUGGUAAAUCAGGCAUCUCAUCAGUUAAGUGGAAACUCACAGAGUCUUCAGAUUAGGAAUCUGAGUUAAGGUGGAUGGAAUUGGACCGGUAAGCUGAUUGUUUUUCAAAUUCCUGCAUUGCGUUAAUGGAUAUGCACUCAUUAAUUUACCAUGUAACUCCAACAUGUACAUAUUGAAACAAGUCAAAUGAUCAGAGACAUUAUAUAACAAAAAUAGCGCUUACAAGAACUCAAGUUGCUUCAGCUUUGAUAUAGAAAAGGGAAUGUCUCCAUAUAGACUAUUGUCAGACAAUUCUCUGCAUUAUGCAAAAGGAGAUCCCAUUAUGAAUCAAAAUUCUCAUAAACACUAAUAUGCACAUUAACAAGAAGGAAAAAUAGAUUUAAAAAAUUUUACAUAUGGACAAGAGAGCCACAGUUUCCAAUUUCAUCUGGGAUCUGGCCAGUUAACUUAUUCCCCUGAAAAUCUCUGCCAACAUCGCAAAAAUUAAAAAAAAAAAAAAUCAAUUACGACUACAUUGGGAACAUAAUAAAAGGGUUUGGUAAGAAAAUAAAAGGGCGCAUACAUGGACUGCAAAUUUCUUAAAUCUCCAAUGGAUGGCGAAAUCUCUCCACCCAGAUUCAAGCUUGACAGGUUCCUACAAGUAACCAGUACCCCAUUCAUUGCAUUGCACUUCAUUGCAUUUUAUAAAAAAAAAAAAAGUAACUUAAAACAGAACAAAACAUACAAAGAAACAACAGAGAGGCUGCUGUUAUCGCAAAAGACACCACGCCAUGAACAGAAAUCAGAGUUGUGCACAUCGUCCCAGUCCAGCAACACAUUCGCCAGGUUACUGAAUGACGCUUUAAUCGCCAUCAACGCUUUCCCUACAACAACCCCAGGAUUAUUUUAAUAUUCUCCAAACACCUAAAUAUCUCCUUUUAUCUUAUUAACACAAGAAGCACUCAAAACAACAAAAACGAACUUCAGUUCCUUUUAACAAAAGACGCUUCAUGCAUUUGAAUAAUGCUAAAAACAAACAAAACCUUCAUCAUCAUUGAGUGGAGCGGCGGAUGAACAAAGAAGCAAAAACACCGCCAUUAUGAAACUAAAAGAAAGCUUUCUCUUCUCUCUUUGUAAGAGAACUCCCAUUUUCAUUUUUUUCCCCCUAAAGAAAGCUCAAAACAUGGAGAGACCUUUUUUUUUUUUUGCACGAGUUAUGAGUUACGUUCAAGUAGAAAAAUAACUCUUCUUCUUAAGUUUGGUUUGCUGCUAGCCUGCUACUUGUUUCAUUGAGAGGGGGAAGAGAGAGAGAGAGAAAGAAGAGAGGAGGGAGAGUAAAGGAACAGGCGUUUAGCGUGAGGUGCAAGGUAGACUGAGCAAUAGCUGUUAUGAAGAGAGAGGGAGUGACAGUAACUGGGAGAGAGAGAGAAGCAACUAAGCAAGAGACAACUGACACGGGAGGAGAUAUUACUCUAAACGGCGGUGAAGCGACGUUAGUAGCUGACCUUAUUUUUUUAGGCUUUUUGGGGGGAGUCUUUUAGGCCUUUUUGACUGAUUGAUUGAAUCAUUCAUUUUCAUUUUUUAAAGGUUUUGGGCUCAGCGGCCGUCAUUCCGAUCAUGCAUAUGUAUGUAGUACCGUGUCCCAAUGUUGUUUCAUUUUCGGACAGCUCUCGUUAGGCGUCUUUGUGAACCGAAGAGUUCUCCACGACGCGCGCCAAUUCGAUGCACGUGUCUCGUGGAAAUACCAGAACGGUUCGGCACUGUCGAAAAUGGACAAUCCAUUUUUUCUAAUAAAAUGAGUGCCAUUUUAUUAAUAAUAUUAUUAUAUUUACGUAAUUGAAAUAUUUAAUUUAUAUUUUAAUAGAUGUAAUAAAUAAUGUACUAUUAUUUGAUUAGUUUGAAUAAUAGAUAAUUAUUAAGUUUUAUUAUUUUUAAUUAAAUAAUAAUAUUUAUUAAUAGCGCAAUUAUUAUAAUACUAAUUAGAUAUCUCAACUGAGAGUUGUGUUUAAUUAACGUUGCAGAUGAGACAUUAGUUUUUUUUAUGAAGAUUAUGAUAUUUUAUAACAUUUAUACUAAAAGAAUUUUAAAUUUCUAUAAUUUAAGACUUUAUUUAGUAUUUUUACAUACUAAUAAAUAUUAUUUUCUAAGUAUAUAAUUUAAAUUAAUUACAAAAAAAAUUAAUGCAGUAUAGUGCAAUAUCAACAUAAUAUAAUAAAAAAUUAAUAUCAUACAAUAUAAUACUAAAUAUUAUAUAACUUUAUUAUAAUAUAGUGUUAAUACAAUAUAAUAUAACGUGUUAAAAGCAUCUUAAGGCAACUGGGUGGUCAAUAUUUGAGUUAAUUUUUAUGUGUAUUUGGAAUGAUAUACAAUGCUAUGUUGAAUCAAUACAAACCGAAUUCAAUUAAUGACGGCACGACAAUUCCCUCUUUAUUUCAUCGAGGGAGGGUGUGAGUUUGGUUGCACGCGAUGGACGGGCGAGUGGAGUGAGAGAGUUGUCCUUCGAUUGUGAAUUUGUGAUCGGGGAACAACAACGGUCUGUUUGGUUGAUCCGGUGGUUGUCAAAAGACCAAAAAGCUAAUUCCACGCUACUUUUUUUGCUAUGGGCAAAUCUUUUCUGAGAACUUUUUUUUUUUUUUCUUUAAUUUUUUGUCUCCAAUAACUUAUGGUUUUUGUGAAGCUCUUAAUAUCUGUUCUAUUAUUGACAAAGGAACAACUGAAAGUGCAAGGACCAAACUUUUCUCACACGAAAGACCAAAACUCGGCAACCAUCCGGUUAGAGUUUUAAUGGAGAUGGACAAUGCAUUAGGUUUCCGCAAUAAAUCGUUACAUUAAAAUUUUUCAAAAAGCAAAAAAGUAAAAAGUUUUAUAGCAUUUAAUCAAAGGUUUUAGUGGAAUAAUUUGUAAGUAAUAUUUGUAUAAAUUCAAGUAAUUUUCUUUAAUUGAUGAUCGAAGUUUAAAUAUUCAGAAAUAUGGGACUACAUCAUUAACUUAGGAAAUUAGCUCGUUUAAAAAAAAAUUAUUACCUUAGUAUUUUUACUUCAUGAAAACACUCUAGUUUUCGAUAAUUUUUGGAUAUAAAGUAAAGGGGCCGAGAUCAAUCAAAAGAUAAAAUAAAUAAAUUGUCUUUAAAAAAAAAAUUUAAAUUGAAGGGUCCCCUCAGCAUUAAGUUUGGUCAAUAAUUUCUCGCACUAAUUUUCAAUAAUUAAAUACACCACAACAAUAAUACAAACUCUAAGAAGCCUCUAAAAUUAGCUAAGGCACGUCACGUGAUACAUGCUAGCACACGACAAACAUCUUAAAUAGCACUGCAUUUCUAAAUAAUAAAAUAAUUAUUACGAUAUAAUAAUAAUAAUAAUUAAUAAAUAGAAAGUGUUUGGAAGAGCAGACCAGAAAUCAGAAGCAGCAAUUCUGCUUCUGCUUCUGCUUCCGCUGCAACAAUCGUAUAAAGCUGUCCGUGCAUGCUCUGCUUCUAUUUUUGUUCCAUUUACUUGUUUUUUUCUUUACCAUUUUUAAUAAUUAUAAUUAAUAAAACUUGAGCUUCCUUUAAAUUUUUAUAUUGAUAAUUAUUUACGGGUUUAUUGAAUGAAUUACGAUAGCGAGUGAUCGGGAUUGGGACCCACUGAACGCUUUUUUGGUUCAAAUAUCGAGAUAAAUCCCCAGCCGUCAGAUUUCUGAUCUUGGAUUUUGUCGGUUCCCAAAGACAAAACAACAGGCAAUUGUCCGUUGAGUUGGAUAAGAUAACUUCUGACGAACGUGUGUGUAUUUACUCAAAUACCCUCACCUUUUGUGGUGGGAUAAAUUGGGCCGGCGACCCUAAAAAAUUAUCAGACAGAUUUUUUUUUAUUUUUUUUUAUUUUAUUUUUUUAAAGUAUAUUAUACACAGAUAUUACUGACAUUACAUCAAACAUUACAAUUAAUAUUUACAAUCAUACUAUAUAACUGGGACCACCAUUAUACAUUGACACACUAAAAUAUAUGUCCAGAUAUUUUAAACCCUCUCUAAUAUUCAAGGGGUAUCUGCUCCACUCACAUUUCGUAAAGGAAAGACUGUCUCCAUUUAAUUAAUUAAUAAUUAAGGAAGAACUAAAACUAACCUCCAUAAUACUCUUAUGAAAGCUCGAACCCUUGCACUCAACAUUGAUUCAAGAAUCAAUCUUUCCACGCAGUAAAUGUAAAGGCGGCAAAUCCUAAAUGGAUCCUUGGGCUGAUACUAACCCGACCGGAUCUUUUGAUUCACAUAUGGAUUCUUUAAACUGCUUCACGUUCAUCUUAAUUUUGUACCACGUCUUACAUUUAAUUGUUUAUUGCUCUUUAUGAGGAAGAGGUGAUGGUAAAUUCAGCUUUGUGGCACUAGACGUUUAAUAGGUCAAGUUGCAUUUUCUUUUUUUAAGUUUAUUUAGAUUUUAUUUAAAAGAAUUUCAUUAAUUAUUUUAUAAAUAUUAAUUACUGUAAUUAAAUUAAUUUUAUUUUAUCAACACAUGAAAAAAUUAUUAUAUACUAUUAAUUUUUAUUUAUUACUGCUGUACCGUACAUCCGCCUUGGCCGUACAGCAGAUUUUUUUUAUAGUAAUCAUAACGCAAGAGUAUCUCUAAAAAAAUUUUUAAAUAAAAUUUUAUUAUUUAUUUAAAAAAUCACAUCAGUAUUUGAAACUUCAAAAGACGUUCCAAUUGAAAUUUGUUCAAAUAAGAAAUUAUUCUUUCUCUUCAAUUAAUGCAGUUUUCAUUCUUCUUAAAAAUUAUUUAUUUGUAUAAAAUAAUAUUAACUUAUUUUUAUUUGAAGAAUUUUUUAAAGAAUAAUAUAUUUUUUCACUCAUCUUUUUAUUAAAUAUAUAAGUAAAUAGAUAUUUAUAGAGUAAAAUUAGUAGAACAUUUUGAAUAUAUUUUAAGUUACAACAUCUCAUUAAAUCUCAAUAAAAUUAAAUCUAUACGUAACAUAUAUAAAAAAAAAAACUUCUUUAUCAUGAAAUCCCUAUGACAAAAAGGGGAAAUUAUUUCACCACUAGAAUCUAGGGAUCGUACAAAAAUUUUGAGAAUUUUUUUAGAUAAUGACUUCUUAAUUAAUAGAGAUGAAGACAUCUUUCAAAUAAUAAUAACAAAAAAUAAAAAUAAAAAUUUCCAUAACACAAGCAAAACAGUUGAGAUGUUAAAUAGAAGGGAUCCCAGAUGUAAAACGGUUCGUUGGAGAGAAUAAACGAAAACGAUUGUAAGUAGAAACCAAACCACCGUGAGUUUUGUUUUUCACUAAUAAUUUUUCUACGAUGAACGAAAAAUUAAAUUUUGACUAAAUCAAGCUCCUAAAACAAAUCCCUUUUAAAAAAACACAUUACGAAAAUUAAUUAAAUAAAUAAAUAAAACACUGAUGAUGAUAGCACGUUCCCAAAACGAAACCCACAAUAAAAUCCUUUCGGUGAUUUAGGCAGCCGAGGCAGGAACCAGACGACCAUCGCAUCAAGAACCCAUAACCCACGUGGCAAGAUCUGACGGGGCCUAUUAGUACUGGUAGCUACUACUAGGCCUCAAGACAGUGACAGGCAGACUCGUUUGGGACAGCAUUGUCCAACAAUAAAGCAAUAGGCAGCCGGCUGUUUAUCCGCCGGUUGACGCCGUCAGCAUUACUACGGCGUGAUCCUAUACGGGUCCCAUGCCCCUCUAGGACCCAACGGUGGGUCCCACCUAAGAAGACAACGCAUUUAGUGUUGGGUUUUUCAAAAAGUUGGGAUUGAUGCGAUGAGAUUUUGCUUUUUAGAGAGAGAGAGGGAGAGAGUACUGGAAAUAGUAUUAGUAGUGCUUUUUGAUUUGAAAUAUUAAAAAAAAAAAAAAGGACAGAUAUAAUUUUGUAAUAUUUUAUAAUUGUAUUAUAAAUUAAAUGGGUCUGGACGCUGGUUGGUUUGUAAUGAUUGAGUGGGUCAUGGUCUCAUUUUUUUUUUUAAUUUCUAAAACGUUUGCCACGUGGUGUAUACGGUUUGUGUUUGAGUGUCUUCAGUCUUCUUAGUUAUUUUCAGCUCAAUGCCACAAACUCCCCGGGGAGAUGCCAUGCUGGCAAUUAGAGCCGGCAGAAUAGAUUAUCGAGUCGUAUUUGUAUCGUAUCAGUUUUAUAUCGUGUCAAAUUUAGGUCGAUUUAAAUCCGACUCAUUUAAUAAUUGUGUCAGAAUAUUGAGACCUAAAUUCGACACAAAAAAAUAAUUGAGUUAUCCAAUAACCCGCUUAAUAUCUAUAUAUUGAACAAAAAUUACAUCAAAUAUUUACACACUAUCAUACAUACAUAUAUAUAUACAUACAUACAUAAUUUAUCGACAUUACAAAUAUACAUAUCUACCAAUAUAUUACACAUUUAUAAUUUUGAAGUUUUAAUUAUAUAUAUAUGAUAUUAUGUAUCAAUAUUAUAAAAUAUACAUGUCUAUCAAUUUUUACACAUUUACACUAUUGAAGCUCUAAAUAUAUUUAAAAUUUUAUAAAUAAAACACCAGCUGUGUUUAUAUUCACCUUUUAAAGAAUAAAAAAAAGAAAAUCAUUUCUAAUAUUUGAGUUUUAAUGAUUAAAAUAUGUAAAUUAUUUUAAAAUAAAAAUAUAAUCGGGUCAUUGAUCGGGUAAAUAUGUCAAGAAUUUUAACCUUAACCCGAUACGAAAAAAAAUCGUGUUGACCCAAAUCUGAUCCAUUUAAUAAUCGUGUUAAAUUUGACGACCCAUACCCAUUUAUUUAUGUCGUGUUCGUGUCGGAUAAUCAGGUCGUGUUAAAUUUUACCAGCUGGCAAUAGUAUUGCUUAAUGGUGCCUAAAUUAUCAAAAAUGGUACAAACUAAAAUUGCGAAAUAUGGUAUAGCUAGGAAAUUUUAAAAAAUAAAAGUGAAAAUCUUAAUGCCCCGUGAACGAGAAUAUAAAAUAUUAAAUUGCCAACCGGCUUUAUAUUUUUGUGUCUGUACAUUCGGGUACUAAUUAUGCGUACCCAAAAUAAUCUCGAAAAAUAUUUUAAAAAAUGCUUAUGAAGUAGAAUUUGCGAGUACUUAGAACAAUAUUAAAAUCAACAACCACUCCUUGUACUGUAUAAAAUAUUAAGAAAUUAUAUCAGGAUUUUAUAAUGUAAGGGGUCAACUAAACUAGUCAAAUACACAUGGUCAAAGAGUCAACAGAAAGAACAGAGACUUGAUACGCGAGCACUGUAGGCUGGACAGAGAACAUGAAUGGAAAAGGGAACAGAAAUCGCGAGACCCAAGAGAAUUAAAGAGCAAUUGAUUAUACACAUCAUAGGACCCGUGAUGGCUAUCCUUUUAUUUUUCUUUUCACUUACAAAUAAAUUGGUUGGGCUUUAUGUGCGACAGACAAAUACUAUGCAUGAUACAUUGAUAUCCACGUCCUUAGUAUUACACGUAUGAUGAGUAAAGAAAAUUCCGGCUUAUAUCCUCACAAGCCCAGGCAUUGUAUCCUUGAAAACACUGUUUAUAUUCCUCUUUACUGUUACUAAACCCAAAUUGUAAUUCUCAAAAAUCUGGACUGGCGAGUCCCGACCUCAAUGAAUUUGAUCCAAAGUUCAUUACAAAAAGCAACUGCCAAAUUUUCUUGCAUAAGAUACUCCAAAGGCAAGAAAAGAGCGGCAAUUUGUUGAAGUAAAAAAAAAAAAAAAAACCAUCAAUCUUGAAGUAAUACUUUGGACAACUUACAAUGGUUGAACCAUUUCCGAAAGUUGAUAGUGAGAAAGGGAACCUACACUCAAGGAGCUUGAGAUGGAGAGUAUUAAUACAAUUCUCUCAGAUUCUAUGAAGCUAUAAAGCCUAAUGGCGUGCCAUGAGUAAGGGAGAAUGGUCGCAGUUAUAUAAACACAAUACAAAAUCCAAACUGAUUCAUCAUGGAAGAUAAUUCAUCCAACGGUUUUAUCCAUUGUAAACUGCAGACGCUAUCAUCAGAAAAAAGAGUUACAAAAAGUGCUAUUAAACAGUUAUUCAAAUAAGAUGAUAACAUAUCAAACAAAAAUUUAGGGUUACAAGAAAACAAACUCCUCACUGCAUCUACUACUCAGGAGUCAGGAUGAUAGAUUAGCAUCAUGCCAUCCCUUGGUGCAUGGUGGAAUGCCCAUGAAUUCAUCAAAUUCCUUCACAUGAAUGUCACAACACUUCCACUGCAAAAAUCAUAUAUCACACACAGAGGUUGGCAUCAAUUCCAAAAGCAAUAAAGAAGAGAUUAGAUAAAAUGAAUGGCAAAACAACACAUUUAGACAAGAAUCGCACCCCUCUCAUCCGAUCAUGAAAAACAGCAGGUCCAGGAUGAUAACUGCAUGCAGUCUCAUGAUUAUCCUUUUCUUUGAAAGUUUUGCCACAUCCCUUAUUUUUGCAGAUUUGAGGCUCGUUAAUACCAAUUUUCUUCUUCACUGGAACAGGAGGCACCUCAGCAGCUACAUUACUUCCAGCAGGUACAGCUGGGGCAUAAUUGGUCUGUUCUUUGGCUUGUGAACCUAUGUAGAACAUGCAAGAAUUCAGUUCAAAGACCAAUGAAGAUGUUAAGGGGAAAAAGGACACACUUCAAACAACAAAGUGCUUCAGCAAGAUAGGAACAAAAGAUAGACACAGAGAAACAAUCUAGCAAAGACAAACCUGCUGGCAUCUCCUAGAACAAUACAAAGAGAACUAGAACAUUCCAAAUGCACUGUUACAAAGAUGAACCUCAGAAAAGUAAAAGCCCCAUGACAAAGCAAAACCUAGUACACAAUACAACUAACCUUUCCCAUUUCUCAAGCACUAGUAAUAUAAAAGGCACAUGAUCCACUAUGGUCUUUGUAUUUACAAAAACCAGAAGAGACGUGGAGGUAGAGAAAUAGCUCUAUUUAGCUUUUUGCUUAACCGUAUACUAUGAUAAACAAAUUGGAAUUAUUCCACAUUCAUUGAAUCCAAAAAGGAAGACAUGAACAAUGCAGAGUCUCUAUAUACAUAAAGCAUAAAAAUUUGGGUACCGUGAUCAGAGCAAAAGAAACCCUGUCGACAUCUUGAGCAAAGUUCUUUCGAUGGAGUGCUGGACCCAAGAGUUGUUGAAGGAGCAGGAGCUGGAGCUGGAGUUUUUGAAGUAGCGACCGGCUUAGUUAACACUGGUUUCUCAGUUGUGUGUUUACCUGUCUUACAUCUUCAUUUAUGGAACAAAAUUUUGAGCAACUAAUGUAAACAGAAACUUUGCAAAAAAUUACUGACUAGAAGUUACUGGUCGUAAUCCAAGUAGACUUACAUCCAGACCACAUGGAAACAAUCAUGGAAGUGCAAUAAAAUUUACAUCCAUAUUUUGCAUAGUUGGCCAAGCUUACCAAGGCCAACAUGUUUUAAACUGUUUUAAGAGCAAUGUACUCAAUUUAGAAAAAUACUGACAGAUCAUUGCUUCUAAAUUAACAGAAAAAUGAUUUGGAAGCAGCUUCAGCUGAAAGGAUGCAAAAUUAAGAGUUAAGAGAAAAUAUAAACACACAAUCACAUCCAACUUAGCAACUUCAGAAAAAAUCCCAAAUUGUAUUUUCAUUGUGAACAACAACAUAAGCAAGAAGCAGAUUGCCUAAAAUCUGAUACACCUGAAAUAUCAAUCCAACAGUAUUAAAUUUUUUAGAAAUGAAAUUUAACCAGUAAGGCAUUUAUAUUUCAUUCAGAGAUGAGCAAAAUCUGAACAGGCAAUGUGAUAAGUGAACAUGUUCAACAACAAAAUUCUGGGUCAUGUACUUCAGCAAUCAAUGCUUAGCUGAAUAUGUAAGUGAUAAAAUUCAUAACUAACAUGUAGUUUUCAAGUACACUGCUAUCAUAGGCACCAUGCGAGGUGAUCAUCACCAGGAGUGGACUGCUCAAAUGCCUGAAUUCUAUGGGUUAUAUAGUCCACUGCUAGCAUAGCCAAGAAAAGUAUCAAUAAUAAAGGAACAAGUUCCACAAGGAAACAUGAUAGGCAGUUACCCUGGAAUUUCCAAAAAUAAGCUGAAAUCAUGACUCCUCCUCUUGCAACAACUCCACUCCUUCAUUCCAUCAUGAAAUAUGGGCUGAAAUUACCAUUGAAAAUUAACAUGCUCAGAAAGUUUAUAAAGAAAAAAAUGAAAAUAGAAUUAUUCUUUUCAAAAGAAACAAAGUCUGACUUACUCCCUGAUCAUUUAUAAUCAAAUCCGAUAAGGUAAAACCGAAGCCCAACGAUGCAAAACAAAAACACAAUCAGUACAACAAACAAAAAUAUAAUCAUAUUUCACAAAUUAUAAAAAGAUUGAAGAAAGCAACACACCACACACCAAAUUGAUUUCACACGAUCAGCAACUUAGUUGUGCUAAACGAAUUUUCAGAAUUCUACUAAAUAAUUAGUCUUCACUUGAAGAGUAUUUUUGUAACUGAAUCAUUUCUCAACACUGAAAGCUUUGGCAAACACCUACUUUUAUAGCUGAGAGUUAGUUGAUGCAAUUCAAAUUAGCAACAGCUGUGGAUUAAAUCCAAAAAAAAAAAAAAACAUAAAUAUAUCUAAACUGGAGGUUUAAGUUCUGUACAUACAUUGUUUUUAUUGAUCACAGCAUCAAUGUAUCAAUCACAUACAAAUUUCAUCAGUUAAUACGUUGAAGUUUGAAACUACCCGUCCUCAGCAAUCUCAAUUCAUUAACAAAUGGAAGAAAGAGAAGGAAAAGAAAUUAGCAUACCGAAUCAUGGAAAGUGCAGGAACCUUCGGGAUUGUCGUCCUCGGUGAAGGUGGCGUUGCAGCCAAUUCGCUGGCAUCGAAGACGCUUCAAAGCGUCGUCGUUCUGACUCGCCAUUCUUUUGGAUUUCGCGCGUUCAAGAGGUAAGUAAGGUAAGCGUUUCGUAGAGGAAGAGUGGAAGACUUUGCAAGGACUCGAUUGGUCUGCAAUGUAAAGACAACGAAGAUUCGUCCUUUGUCCUUGCUCUCGAGUUUUUUUCUUAUACUUCAGUGCUGCGUUUUGAUUCACAUUGUGAUGGAAUAAUUUUGAUUCGGUCGACGUGUCCCCAUCUUUGACGGUCCAUUAUAAUCUCGGUCGCUUAAACACGAUCAUACCGGCUUCUGCGUCGGGUCCUCUGCGAAAAUAGCAGAUAGGCCCCUAAAAUUUUGCUCAAUCUCAGUUAUACCACAAUGUUUUCAAAAUGAACAUUCAAACCCCUCUUCAUAAUUUUCUUUUUAAAAAAAGAUCCUUUUCAUUUUGGGCUAGUAUUAUUGGUAUUUUUUUUUUCUAAAUAAAUAAAGCAAUAGAAAAUCGGAUAAAAUUUCAUCGAUACACUUCUCAAACUUUAAUAGGUUUAAGGUUUGAAAGCGUACACAUCCAUUUUCUUCAAUUUCAUGAUUUUAUCGAGUAAGGUAUAGGGUUUACAACCAAGACUCAGAGAAUUCCACAAUGAACUGCUUAAAAAUGAGAAGGUUCUAUGCAUUGUAAAAUGUUACUUCAGUUGAGAACAUUUCUCAUCAUGUUUCAUAAACAAGGCUAUCUCACAUCCAUUAUCAUCUACAGCUUUCUUUCCGAGGAACAAAUCAAUAACAUUUUUAUGUGCGUUUCAAAACGAGUGGUAUAUCGUGAGUGGCUUACAACAUGCCAACCGACUAGUAUGAGCAGGGUUAUGGGCCGAUAAUUUUGUAUUUACAGUAUCCAAAAACAUUAGAGAACGUGUGUAUGUACAUCUAAACUAUGUGCUGAGUUACAGUGGAACUGGAGUCUUGACCUGUAAUCCAAAUGCUCAAAAAUGGAACUGGUAAUGGCACCACACCCUGAUUUUAGAAAUUGCUGAUAUCAAAAUCGUAGCCCCCGAUGAGCCUGCAGUAAUGAAUUGUCACAAUAUUCUGUUAUGCACUCCAACCAGGGCUGCUGGCCUUCCCAAUAAAUUUAAAUAAUACAACAGAUUUAGCAUGUUUUCAAGACAAGAAAGUUUUUUCAUAAACAAAAAGUAAAGCAUCAGAACUAAAAUAGUCCUGGGAAGAUAUUCAAUGUUCCUAAAGAUUUCUAGCACUUCAAAGCCUGAGAAAUGUUGAUCGCAGAUUUCAUUCUAAUAGCUGUCCAUUUCAAGUGAAUCUUCGACAAUGGGCAAAGACCUUUCUGGUCUGUAGCAAUAAUGUAAUAAAGAAUGGAUACACUGUUCUUUUGAAUCUAUAUUUAUAAUAAUGUAUCCCUGUUGAUGACAGAGCAUCUUAUAUGCCCCGUAACUUCCUAAUGCUUAGAAUUUGCUAAAUGCUAAAAUGCUUAAAAGCGUGUAUUCUGCCCAUGCACAAGCAAAAUCACCCCAGCUUCGUGCUUAAAUGCCUACCUCUGUGUGUGUGUGUGUGUGUGAGAGAGAGAGAGAGAGAGAGAAACCUCAGAUCUUGGUGUGCCUUCUGACGGGAACCAAUGCAAAAGUAUACCCAAGUUCAUCACAUUUGGUAUCAAUUUGAACAGAAGAGGAGUUGUAACCUGUAGAUUAUCUUUCGCUAGCAUCAACGGCAUUCGUUUUAAUUAUAAAAGAACUGUAAAGCUUCCAAUGCAGUUUCUAUAUCAUAAGCUUACCAGACUGAGAGCUGUAGUUCCAAGAAGAAGAAGAUACAUCUUUCCCUAAAUUAUCAAUCAAGUUCAAUUCAAUAGCAAGAACAAAAACAUUAGUUGUGAUGAUGAUAAUAUUUUUAAAAAGACAUGACUUAAACAACUAUUAGACAAGGGCUAAGGUAUAAAUCAAGCAUCAGAACGAGAGACUGAUGUCACCUCAACAAGAUGAAGAUUUGAGGCUCGACUUAGAAGAACAAAAGCAAAUUCUCCAAUUUGAGCAAGUGACACUCCAACCUGCAUCAUAUAUAUGCACAUAUAUAUAACAGAUCCAGAAGAUCAGAAAACUUUAUCUAAAAUAAGAAUUCUAUUCCAUAAGCUUAGGAAGCCAACUUACAAGAAAUGAUGUCCUCAUGCUAUAACCAAACAGCUUAGUAACUAUAGUACCAACAGCUGUCUUAACAAUGAUAACCAGAAUAACAGAUGCAAGCAAAAUGUCCACAUGAUUCCAUAGAAAAUGUACAUGUAUGAGCAUUCCAAUACUGGAGAGGAAAAGAGCCGCAAACAGGUUACGAAUUGGCUCCACCUACAGCAUAGAAGAACCUCAACUUCAGGAGAUAUUGAUUAGGAUAUUCUACAACAGUGCAAAUGACUAAAAUUUUCAAGUGACAACCAGAGCAAUGCAAAAUCUUCAAUUUUCUUCAGCCACUUAAUAGGAAAAAGGGGCACAAAUAAAAGGAAUUGUUCAUUAAGAUCUGGAAAGAUGAAACAAAUUAAGAUAAAAUAAAAGGAAUAAAAAAUUUCCAACAGAUGCAUUGGAACUUAAAAUAGCAUAACAACCCUUUUCUGGAAAGUGGAAACAACUCUGUAUAAGUCAGGAUUUUUAAUAAAAUGCAUUCUUCAUCCACAAAAUAAAAAUAAAAUCUAAGUGGAGGAAUUAUCACUAGCACAGAAAAGUACCUGAUCUAAAGUAUGUUUAGCAAAGUCAGUGGUAGAUAUCAUCACUCCAGCCAUGAAUGAACCCAGCUCAAGACUGAGGCCCAGCUUAUCACUGCACUGAAAAGAAACUCCAAAGGUAUUACAUUGUCCAAGCGGAUGAUCACUUAACAGCAUAAAAGAAUAUCAUGCAGUGCAGAAACAGUAAAUUAACAAAGCAGAAAACAGAACCCAUUAUCAAUUGCCAGCAAGGUGUAUUAACCUUGACAAAACAGGUAAUUAUGUAUUGCACUUACCCAAGCAGAUAAUAAGCAAAAAGCUACAGCAGCAAGCUGAUAAAGCUCAUUUGUCUGGACAGGCGAAAAGAAAUCAAAAUGAGCUAAUAAAGGACAAGAAAUUUAUCAAAGUCAAGGCACAAAAACAAAAUAUAUGUACAAAACUCACUUGAGAUGACAGCUGUAUCAUGAGCUUUAGAAAGCGGGGAACAAAAGACCAGGAUAAAAUAGAUGUAACAGUGAGAUAAAUGGACAAAACCAGCAGCCUGAAGUUAAUAAAAGAAAAAUGUCACUAAUCAACAAAUAAUGUUUGCACAAGGGCACUGGUCAACAACAGCAAGGAAACAUUGUUGAAAAAGAAAAGGAGAACAACAAGAGCAAUCACAUUAAAAUCUAAAUUUAAAGAGCUCAAAUGAACUUACAACUUCCCCAUUGAAACCAUUCCUUGCAGAAGGCCACUGUUACCACCCAAGACUGGGAGCAGAGCAAAUAGUAACCCAACAGCACAAUCCUGAAAUAACACAAGGUCAAGAAACGGCUAAAUAUGCUUCAAAAACUGAAUCCUACUAGUCCAUGUCAUAAAUUGUAAGCGGAAUAUCAUUAAUAUAGUUUUUAAACAGCACCUGUAAAAUAAGUGUUCCAAUUGUAACUUGACCAUGAAGAGCAUUAUUGCUGUUCUGUUCUACCAAAAAUUUCACCACCUAGCACAGGUAACAGGAAAAGUAUGAACCAGAUAGAAAUCCACUAGCGGAAGCCAAGAUGAAAAGAGGAAUUCUAUUGCCAAAAAAAUGGUGUAGAAGAAUACCACUGCAGUUGAUGACAUUGAUAAGAAGGAACCAACAAAUACUCCCUCUGACAAUUUGGCUCCACAUAACUGCAGCAUAAGCAAAUAGUCCAAGUUUAACAUCAAUUUUGACAAGAAACACAACAUACAGAAAUUGUAACAAAAACCAAAUCAGAGGCUAAGCAACAUACUGCAGCCGUUAUGCCACACAAGAACAUAAAUAUUGCAAUUUGUAGUAGCCCUCCAAGAACAGCGACAUGUCCCACUGCUUUUAACUGCAUUGAUGAUGAAUUAUGGAAUUGGAACAGAUUUUAUGAACAAAGAAGGAAAAUGUUGUCAAUAGUUAUCAUACACUUUCCAAGCACAGAAUGAUGUACCUUUGUCAAAGAAAACUCUAGCCCCAAAGCAAAAAGAAGGAAGACAACACCAAAUUGUGCAAAAGUUUCAACCUGUGAUGAAUGAAACAAAAAGGAACUUGUUACCUGGAAUAAUGAUCGCAAAAUAAACAGAAGAACAAAUACACCACAAGAAUCUCUACCAGAUAAUAACUAAUAGUAGUUUACUGAAUAUCUACCAAUUCACCUAGGCUUAAUGAGCUAAAUGAAAAACUUUUCAUCAGAAAGUUAAUAUCAUAAUGAGGGAUUGAUAGUUAAAAAACUGGAAAAGUUAAAGAGGAACAUACUGUUUUUCGAGGCCAGGUUUUCUUCAAAAUCUCUUGAUGUGAAAGUUCUCAGCUUUCACAACAAAAAACUAAAUUUUGCAGUGAAGUAUUGUGGGACCGAUUACCAUAGGUUUUAUCAAACCAGAACUAAAGCAGUACCGCAACCAUUCUCGAAUUAGUUUAUUCAUUCAGCAUUAUAUCACCUUUAUGCAUCCUUUUAUAUUCAUCCGGUCUACUUCCAAGAAAAUCCUGUCAAAAUAGCCUAUGAACUAAGUGUCCCAAGAAAAUCCUGUCAAAAUAGCCUAGUGUCCCCGUACACAUUACCAACUGGCCAUUAUUUAUUUGUUUAUUUUCUUUAGCAGUAACUAGAAUAACUAUAGCUAGAAGAAGAAAUAAUCAGAGUGCCAAUGCAUAAACUACAGAAUAUACAUUCUACACCAAGAAUUGAUUAACUGAACUAUUUACAAUAGCAUACCUGUACCAAUUCGCUAAUGAAUUUCAGGCCCCCUGGUCCAAUAAUCGAACCAGCAAGAAGGUAGCCCACAAUAACCUACCAUGUGAAUCCAUAACUAUAUAAGAAUCCCAAAGCGUCCAUCAUUCAAAUCACUUAAUAUUGCUGAGUGCGAACCACCGUAAAAAGUAAAUGAUCAUUCAGUGCAAACAAGUAUAUCAUAUAUGCAGAAAACAAACAUGUAAUAUUACAAACCGGUUGUCCCAAACAUGAAAAGAUGAUUCCACCAAUAGCAGCAGAAACUAUGACAACUACCAAAUCUGAAAUUAAUCUGCAGCAAGAGUGGAAAAACUAUUAAGCAUAAAUCACAGGCGGCAUGCGAGUCAGUACUCAAGGAGAACUUAGAAGUAUGCAAAAACUUAAUUGCUUUUAAAUCAUAAUUACACCACUGUCAAGUAGCAAGACCCUAGAGAUAUUGUCUAAUAUUAAUAUGAAGAUAAAGAGAUUCGGACCUCAAAUCUACUUGAAGAACUGGAUACUUGGAUUUCUUGUUUGACAUCACAAACACAUUAUCCUACGUUAAGUAGGAAAAACAGGUCAACUCUGUCUAAUUAAAGAAUCUGUCCAAAGUUUCCGCACAAAAAAUCAAUUGCAAACAUUCACCACACCUUCUUGUCAAUCAAGGUCAUUUCAUCAUCAGAAUCCUCUUGAUCUGAGAAAAAGACAUCUUGAAACUGAAAUGGCCGUGUACCACUGACCAAGAUAUAUACAAGGUUUAAAAAAAUGUCAGUUUGGUAACAGAAGAAACGUAAUCUCUGAUUUCAAUAUAUUUAACAUAUAUUGUCCCAAAGAAUUCAUUUUGAAACACAACAGAUUUUAUACAUUCCCAUACUUCGCUUCUUGAGUAUCAUUUCUCUUCAUCUUCUCAUGAGUGAUUUUUGCUACAGUCUCCAGUACUGCCUGAAAAUCAUAAUCAUGACGCAACAUUGACAUACAUAGAAGUGAACAGUGGAGGAACAGAGUUAUAUAACUAGGAAAAUUACUUCUAAAACAAGAAAUAACCAAAUUUAUCAUAUGACAAUCACUGGUAAAAAACUGCCUGUUAAAGGUACAUUUUUAGUUACCAAAUGUGAUUAGCCAAAAACAUUUAAAUGACAUGUAAGUAAUCCCAAUUCUCUUUUACUGAAAAUGUAAGGUGCAUCACCAGCUGUAUUGUAUUUCUUUACAUACCAGUAACCCAGAUAGAAAACAAGAUUUCAGUUUCUUUAAUUAACUCCUAAAAGCUUAAUAACAGAAGUUAUGCCAGCUCAACAAAACUCUAAUCACCAAUUAUUCAUUUAAAAAAAAAAAUGAUUUCGGAGGUUCAAUCCAAUAGCCUUAAGUGAAGAAGCAAACUGACUUGUUGAUCUGCUACGCUGCUGUUGAAGCUGCUCCCGUCAGAUCCUAGUGAGAGCAGAAAGUAUGACUAAAUAUUAAGCACAAAACAUUGAAGUAGCUAAUGAGGCACCAAUGAAUACAUGCAAGCAUGUGGAACAGUCACAGUUUCUUAUGCAAUCAAUAACUGAAAACAUUAAAAGAAAAAGCAUAGGACAUGGCAAGUAUCACCAGUCCAGGAUUCAAAUCUGAAGCAUAUACUAUCAACCUCAAAGAGCACUUGAAAAAGAAUGUUAAGCACAAGAUAUUCUAUUUUCAAUCUAAUACAAAAUAUACUGGCAUCAAUAGAAGUCAAAACUACAACCACCGUCCUGAAAUUUAUUAUGCAACUUGAUAUGGACUCAACAGGAAUUUAAAACUUCCAAAAAUCUAAGUAACCCAAAAAAUAGAUACAUGUUUUCUUUUCACAUACAAUUUAACUAGCAUGGUGCAAUCGAAUGUGACUUUAACACAUAUUAGGGGCUACAUCCAGUCAUCCAGUAGUCAGAUUAAAAUUUAUCCAUAGCAUAAUAGAGCCAGAAUGAACAGAAUACCAUAGCAAAUGCCAAAACAAGAACAAUGAAACAAAAGACAACUUCAGAAAAGAAAUGAUAAAAUGUGAGAAAGUGAAACUUUAAACAAGAGAAUGAAUUAGGUGACAGAAUCAUCCAUUCACUAAUACAAAGUGACUCUCAGCCACGUUAAAACAAUAGAUCCAAUUACAACGGUUCUAUUCUCUAAGUAAUGCUGCUAUUCCACUACUCUCUAAAGUUUAACUAUCCACUUCAUGCUAGGGUCGACCGUAUAACUAGUGAUGGAAAUCAUAAAACAAAUUUAAUCUUAAAAUUUUAGUUCUUGAUGAAGAGCAUAACAACUUGCUUCCAACUCCUCCCUUGCCUAUCCCCAUCCCCACUAUGUAUAAUACCUCCUAGUAAACUUGGAUCCCAAUACAGAUUAUCAGCAGUGUCACCCCCAAUAACUUACCACCAAAAAUAUGCAAUGUAUGCUGUCUUCUUUUUACUCUUCUUCACUUCAACUUCUCACCUCGAACAACUCCAAAUUUUCAUAUAUUUAACGGUUUCAUAAUCAACUUCAGCCCUUCCAAAUUUAUAAUGUAGCUAACCAUCAUUCCAAUGAUGUCUGUUCAAGCUGUUGUAUUCAAAUAGUCAUCAAUUGGUGGAAGCUUUCCUAGAACUUGAAAGAGUAUCAAGAAGGUCUAAAAAUUGCAUUACAGUGGAGCUAAUUAUAUAAUUAAGCCUGAUACCCACAUUCGUUGCCUCUGCUAUUGAAAAAUCAUUACAAAACUAAUCAAAAUCAAAUCUUUAUAAAAAAAAUCUACUAAUAUUACAGCACAAAUCAUAAAAUUCAGCAUCAAAAAAAAGAAAAGAAAAGAGAAAUUAAGAAACGCAAACGAAGCCGAACCUGAAGACUGUUCGUUAUCGGGAAACUCUUUCUCGAGAACCCUGUCGAACAUUUUGGCUAUACUGCCGUCUCCGGAAUCCUCCUCCGUCGUAUUAACCAAAUUACCGUAAAACCUCUGGCGGGUCUCCUUAUCAGAUCUCGCGGACAUGCAUAUCCGCGAAUAAACCAAAACCAGGACAAGGACAAGGCAAUACCCGAUCCCAAACACAGCGCCACCUCCGCUACCACCACGUCUCGCCAUCGGUUGCAGAAACCUCUCUCUGUCUAGAGUGCGGGGUUUCUUUGGAUCGAAGACGUGUGCGUGGUUUUUGCUAUUUUAACUGUCAAAGGCAGGGCGGGAUCGCGCGUGAUAUUAAAAUGAAAAAUAUGUUUAUGAUGUGAUGGUGAUUAGUUACGAAUGAAAUUGAUUUAUUAACAUCAUUUCUUUUUUUCCUUUUUUUUAAUUAAAUAAACCUUUUUUUUUUGGUGAAUUAAGAAACGCGUUUAUUUUUGUGCUGGAGUUGUUGUUAAGUGACAUCAUAAUUGUUCAUUAGUUAGGCUGCAAUAAUUGUCAUUCCUUCGUUGGUUAAUUUCAAAAAAAAAUUUCAUUUGAUGGUUGUCCUCCGAGCUCGUGAUAGGAAGAUGCUCCCAGUAUUGUAGGAACGUAACGUCUAAUUUAGUACGACCAACGCGAGGAGAAUUAACGAACUAGUCCCUCUCGUUCCAAAAAUGACAAUUAAGUCUAUAGGUUUACCGAUUGUCUCAAAUUCAUCACUACGUUUGUUUUUUAUAGUCAAUCGAUAAUGAAACAUAACCAAAAGAAGGAGGUCUCUACACAACACAAAGAAGUGGGUUUUUAAAAAGAAAAUACACAAAUUAAUGGAAAAUUGUUGGAAAAUAGAAUCAAUUGCGAUCAAAUAUAUUCAGGGAUGGAGUCGAAAAAUUUGUUCAAAUGGACAUGUUCAACAUAUUAUACAAUUUCAUCUCUUAAUGUAGCUCAAUUGACUAUGAAUAUGUUUUACGUCCGCAGCCAUUUGAGUUCAAAUAACAAUAAAUAGUAAAGAUUGGUAUUUAUUAAGUGAGAUUUCACAUUCUCAAUCCAAAACCCUUCAAAAAAAGUAAAAUACAAUUUCAAAAAAAAAAAUCAAAUAGUCAACAAGAUAUGGCAUUUUAACUAUAAUAUUCAUUGAUUUAUUUCUACAUCGAGAAUUCAAAUAUUGAACUAUUAGUAAGCAUAAUCAAUUUUUGAAAUAGUCAACAAGAUAUGUUCAUGAUAUUUAAAACGCAGAUGAAACACUUUCACAAAUUCAAAUAAAGUAAGGUCUGAUGUCAAAUUAUUGUUGAAAAGUUUUCCGAAACCAGCUGGAACGGUGCCUCAAUUGAUCUUAUACCAGCUCCGCUGUGAGUAUAUGUAUAUGGGUUGAUAAUAUGCAUUAGAUCCCAAGUAAACAAUAAUUCGAAACUACACAAAAUUUGUAAAAAAUAUAUCUCCAAUAAUAUAACAUUUCAUAAAAUUAUGAUAAAAUGAAGUAAUAUAUUAUUUGUGUAAAAACAUCACAAGACACUUCAUGGACGAGAAUUUAUUUUAGAAUAAUAAUAUUUUGGACGGCAUUUCGCAUUUCUCCAAAGUCAAAAAUAGUUAUUAACCCAAUAAUUUAUCACAAUUCAGUGUUUUAAAACUUCCGAACGUAACCUUAAUACUAUUGGGCUUUGUGUCAAGCCCAAAUUUUUCUGUUUUUUCACCCCCUUCCUCCAAAUGUGUUCUAAUAACACGGACGACGUGUCAGAGGCGGCGUCCACCCAAGUGUGGCUAUAAUAAGUUCACACUGCAAGCGAGCCAACAACCAAGCGUGUGCUGGCCACAGGUUGAUUCUAUGCACUCAGCUUUUUCUCUCUGCCCUUAUCAAUCACAUAUUUUUUCAGAGCGUAUCAAUCCGUGCGUUUCAAUGGCGUCGAUUGCGAUGAGUUGUUCGGCGGCUGUGCCUGGAUUCCGUUUCAACAAAUCGCCAAUGGCGGCGGGUGUAGUUACGGCGAGGCCGAGGCGCGUGGUGGUGGUGAGAGCGGAAGGUCAGGGGAUCAAUUUGGAUAUCAGGAAGACGGAGGAGAAGGUUGUUGACUCUGUCGUGGUAACCGAGCUCUCCAAGCCCCUCACCGCGUAUUGCAGGUACUUUAAUUUGGUUCUGUUUCGUAAUUUAAAUACCAGAUUAAUUUAGAGACGCCUUUUUUUUUUUCAAAUUAUUGUUGUUAUUUGUUAUUAUUUACAGGAUGUGUUCGGAAUAGGAAAUUGAUUUAUGAGAUAAUUGUUAGAGAACCACAAAUAGAAAUAGAAAUUACUUGAGAGCGUUUGGACUUGGGGAAUUUGAAUAGAAAAUUACAAAUAGAAAUAGGAAGUACUCUUCUGAAAGAGAAAAAAAAAAAAAAAAAGUUAAACACUAGAGCUCUUUCUGCUCCGAAGUGCUUUCUAUAUAAAAUAUACAUAUAUAGUAGAAAAUUAAAUGUUAUCAACUUACCUACUAGGACUAACUUACGUACCCAGAUUUUUAAUCCUCACUAAUAUUCGAGGGAUGAAAAUACGAGCUUAUGGGGGUGCUUGUGGUAACUUACCUACUAAGAUCAACUUACAUCAAUACUUAUGGAGUUCGACUCAAAUUUUUAACCAUCACUAAUAUUCGAGGGAUGAAAAUAACCCACAUUGCGCUUGUGGGGUUACUUGUGGGGGUUCGCUGCCCUCCAAGUAAUAAUCUUAUUUGUAAAUAUCAGUUCUAAUCUCAUACAAUAUGAGUUGUAGUUUAAGUAAUAGUCUCGUGUAAUUAAAAAAAAAAAUAACUUGUGAUGUCGAGGUUUUGAUCAUUUGGGUUUGUUUGAUUGUUUUGAGUGUAGAUGCUGGAGGUCAGGGACGUUCCCCCUGUGCGAUGGAAGCCACGUAAAGCACAACAAAGCUACUGGGGAUAAUGUUGGGCCUUUGCUGUUGAAAAAGCAGUGAUUAUGUUAUGUAUUUUCAUUUUCCCUUGGUGCCAUUUGUUCCUGAACUUGAGAACUGAAACACUUUUGAGAGUUGAUUGCAUGAAUAAUGAGUUUUCUGUCAUUAGUUGACCAAAACUUUGGUCGCAAUAGAAUGCUAGGAAUAAUAGCCUAGGCGAUGUUAGAUUAAAGAGAGAAACAGUAUUGGGCCUUGGGUAUUGUUGGGCCUUUCAACAAUUAACCAAGAAUGCUGGUGCUUGUUGUAAAUCGCGGUGGAUUUCAUCAAAAUAAUGCUCUCCCAUUGUCUUCUUUAUUGUUCUUCCCAUUAUCUUUUUUUUAUAAUUAAUAAUUGUGAAUAACUCCACCUUCUAAUGCCUAUAUAUACCCUUUCUUUGCUAAUGAAUUAAUACAAUUCAAUUUGUCGUUCAAGGCAUUUUGCUUGUUUUCUUCGAUCUUCAUUUGAGUAUUCUUUACUUAGAUAUCAUCAUUAAAUAAUUGAUUACAUACAAUCCCUUUAAAUUAUAACAUUCAUUAUCUCCAAAUUUAUAACAGUGCUAUUAUUAUUAGAUGCACUAUAAUACAGCAUAUACUAUAUGACGAACUUCAUUUUUAACAAGUUUAACCGCCCACCGACUCAUUACAAUUCCACACGCCCUCGUUUGCUCGAAUGAAAAAAAAAAACUUCUCUCUUUUAUGAAUGAAGGGGACGUUGAAAACUUGUGAGUUUGAUAAAGAACAAAAUUAAGUAAUGAAAAUUACAACCGUGGCUUAUUGGGCGUUUGACAUUAAUGAAAAUCAAAGCUGAUGCUUGGUCGACAUUUGAUUCGUCAACUUUUGAUCGCCCCACCGUGCGGCAAGGGAAAGUGAUUAUGCAAAUCGAUAUCUAUAUAUAUAAGCUAAUGGUAGAGCUUGUGCUUGGCCGCCAAGUGAACUGAAUGAAUAUGACGUUUCGCGUGGUGUUCUUUUUAAAUUUUAAUUUUGGCAUGUGCAGAUGUGAAUCGAUAUCAUAUGAGUUUAUACGAGUGGCAUAUUGUAAUGGACUUAACUGCUAUUUUUACUGCCAAGCGAUCCCAGCUUAGUAGGUCAUCAUUUCUUGUGUGCUUGCUGAUCCCACCCCCACAAUUGUUGAAGUUUUCAUUUAUGUCCGCUCGUCGUGAUAGAAUGUGUACACUGUUGUAAACGUUGAGUAUCGGCAACCAAAAAAUAAAUAAAAACCUUGUCAGCGCACUGGAAAAAUUAGUGGUGCAUUUGUUUCCUAUAAAUCUGAACAUGUAAGAAUCAAACGAGUUAUACUCGAAAUAAGUUAAAAGAGAACCUUGUACAAACAACACUUGUAAAUAUACAUUUGUCCUGAUCAUUCAGAUUCUUUAUCACCCUUGAUUUAUUGUAGCCUGCCCUAUAUUACAACUAUACAUAUACCCUCUUAGAAUCUGACAUUGAAAUUUUGACAAGAAACCAUUUUGAAGCAAGAAAAACUUGAUAAAAACUUGGCUUAUUACCCCGUCAAGCAUCUGAUAAUCUUCUUAAAGCAAAGCCCCACCACCCAUUUAUUCCAAAGAUGCAUUUGUAAUGGGUUGAAUCAAAAUAAAUUGGAAUGAAAAUAAAGAAUAAGAAUUAGAAGAAAUUAUUUUCUUGAACUAUAGGAAUCAAAAUCUUGAGUCUGUAUAGGUGGAAGUCAUUUUCUCCUAUAAGUUUCUCUACAUCAAGCUUAGGCGUUACCAUUCUUAGACCAAGAAUUCAUGGAAUGACUCUGAUACCAAUUAGUUGAACCAAAAACUUAUUUAAAGGCUGUCAAGAGUGAUAAGUCCAUCUAAUCAAGAUGCAUGUUAUUCACAGCAAUAAGUGCCAAUAGAAUUCUUAAAGAGGAGUGUUUAACCACCGGAGAAAAUACCUUAGUGAAAUCAAUUCUCUUAUUUUAAGUAAAACUUUUGGCUACAAGCCUUGCUUUGAAUCUUUGUGUCUCAACACCCAGUAUUCCCUCUUUAAUUCUAUAAAUCCACUUACAGCUUAUUACUUUUUUGUUUGUUGGUUUCUCAAUCAGAUCUCAUGUAUGAUUCUUUAUUAAAGAUUAUGCUUGACUUAGAAUUUCUAGGUAUCCAACCCAAAAAAUUAGUUUAUUGAGUGGAGUGACUUAUUCUCCUUAUAAACCCAAGUAUCUUCUCUUUACUAGCUAAUGUGGGACACAUCUCAACAACUAGAAUGUAAAGAAACUCGUGUGAUUUGUGUUCUGGUGAUUUGUGAUUGAUCUAACUUGAUUAAUGUUUUCCCAAAGGUUUAGGAGUCUCGUUUCGCUGCCAUAACUUUAAACUGAGUGCUUUGUUUUUGCUAUUAAUAAUGUCUGCAUUAUGUUUUACAUACUGAGGUUACUUGCUGUGUUUAUUUAAGUUCUGUUUUACAUCAGUACAUGUUCUUGUGAAUCUCUCUUUCAUCUAGAAAUUUCUACUCACGACAAUUGAUGUUUGGGCAUUAUUAUUCCAUUUAUCUGACCAAACAUGAUGGUCAGAUUCCUUCAUAUUCUUAUUUGAAAUCAGGGUAAUGCAUUGCUCUCAAGUCGAGGAAGGAAGCAAUCUUACGUUCUCAUGUGGUGCGAAAAUUCUUUGAUCCAAGAGCAAAUUCUACUGGAACUGGAAUGAACCAAAAGGUUUCUUGACCCAUAAAUGUGUCGUUUGGAAUAUUAUUUAAUGUACGUUGUUUUUUUUAAAAAAAAAUUGAAAAUGUUUCUUAUAAUUUAACUUAUAGUUGUUAAAACUUUUUGGUACGAAAUAAUUAACAUAACUUUUUUAAAUUUCAACGUAGCUUCAUUGGAAUUCCUAUUGUGUGAGAAUUAAUAUGCAUAAGAGUAAGUCAAUUAAACCUAUUUCUUUUGCCUUUAAGAUUUCUACAAAUUCAUAUAAUUAUGUCUAACACUAAAAUUCGUCAUAGUUUUAUAUACAUUCUAUUAAACUUUGUUUUUAAAAGUCACUGAAGCUAUUGGUGUUUUCUUCCAUCUUAAAAGUCACUCGGCCAAACGCGAGUGGUUAGGCCUGCUACCCUCUAAGCAGUUCGAACCCCUACAAGUAUAAUGUGGGAGUAUUUCCUUCUUUAAUUAUAUUGUAUAAUUGAAUGAAAAUAAUCUUCUCACUUACCCACGAGUAAGUGGACCAGACAUCCCUCGAAUAUUAGUGAGGGUUAAAAUAUGAGCAGAGCUCCAUAAUCAUUAAUAUAAGUUGGUCCUAGUAAUAGUUUGAUUUGUAAAUAUCAGUUAUAAUCUUAUGUAAUAUGAGUUGUAAUUUGAGCAAUAAUCUCAUAUAAUCAAAAAAAAAAAAAGAUAAUAGUUCUAAAGAACGUGUAUUUUUUAAUAUAAAUUUUGUUAAGUAAAUUAUUAAUGUAUUUCAACUGUAUGAAUUUAUAGACUUCUCAAAAUCCCGGGUUGUAUUAGACCAUGAUACAUUUUAAAGAACACGCACAUGAAAAAUCAUGUGCAUAAAGAGAGACUGAUGAUGAAUUAAUUGAAGCAUAAUUAUCAAUUUGUCAAACCUCAACAAUCAACAAAUGAGCUUAUAAAGCCAUCUUUUUUUCUAGGCUGUCAUUUUUGUUUUUACAUCGAAAUCUAAUUGCUUCUGUAUCCACUUACCCAUUAAACUCUAGAAUGUUUGAUACUAGAAAUAAUCCAACUGUACUCCAAAGUCCAAAAAUAAAUGUUGUCAAUUAAUCCCAUACUAAAAAAAUUUAAUAAAAUAAAGUUCUAAUCAAUGCCCUUCGCUGUUUUAGAGCAUGCUUUUUUUUUUAUUUCUUAUUUCCGUCUCGGGCGCUUGUGCUGCUGGGAAAUUAAGCUACCAAGCACAUGUUAAGUGUGACAGAUGCUUCUAGUAGUUGAGAUAUGCACAUCACUACAUGUCAUGUGUUAGUGUUGGAACUCGCAAGCUCUUAUUGUGGACGUUCUCAUUUUUAUCAACAUGAUGAUCAUAUUAUGCUCAUGAUUUGCUUGCUAUUAAAGGAGUAAAAUUUUACCGUACUAUUUUUGAAUUAAUAUGUUUAAGACAGGCGAAAAAAAAAAAAAAACCCAUCUGUAGUUCUGUACGUAUUUUAUGAUUUUAUGUCAAAUUAAUAUUUUAUUCAUUUCAUCCCAAAUGCCAUUGGAUUCUUUAGUGUCGGUGUUACAGCUUUAAUGCAUCAAAUUUAGGAACUUUAAUGUAAAACAAUUAUGAUUGCUAACGUUGGCCCAGUCCACACGUUGGGAGUAACAAAAGGUCAAAUCCAACCUUGGGAGUUCUCAAAUCGCAAUUGCCCUUUCUUUUCUUUUUAUUUGGUUUGUGGGAAAAAGACUGUCAUAGGGUAAGGUUUAGGAAAAUGAAUCAAAAAUAUCUCAACGUUUUAGAAAAAACUAUUUACAAUUCUAUUUUUUUUAGUAGAUUCUAUUUGUUUUAUUAAAAAUGCAUUUUUAUUUUAUAAUUAUUAUUAUAUCCCUCUACCAAAUAAGUCAAUAGGUUAUUAACCUUUGAUGAAAUUGAUGAGAUUGGUGGCUAGUUGACUUUUAUCAUAAACAUCCUCUUCAGAGCCACUUCAUCGAAGCUAUUGUCGGUUCGUCGAACAAGAAACCGGUUCUACCAAAGCACGCAUAAUUAAUUAAUUAAUCUCUAAUAAACACUUAUUAAACACGUAAUUUUUGUUAAAAGAAAAAAAAAGUGACAUAAGAAAUGAUUCACAUAUAGUCAAGUUAGUAUUAAUUUUUUUUAAAAAAAUCCUCUCAUGAUCUAUGUCUUCUGAGUUUUUCAAGAUUUUUUUUUAUGUGUAUUUUAGUGAUAGUGUAUGGAUAAGAUUCAACUCUUUUUAUUUUUUUUAUUUAUUAACUAUCAAUUAAUAAACGAAUUAUUUACUUAGAAUAUAAUCAGAUUAUAAAAGAAUCUUAAUCUAAUUUUUUUAAGAUUAACAUAUUAAAUUAAAUUGGUAUGAGCCAAAAGUUGACAAUAAAGAGUAAACCAAAUUGCCGCCACACUCAAAUAAAUCCUCCGAUCCGUUAUCUGUACAUAAAAUUACUCGUGGGGGCGGUAUGUUUCAGCAAUCGGGUUUUAACCACUUCUGAUGUUUUGCAAAUGUGGGUCCAAUAGAAUCAUACUCCAUAUGAUUCCGCCAAGUUUCCAAUUGUAUUCCAAAAUUUCAAACGUGAUAAUUUUUCCUUUUUGCCCUUUUUUUUCUUAACUCAAGUUUGUCGGCGGCGGGUGCCCAAAGCUUUUGUUUCCUUGGGCCUCAACGGACCCUUACGAACGGACCACGUGAGCCCGAAAGUUUAUCGCUUUACUUUACUCUUAUCAUUACAGCUAUUAGCUAACCGUAUCGGGCGCCACUUCUCCGUCUUCACUACAUUUUAAUAAUGAGCAUGACAUUCUCAAAAAAAAUAAUAAUAAUAAUGAGCAUGACGUCCGCUGGCAUUACACGACACCGUUUCGUACUAGCAGCGACAAAAUUAACAGGUGUCAAUCCCACUGUCAUGGGCCCACGCGUCGCGCUACACGUGGCGGCGCUACGGCACGUGGUCAACUUUUUAAAUUAGACCCUUGUUUAGAAAUUUGAAAAAUAUUCCUGAACUCCGAAUCUAGUAAUUGAAAAAUCGAUUCGCCGAAAACUGUGGCUUAUUGUGAUUGGUUGGUAUUAAUAAAUUAGUACAAGAGCGUCAAGGGGUACCACGACUAGCGGCAAACUAUUAUUCCAUUUUCUUUCUUGAAUAAUCCCGCUUUUAGCAUUAUAUUAAAAAAUUUAAAUAUAUAAUUAGAAAUAUUAUUAAUUAUUAAUGGAUUUAAUCACCCAAUUAUGGAAUUGAGAAUUGGACAAAUUUAGAUCUAAAUUUAUACUUGUAACCCAAAAAUGAAGAGUGUUAAUUCUACUUCCAUAAUUAGCUGAAAUAAUUCUUUCCAUUCUCUAUCACUACAAAUUUAGCCUGGCGAGGGGCGAACGAUAUACAAAAUUAUAAAUAGGAACGCCCCGACCAAUCAGGCAAUUAUGCAGGGGGUCGAACUUUCAGUGGGUACCCACAUCGAAGCAAAAGCACCGUUACAUUUUGAGAGUACAACACUUUGUCGGUCGUCCAAUCCGACGGCUAAAACUCACCCACGUGUCGAUCCUUCACCCCUCCGUUCCUCCUUGCUUCGCCAACAAUAAAGUACACGAUCCUUAAUUUCUCAAAGCUAAGCGAAAAACACUAACCGAGAAAUCACUCGUCUCUUUCCCAGCGCUUCUACUUUCCUUUCACUGGAGAGAAAAAAUAUAUUCCCAUUUGUUUCCGAUAAACCGGCACCGGAAUUAUCAGACGGCUAUUUUCUGAUGCUUCCAUAUUCCAAGCUUCCGUCGCCGGACCCGCCUCCGAAAAAAUCAAAAUUUCCCGAGUUAGAUCAAAAGAGCUCGUUAAAUGGACUGAUUUAUCCAACUCUCUCGCUUCAAAGCCCACGCUCAUGGCUGCUCCUCGUCAUCCUCUUGCUCCAGGUAAUUUUCGUCCUCGUGCUCCGCUCCGUCUCCAUGUCAUUCUCCACUAGCCACGUGGCGCCCCAACAGUCCCACCCCGAAAUAUCGGCCUCCGUCCCUCGCGUAUCGGACCAAUGCGAGUUGGGUAAAAUCUACGUCUACGAUCUCCCUAAAGCUCUCAACGAAGAUUUAUUACAAAAUUGCCACGAGCUGAACCCGUGGGGUUCUCGCUGCGACAUGCUGUUAAACGACGGGUUCGGCAGACAGGCGAGUGCGUUAAACGGCGUCGUACCGGAGAAUUUAGUCCCGGCUUGGCACUGGACUGAUCAGUUCGUUCUGGAAAUCAUUUUUCACAGAAGGAUUUUGAACCACAGGUGUCGGACGUUGGAGCCAGAAUCUGCUGCGGCGUUCUACAUACCGUUUUACGUUGGACUCGCGGUGGGGAAAUACCUGUGGUCUGAUUCGAGCGCCAAGGCGCGCGAUAUGCACUGCGAUAUGAUGUUAAAGUGGGUCCAGGAUCAACCGUAUUGGAACCGAUCGGACGGGUGGGAUCAUUUCACGGCCAUGGGGAGGAUCACGUGGGAUUUUCGGCGGUCGAAGGACGAAGACUGGGGGUCCAGCUGCAUCUACAAGAAAGCUAUGAGGAACAUCACCCGCCUCCUCAUCGAACGAAACCCGUGGGACUACUUCGACGUCGGUGUGCCUUACCCCACUGGAUUCCACCCCCGAUCCGCGUCCGACGUCACCCAGUGGCAGGACUACGUCCGCAGCCGCAAUCGCUCGUCCCUCUACUGCUUCGCUGGGGCCACGCGGAUGGUCAAGAACGACUUCCGGUCGAUGCUGCUGAGUCACUGCAAGAACGAGUCGGGCUCGUGCCGGGUCGUGGACUGCGAGGGGACCCGGUGCAUGAACGGCACGUCGGCGAUCCUCGAAACGUUCUUGGACUCGGUGUUUUGCUUGCAGCCGAGGGGGGACAGCUUCACGCGGAGGUCGAUAUUUGACUGCAUGGUGGCCGGUUCGAUCCCGGUUUUUUUCUGGAAGCGGUCGGCCUAUUUCCAGUACGCUUGGUUUUUGCCCGAUGAGCCCGGGAGUUACUCGGUUUUUAUAGACCGGAACGAGGUGAGGAAUGGGACCAAGUCGAUAAAAGCAGUGCUGGAGAGUUACUCACAAGAGGAAGUGAAGAGAAUGAGAGAUAAAGUAAUUGAUUAUAUACCAAAGUUUAUUUACGCCAAAUCCAGAGAAGGUUUAGGGACAAUCAAAGAUGCAUUCGAUGUUGCAAUUGAUGGGGUGUUACGGAGAAUCAAGGAGCAACAAGAGUUGGGAUUUAAGUGGUAGAUCAUGGACCGUCGGCUUAUGUGUAUUCUGUACAUAUUUUUUCACUACAGAUAAUUAAUUUUACCAAUAUAGAUGUAAUUUUUUUGUUUUUUUUUGCUUUUUGGAUCGAUGAGAGUUCUGCGAUAUACGUUUGCCUGGCAACUGGCUGGGUGGGUGGGUGGCCGGCCUUAUCAGAGUGAAGGACCACUGCUCCAUUAUUCUUUUGGAUGUCGUGUAUAUUAUCAUUUUUGUGGCGCCUUACAUUACUUACAUGGAUGCGCCAUGAACUGGGUUCCCUUUUGUUUCCUUGAAAUUGAUUUUUGGUAUCAAUACAAUGUUCAUUGCCGAAUAAAUUAUUGAUGAAGUUUUAAUUUAUUUCUUUUUGUUUGAUGGCUCGUGGACAUCUUGGAAAUAAGCUUGUAUGCGUUUUCUUUCAUGAUGAUUAAGAGAGCAGAUGGUGAAUAGAUAUAUAUAUAUAUUUCUUUUAUCACGAGGUAUUCUGGGAAGGGCCUCAACUGUGGGAGUUACCUUUAAGUCCGUACCAUAAUUCAGAUUAGAAGUCCCCGCUUGAAUCGAGAGGCACAUAUUCUCCCAACAAAGACGAAUAGAUAGUUAAAUGCAGAAGAAGGAAGCACACCAGAAUUUGGAAGCCGUGGUCUUUUAUUUUUACCAACGUAAACCUGAUUAUAAUACAUUUGACAACGUACAGUUAUAUUAUAUUCAACAACAUUCGACUAACGCAUGUUGUUAAAGUUAUAUUGUCUUAACCUGAUUGUUGUUAUUAUUAUUAUUGUUUUUGCACAAUAUGACAAAUAUUGUAAUAAAUAACAGUAAUUACAAUAACAAAUUAAGGGUAUUUUAGUAACUUAAAAUAAUUUAUUUUAAUUUUAAAAUAAAAUAAAUACAUCAACGUUAAUACGACUCAUUCUGAUUUUGAUAAGUAUUUCCUAAUUCAAUAAAUAAAUACUCCAUAAAAAAAAAAAGAAAAAGGGNNNNNNNNNNNNNNNNNNNNNNNNNNNNNNNNNNNNNNNNNNNNNNNNNNNNNNNNNNNNNNGUUAUCCUCUUUCAUUUUACAUUUCUCAUCAUUCCACCUUGUUGUUUUCCCAUUGGACGAUCAAGUUUGACAUCAUGUUUUAGUUGUUUUAUACUGCAAAUUGCCAGUAAAUAUCAAACACCAACAACCGCAUCAUUGUCCUCGCAACUAGGUUUAAACUGUUAUCUAAACCAUUUUUAAAUCAAAGUUUUGUCUUAGGGGAAGAAAAAAAUAGUGAAAUGGGUUUUCUGGUUUGAUGAUCUCAUUGAUUAAUAUAGAGGAACAUGGCAAAGUGACGAUGGUGGGCCUUAAAAGCAUAAAAAGCCGAAGGAAUCUCCAUAUUUUGCUACUUUCCUCUUGCAGAUGGAGGCAAGAGCAUGCCCAAUUACAAAUAUACAGAGUUAAUUAGGAAAGCAACAAAAACUAAUACUUCCUUGUCAAUGGCACCUUAUUUCUCAAUUUCUUUUAUGUCAGUGUCUGUAGUUUUUAGGAGAGUGACUGGGUGAGGGUGAGAGUGGUGAAGUGCAACAUAUAACAUAUGUAAGUAAGAGUAGGCCUAGCCACUCGGCCAAAGGCCGAGUGGUGAGAGCUGCUGCUCUCUAAGCAGCAGUUCGAACCCCCACAAUGUAUUGUGGGAGUAUUUUUUUUCUCAAUUAAAUUUGAGUGAAGGCAGUCUGCUUCCUUACCUAAGUACGAGGAGUAGACAUCUCUCGAAUAUUUGAGAGGGUUAAAAUUUGAGCAACGCUCCAUUAGCAUUGAUGUAUGUUGGUCUCAUUUAUAGUCUGAUUUAUAAAUAUCAAUUAUAUUCGCAUGUAAUAUGAGUUGUAGUUUGAGCAAUAAUCUCAUAUAAUAAAAUAAAAUAAAAUAAAAAGUAAGAGUAGGCCUUCCUCAUUUGUCAUUUCAAACCAUGUCAAGAGUUGAAUCAUUCCCACCCCUUCACAAACCUCUUAAAAUUCUUUUAAUUAUUUUACGAUUUUAACCUUUAUUAAAUUUACAUAACAAUUGUCUUGCGCUGAAAGCUCUCCACUUCACCAUCUUGAAUUCUGUUAGACAAACCGCAUCGUGUGAUCAAGACGAUGAAUGCGACAAUUGAAGAAUGAGAUGUCGAUAUCGAAUUCGGCAUGACGACAUCCCAUCUCCAUAUUAAGAUGACAGUGUGCAGAUAAUCUUUGAGAGGGGCCACUGGCUGCGUCUUUUAGUGAAAUCCCAAUUGAUUGUUAUUAGUUUUUACUGAUGAGAUGUAAGUCAUGUCUUCACAUUCAUUUUCAAGUGUACUGAUGAGGUUGAACAAUUUAAUUGUGAUAAAUAAAUAAAAAAGGAAUAAUUUUAGAAUAUAUAUGGUGUAUUAAAACUAAUUAAUACAUAUAUAACAUGUGUAAUUGAGUUUAAUACUCUUCAUUAUUUGUAUGAUAAUUUAUAAAAUAAAUACAUAUAUGUCAUGAUAUUAUUUAGUUAUUAUAUGGGUGAUAUGGUAGAUGUAUUUUAAAAUUUCUAUUAAAAAAAAAAGAAAUUUUAAGACGCAUUUAAAAGAGUGCCAAUAGGUCAAGUCAUUAUGUCAUUGACAAACAAUCUAAUCACUAUGGGUGUGUUUUUUUUUUAAUUACAUGAGACUAAUGCUUAAACUACAACUCAUAUUACAUGAGAUUAUAACUGAUAUUUACAAAUCAGAUUAUUGUUGGGACCAACUUACAUCAAUGCUAAUAGAGCUCUGCCCAGAUUUUAACCCUCACAAAUAUUCGAGGGAUAUCUACUCCUCACUCUUGGAUAAAGAAAUAGACUAUCUUCACUCAAUUUUUAAUUGAAGAAGAAAAUACCCAACAAUGCAUUUAUGGGGAUUCGAACUGUUGCCCUGCAGCUUAGAGGGCAGCAACCCUAACCACUCGGGCCAAGGCCGAGUGGCUCAAUGGGCGUGUUUGCAACCCGCAUAACAUCAGACUCAUGUUUGGGCAAUUGGGCUGCAGUAGCUGCAACAUUGUGGUGUAUAUUCAAACCCGAGUGUGACUGUUAAAUUAACUUUCUUUCUAUUUUUAUUUUUCAUGUAUUAUAACAAAUAAAAAUAAAUUUAUGAUUAAUUUUAAAUAAUUUAAUAAUAUAUUUUUUAUUUUAUAUUAAUUAUAUAAAUAUAUAAUUAAAUAUUACAUUGUUUAAUUAUAUUAUAAUAAUUAGUAUAAAGAUUAAAUAUUAUAAAAUAUUUUAGUGUAACUGAUAAUAAAUAGUUAAAUAUUAAUAAAUUUAAAUAAUAUAAAUUUAAAAUUAAUACUAAUAUAAAUAAUGAUAUAAUUACAUAUACUACAAUACAUAUUGUACUAAACAUGAUAUUGCAUUAUAACUUAAUACAUCUAAUGGUGCGUUUACUAAUUAAUAAUUAGUAAUUGGCUAGAAUCGAAAUGGAGGAGUGAAAAUCAAAAUAAAAUUAUUUAUUUUAGCUGUAGAAAUCGGGAUAGGAAUGAGCUGUAUUGUGUUAAUUUUAUCUUGAAAUUAUAAUAAAUUGUUUUAGAUUACUAAAAUGGUUUUAGUUUAUGAUUAACAUUAUUUUUAUCAUUUAUUAUAAUGAUUAUCAUUAUUAUUAUUAUUCAAGAAAAUUUGUUAAUACUAAUAAUAAUAGACUUAAUAGUUACAGUUGUUGUUGUUGUUGUUGUUGUUGUUGUGUCUAUAUUCUCUCUUUUGUCCUUUUUUCCCUCUUUUUCUCCUUCUCUUUUUUCUUUCAUUUUUUUUUAUUUUUUAUUUUUCUUUUCUUUAUUAUUUCUUUUCUUCUUCGUCUAUUCUUAUUUUCUUAAUUUUCAAACUCAUUUUUCUUUUUCUCUUAUUUUUUGUUACUUCUUCUUCUUCUUCUUCUUUUUUGUUUCGUUUUUAUUUUUUCCUCUUCUUUAUCAUUUCUUAUUGUUCUCCCUUUGGUCUUCAAAUCAACAAGUGAAAGACACCGACAAUGCUACAUGAUGAUCGAUGACGCAAUUCCUACUUGCUGCGUGAUGAGAUCUUAGUUUUGGUUAAUGUGAUUUUCAAUUUUUUUUGUAUUUUUUAUUUUUAUUAUCUAAAAAGAGAAUAAAAUUGCAACAAUGUAAUUUGGGAUAUUUUUUAGAGUUUUGGGAAUGAGAGUACUUUAAACUCUCUCUAAUAUUUAAAAGGUGUCUACUCUACUCAUAUUUUGUAAAAGAGGGACUGUUUCCAGUCAAUUAGUUGAUAAUUGAGAGAGUACUGAAACUAACCUCUAUAAUAUUCUUAUGAAAGCUUAAACACUUACACUCGAUAUUGUAAGUGGAAGUUUCUUCUAUUGGACCAAAAGUCCAUUGGUUAAUGUAAUAUACCUUAAUACAACACAAUAGUAUGUCAAACAUAUCCUAUAAGACAAAAAUCUGAUGUAAAAGGCUGAUGUGGCCCAGAUAAGUCUGGACUCUCGGGCAGCACAAAGGGCCCAAAUAGACCCAUAAAACCUUAACCUCAAAUAAAUCAAGUUGAUAGUAACUCUUUACACUCACAUCCCCUGAAGACAGUUUCAUCUUUGUCGUCUCCUUAACGGCAUCUUGGCUUCACUUCUGUAAAUACAACUCGUUUGCCAAUUGAAUGUUGUUUCCCUUACUUCUCACCUGCAGUGAAAGGGUUAUUUCGAUUUCAAUAAAUUGUUUUUGUUGCACAUAAUUCCUUAGUUUAAAAUUUGAAUGUAUGUAAAGAUUGGCUUCUUUCACCAUAAAUAUAUUUUCUGACAACUGCAGAGCUUGUUUAAUUCAGGGCCGGAUUCCCAGUCCCACUGAAAAAAAAAUCUUUUAAUAAUUAAUUUAAUUAUCUUAUAAUUUCUAAUAAAUUUUUCUUAAAUCCCCAAUAAUUUAUAUUCAAGCCCCUAAUACAUAUCUACACUUAAAUUCUCACACUCCAAAAUUUUAAAACAAAUCAAAAGAGAUGGACUUUACAAACUAAAAUCAAGCCCAAAAACAUCAAUAUUAAUUAAAUUUUUAAACAUAAAUAUUAGUAUUAGUGUAGAGAGAGCAUUUUCAGCCAUGAACAUUUUAAAGAAUCGGUUACGAAACCAAAUAAGAGAGCAAUGGAUGAAUGAUAGUUUGGUUGUUAUAUAAAAAAAAAACCUAUUUAAUAAUAUUGAUAAUGAAGUUGUAAUGCAACAUUAUCAAUGUAUGAAAACUCGUAAAGGACAAUUGUAAACAUAUUUUGAAGUAUGAAAAACCUUUCAAAUUUAUAUAUUUAUUAUUUUUUAAAUUUUUUUAUAUUAUUGUUGAAUAAACCCCCAGUCAAUCAAUAUACUGACUCCACCCCUGUUGUUUAUUGUCUUAUAAUUUAGAACAAAGAAAGCAUACAAGAUGACAUGAUUUCGAUGUCAUUGCAGUCUUAAUACCAUCUCUAAAUAAAAAAGAUAAAAUAAAAAAUCUUUCUCAGUCUCUCUACCAUACGCCGGGUUCAUUGAGAAAAAAAUGGUACGGGGAUAUUUGUGGCAUUAAAGUUGGUGUAACUGGUAUGUGAGUGGCCAUUCCUUCUUUUUUUUUUUUUUGGGGGAUAGUAAAGCAUAAAUAGUACGUGAGUGGCUUUGAUUUUUAUUCUUUAAUGCUUGUAAUUAAAAAGUGGGGUUAUAAGAACAGUAGUGGGGUGGUGGUAGCACACUCUAUUAAAUAUCCACUCAGUCCUCAGCGGCGUCAGCACUACUACUUUGCCCAUGCAAUAUUUGCCCGAAUCCUCUCCUCGGCAGGCAAACGCAAAACUCUAAACUAGCCCUUCUGAAACGAGGCGUUUUAGUGUUUUACUUGCGAAAUUUGACUGGACAAAGUAGCAACCUUGAAUGAUCCACAUAUUAUUUGAAGAGGUUCUGAUCUAAUCAUCUAAUGCGCGCUGUCACGCAUUGUGUGCAACGAUGCGUAUGAUGAAUUUUCAUUAACUAAAUUAUGUGUCCUCAGUACAACUCUACCGGUACAAAUUUGUCACAUAUAUCAGUUGUUCACCAUAACGUGCACAUAUAAUCAAAAUUCUUUUAAGUUAUAUAUACUGAUUUCAUUCCGCAUUUGCUCUUAUUGCAUACAAAUUAUCAUAGUUUGGGCUUUUAUGAAGGAUGCUGAUAGGCGUGGCCAAAACUAAAUUGGACCUGAAAAAUUACCGGUUCGAUUUGGUUUUUUAGGGUUUUCGAUCGUUAUUUUUUCUUAGAAAAAAGUGAAUAUUUUGGUUUGUUAUAAAAUCAAAUACUUUAGUUCGGUUUGCAUGUUAAAGUUUCAAAUCUGAAAAUCAAACCAAAAAAUUGAAAAAAUAAUUUUUAAAUAAAAAAAUUUCAUAUCAUUUAGGGGUGGCCCAAACUAAACUGGACUUGAAAAACUUCGAUUUAAUUCGGUUUUCUAAGCUUCAAUUCAUUAUUUUAUAACUAAAAACACUGAAUGAAUUAACGUCAAAAUCAAACCGAAUGAAAAUUUCCAAAUUGAUUUUUUGAAUUCCCAAAUUACAAGCAAAUUUUGCAAAAAAAACAUCUUUGGCAUCGGUGUGAGCGAAUUUAAAUCUCUAAAAGGAAAUAUAGUAUUUUCAUUUUUUUUUUAAUGUAAGGAUAGAUAAUGGAAUCCUUACUAGGGCUCAAUCCACUUCUCGGCACGCGGAGGGAAGUGGUGUGUAACACCUGAUGAAAGAUUUUCUGGUAAGAAAGACAAGAAGACGAUAAGAAAAAAAAAUAUUUUAUUUAAUUUUAUAGUUUGUUUUGUAGUUUAGAGAAAAAUGUGUAUAAAUUUUAACUUCUAUUAGUGCAAAGUAGAUUUUGUUUUGUGUAUUUUUUAAUUUGAUUUUAGGUUUAGGCUUAACAAACAUGUAUUACACAUUUAGUAUUAAAAUGAAAAUGAAAACAUGGGCUAAAAAAUGACCUUAGGGCAUGUUUGGCGCGCGGGUUUCAGGGGGUAUGGAUUGUACAAAAUUUUCAGCACCAUGUUUGGUGCGGAUAAUUAAGGUGAGACUAUGUAUAAAUAAAUCAAGUUUGGAUGGCUCAUAAAGACCCGCCCAUUCCCCGAGUUUACGCGGGUCUUGCCACAUUUACCUUUUUUUUUUAAUUUUUAACUCAAUUCUUUAAUUUAUUUUAAUUAUGUAUUAAAUAUAAAUAUUUAAAUCAUGGCCGACGACUUGACCACCGUCGGGCGCCAACUAUUGUUAUUUUCCGGCAUCUUUUGACAUUAUUAUUAGUAUCAAUACAAUUAUUGUCCUGAGCUCUACACGACCGUAUCAAGAUCUUCGGCAACGGAGCUACCGUUUGAUGUAGAUCUACAAUUAAAGUUUUGAGAUUCAAAAUUUUAAUUGUCGAUCUACGGCGAAUGGGAGCUUCAUUUUCGGUGAUUUUAGUACCAUUGUGUAGAGCUCGAUAAGAGAAUUACAAUGAUAUUAAUCAUUACCUAAACAAACAAUGUUAAAAAAUUUCCAGUGGUUGUCAAUGGUGGCUGCCAGUGAUUAAUUCAUUUUCUAUUAAUAAAAUUAUAGUUUAAUAUAAUAUAAUCAUAUUAAAUAUUAAAAUACACAAUACAUUCCAUACUUACACAAGGUUAAUGUAUUAUUUAAUACCUUUUAAUACAAUAUAAUCCAUUACAAACCAAUACAGACUACUACAAUCCCAUCUACCACAGACCACCUUAGUGUUUUACUUGCCAAAUUUUGUUGGAUAACGCGCAUAGUCAUGCACUAUGUGCGAUGAUACAUAUGAUGAAUAUUUACUAAUAAAAUUAUGUGUCCACGAUUCAACUCUACCAAUAAAAAUAUAUCACAUGCAUUGUCGUUCACCAUAACGUGCGCGCUUAGUUAAAAUUCUUUAGUUAUAUAUACUGAUUUCAUUCCACAUUUACUCUUAUUACAUACAAAUUAUCAUAUAUUACACUUUUGUGAAGGAUGGUAAUGAAUCGAUCAAUGCUAGUCUAUUGAUGAAUAGUAAUCAUGAGAUAAGAGUAUUCAAUUGAUUCUACUAAAGCAAGGGUACUUGCACUUGGAUUAUGAAAUUAGAUCCUUAAGAGUCUUUCCAGUCAUACUAAUGUACCGACAUUCUGAAAAUCUUUUUGCUUUUUGUAAAAAAGAAAACAGAUGCUCAUAUGGCAGUGGCUAGAGCUGAAGCAACAGUGGCGUCGUCCCCCUGAAAAUUAAGAUAAUCCAAAGUAAGUGUCUUCUUCUCAGCCACGUUGGAAACCCCCUCCUGAAGGUUGGUUUAAAAUGAAUGUGGAUGCAGCAAUCAAGUCAAAAAAGAUCAAUAUGGUUGGUUGGAAUCGCCAUCACGAACCACAAUGGAGAGUUCGUAGCUGCUGCUGUAGCAUCUGCGGAAGCUAGAGCAGCAAAUUGGCGACUAGAAAUUGCAGGAGAUGCUGCAUGUAUUCCACUGAUUGGUGAAUCAGAUUGCCAAGAAGUGAUGAACCUAAUCACGGAAAAGAAGAGCAGCAAGAUGGAGAUUGUUUGGACCAUUUCUGAGGCCUUCAAAUUAAGAAUAUAUAAUGCUAUAAAUAUUUCGACAUAAGCCUAGAAGUUGUAGCUCAUGCUUCAGUUCAGUUAGUCUAGCUUCAAAGGUUGUUGAACCCGUUGUUUGGCUGGGGACUUGCUCGCCCUAUCUUUUGUACUCAACCACCAGUCUUCACAUUUUUAUUACUAAAAAAGAAGGAAAAUAAAUAUAGUAUUAUUUAUUUAUUUAUUUUUAAUGCAAGGAUAGAAAAUGGAAUCAUAACUAGGGCUCAAACCACUUCCUUCCACGUGGAGGGACGUGGUGUGUGACACGUGACGGAAUUGCCGCGGCUCAAAUAUUUGGAUUUCGAAAAGAUGGCGCAGAGAUCCCCGCUACCCACCCACCUCAAAUCAAUCGUCUCUUUAUUUCAUAAGCUUUUAUUUAUGUUGAAAAGCGUGAAAUGCAUUUACUCUUUCUCUGUUGAUUUCCUGACUAGAAAUAAACAAAAUAUGUAUUUAAUAAAGGGAGCCCUUAAAGUUAUAUGUAAUGUAAUUUACACCCACAAAUAAUAGGUGAUGUGAGGUUCAUCUAUUAUUUGUGAGUGGUACAUGUAACUUAGUAUUUAUUUUUUAUAAUAAAAUAUUACAUGAAAAAAUCGCUUUAGUUAUUUUAUACAUGAUUCUUUCAUUAAAAAAAAAUUAAUGGUUAUGAAAAUAAUAUAAUGUUAUUAUUUUAUAUAUUCACAAUCAUUGAAUUUUCAUCAAAUCAACUGUGAAAUGGUUAUGUAUCUUACGUAAUUAUGUAAGAUAACAACCUCGAAAAAUCUAUUAUCAUAUGUUCAUGUCCAUUUCUCGAUGACUCAACAUGGGCGUUCGUAGGAGCAACGUAAAAGAUUAGUUGAUAGGGAAUCAAGAGAAAAUUUGGAAGGAUAAGAUUAAGAACAUAGAAGCGGUUGUCAUGGCUGAAAAGGCAGAAAAUUAGAGAUUUUUCAUGUCCUUUUUUGCAAUUAAAGUUAAUUAAAUCUGAUGCGUUUGGGUUUGGAGUUCUCGCCAAAUGGGCUCAACUCGUUGGCGCCUUUUCUUUUCACUUUCGGCAAAGGUUUCGUGAGAGAGCUCCACGUGUGUGGAAAUUGGAAUGCAAACAUUGAAAGCUCUCAAACUUAUAAAGAAGAAGACCGUCGAAGAGUUGAAAACCUUAGAAGACGGAUCUGCCCCUAGACCGACCUCAGAGUUAACUACCAUUUUCCUUUUGUUGUUUUUAUUCAACACAGUAUUUUUUACACCGCACGAUUCACCUACUCGGCAUAUCACAGUCCUUCACUCCCAUUGAGGAGCCUAUAUUUAACAAGCCUCCUGGAGGAGGAAAAAAGAAAAAUCCAUCGAACGAAGUAACCAAAACAGGAACUGAAAAUGAAAAUAAAAUUGGCAGCUCACUUUCUGCUGCUGUUGGCCUUCAGUGCGUUCAUGCUCUCGGAGGCCGAAACGCAGCUGAAACCUCAUGCUAUUGAAUCGUUUACCGUCAAUUAUAUUCAGGUACGAGUGUGGUUCUUUUUAUUAUUAUUAUUAUUAGUAUUUGUGAACUUGGUAUAUUCCGUUGUAUGUAUUAUGUUUGAUAAUUGUUUUAUUUUUAUUUUGAACCAAAAAUAGAAGUUCGGGAACUGCACGUACCUGGUGGUUAUAAAAACUAGCUGCGACUCAAAAAACUUUACUCGUGAUAGGAUCAGCAUCGCUUUUGGUGAUGCUUAUGGCAAUCAGGUUUGCUUCUUUUCUUUUUUUUAGAACAUAUAUAUUUUAUUUUAUUUCAGGUUUAGGCCAGGAAAGUAGUUUUUAUGUUUUUCUAUUUUUUCUUUUGAGAAAUUUUUUUUUAUGUUUUUAACCAGUUCGUUACUGUUAUGAUGCAUAUAUAAUUUUUUGAGAACGAAGUCAAAAUAAUUCAUCCAUGGGUUUCGUAUAAAAAGUUGGCUUUCAAAUUAAAGCACAAGGGCUUUUUAAUAUUAAAAGAACAAAAAUUAAGCACAACCCUAAAACGGGCUCGCAGAGUUUGUGUGUGGGCUGUCGCAGACUCCCAGAUGAUAUGUUACAAAAUUUAUGGGGGUUGUAUUCGAGCGCUGUCUUAUGUAUCGAUCAUAGGUGUUUUUCAAAGCAAUUGCUUCUUGAUGAAGGGCUUGUGCUUUAAUUUGAGUUUAUAGAAGUAAUUGUGCUGCUAAUUAGGUCAGUUACUCUGCUAGUACGCUCAUGCUUCUUGAAUAUUUUCGAGAGCUUUAUCCAGAAAUAUAUUUAAAGCUAACAUCUUAGUGGAGUUUGAUGUUGAUUUUUUUCUUCUAUGGUAAUAAUUAAUAUUGUUGAAACAAUGAUAAUCAGAUUUAUGCACCGAGACUGGACGAUCCGUUCACCAAGACAUUCCAAAGUUGUUCGUCCGAUGGGUUCCAGAUUGACGGACCAUGUGCAACCGAUAUCUGUUAUGUGUAUUUGCACCGAUCAGGACUUGAUGGUUGGGAACCAGAGAGUGUGAAGAUUAUCAGUCCAAAUUCGAGCCCUGUCACAUAUGACUUCAACACCUCCGCUCCCAAUGAGGAUUGGUACGGAGUCAAUUUGUGCCAGAUACAUCCUCCUCCUUCUCCAUUUGAACCUUCGCCUCCUUUUCCAAUUAAACCUCCGCCUUCUCCUCCAUCUUCUUCUCAUCAGCAUCGCGUUCCCGGAUUGUUCGGGCUCGUAAUGAUUCUGGGAUCCAUCCUGAGUGCUCUGUUGUAAGCGCCCUUGAUGGUUUGUUUGGUUUUAUGUAUGUGAUUCUGGGAUAGUCCUAAGUGUUUCUGUUAUGUGCUUGCAACUACUAUCUGCCGUUAUUUUGUCUGCGGCACGAUUGGUGCAAUAAUAUGUCAUGUUGUUAUUAGUUGUAAUAGGAUAUUUAUCCAUGUCUGCCGGAUAUUUUGUAAGCUUUAUAAUAGUUGUGAACCGUGCUUUUGCAGCUAUUAAUUAACUAAUGUUGUUUUGUUAUUAACUACUCUUUGCAUAGCCCCUUCAAGAUGGGGGUUUUAUUUCAUGAUCAAGAUUUUCCCUUGAUUUGAUUAUAUUUUGGGAUAAAAUUAUGUUGCAACUAUGGUAUGCUACUGCAGUUGUUUUCAGUCGUUAGAUGUACAGUUAUAUAGUUAUAUUAGUUGGAUCUAAUGAUUGAAAACAAUUGUAGUAUCAUAUUAUAGUUGUAACAUAGUUGGACCCCAAUUGCAUGAUUGAUAGUUUAUAAAAAAAAAAAAUUGAAUCUUCUUCAUUCACUAUCACUAAAAGACACAUUGAAAGAAGAUUUUAAAAAAUUCAUAAGAAAUCAGAUCAAGAAAUGAUCAUUUUCUUUCGUUUCAUGGCUUUGCCUUAAACGCAAUUGAGAGUGGCCUUGGGCUCUUGGACAUUUUAUUUAAGAAAGGUGCUGGAAUUAAUGGUGUUACUGGAGGCGUCGCUAAAAGCAAUCGGCUAUAAUUUACUUGGUUAUUGUUUCGCAGCAAAGCUCGUGUUUCUUGAUGUGUCGUCUGUGUGGCCGUUGAUUUCAAUUCUCGAUUACGUGUCAUCUCUGUUCAGUUGAGUGAGCUUUUUCUUUUUUGGUCCCCAUUGCCUACAGCCACGAAUUUGAAAAACGUAAGACAUGUCGUCAUGUAGACAAAUUUGAACGGUGACGGUGUAGUAGUGGAGCCGAUUGAGACACGAUAUCGACUGAUUAAACUUACUUUAUAUGGGAAUCUUGUGAAAUUUUUAAUUAUGAUUUUUUAGGGUGACGACAACUUAAUUCAUUUUUCUAUAGAUGCAUGAGUUGGUUUUGAAUCUUAGUGCUUUUGAUUUUUACAUAAAAUUAUAUUAUCUCAACUAAAUAGUCUAUACAGAUUACAAAUGUUAUAAGAAUAUACUUUUAAGUGUUGUGAGAUGUUUUCAUUACUAAUUUACUAGUACUAACUUUUUUUUUUCUAAAAGAUAAAUUAAUUAGCGUCCAAAAUAUUAUUGUAAGAAUAUUAUUAUAAAAAUUAAGGAAAAGUAAUUUUUUAAAAGAUAAAUUAAUUAAUGUUAAGAAUAUUAUUAUAAAGAUAUUAAUAUGAAAAAAAUAACAUAAUUAAUUGUAAAGACAUUUUAAAGUGUUGUUAAAAAUAUAAGUGCUUUGGGGUAUAAAAAAUAGUUACUUGAGUUCGAGGAGAAAGUUAUUUGGUCACAUGUGCAAGCGCGACCAACGUUCUGUUAGGAGAAUAGAAUCAGGUCGCAUGGCUUUGGUUAAUAUCUCAUAUUGUUGAGCUUCAUUUGGAAGCUCAUCCGUAACGUAUAUGCACGCUCUGCUUUAAUGUUUAAAGCACAAUCAGGCAUUAUAAUGGUUGCUCAACAACUAGAUAAAUUGAUAUAUUAACUCUUAGAUUCAAGUGGCAUACUCAAUUUGGUAAUGACCACGCAGUAAAGAACGAACAAUAACGCGCGACAUGCAUAGUUCUCUAUAAGAACUGGGGGAGAUCCAGAAAAUGGAUUUUUUUUGGGGUUUUGAUUAAAAAAAUAGAAUUCUAGAAAAAAUACAAAAUACUUAAAAUCACAAGUGUGACAUUAUUAUUUUCCUUACAAAGAAAAACCUGAUUGCUGACUUGAGCGUUGGAAGGUUUUUACUAGAAAAAAUACGGCGUCCCUGACAGUUUUCUGUUGUUGCAGAUCAAAGGAAAUGUCAGUACAAUUCAAAUUCCACUACAGUAUCAAGCGACAAAUGCCCCAUCAAAAUAAAUUAAAGUGUUGGCGAGACAAUUUGGUCGCCGACCGAAUUACGGCAUCAACAAUAAAAAUUAAAUAAGAACUUAAGUUAAAAUAUAGAAAUUAAAUAAAGAUUUAUCCUAAGUUUAGAUAUCAAAUUUACUACGGAUCUUUGAUGGAGAAAGUUACCAAAAGAAACAAAAAGUCCAAAUUUUUGUCUUCAAAAGAUAGUGCACCUAGAUUGACCCUUAUAUACUAGAAGAAAGAGAUGGGAUUGAUUAUCCUUCACACAAGCUUCAAGAUAAUUCUUUUUAACCAAAAAAAAAAAAUUGUAAAAGGGAUUAAGAUGCGUAAAAUACAUUUUUUUCCCCCAAAAUUGCGUAAAAUACUUGAUGAAAACAUGCAAGGCAGUGGAGUCAAACUCAAUCGAGACACUGAGUCAGAUAAUUUGAUAGUAUGGUUCACCAUUGUCGACGUCUGCAUGUUUUGUCAAAGAAUGACUCCCAACCGUUUUCCAACAGAAAAACGGGUGUAGUUGGCACUAUUGGUUAUUAAUUAUUUAUUAUUUUACAUUUUCUAAUUGAUUAUUUUAUCAGCUUCCACGUGUGGGUAAGUAUAGUAGAAUAUCAUUGAGGCUCUUUGAAAAAAAAAAAGAAAGUAUAUGCACCUAAUUUCGCUUGAGUAUCUAAUUUAACCAACCAAUUGUGGACCAUGAUAGCCUAGUCUUCUUGAUGUUACAGCCAUUAAAUUGCCAAUCGGUGCAAGCGGUUUUUUUUUUUUAAUAGUAAAUGAUUUCAUUUCCAGUAAAACACAAUAAUUAUAAUAAAAUUUCGAUCUUUAUUGGGACCUCUUCGAUCCACACUCGAGGUGUUGAAAUGAAAAAAGUUAUUUUUUUUCUAAAGCAUGGGCCACUAAGUUAUAAGACCUAAAAGUAUAAGCUAUCUGAUAUUGAUUAUUUUGUUCUAUCAUAACUCUAAUAUCAUAAAGUAUCCAAUCUAACUCUUCUCUACUAGAAGUACCAUUGAGAAUAAAGUUGACAACAUUCUUGGAAUCAUACCCUAUAAGAAGAGGAGAAAGAGCAACAUCCACUGCCAACUUUAUUCCUUCUAAAAUCACUGAAGCUUCCGUAAUUUCUACAUCUCCUAAGCAAGGUUUCUUUGAUGUUGCAGCAGCCAUUACGGCUCCUUGAUAAUCUCUGAGAAUCGGUGCAAGCGGUUUUGGCUCAAAAUGCUUGCUGGUCUUCUAGAAUCUCAUACUUAAUUGACUAGAGAAGUGGAUAGACCUUCACUACCAAAGGGUCACACUACCUCCUCCUUCGAAGUUCAUUUCUCUAGGAUAAUUAUACUUGAUUUUUUUUUCUAGGGAAAGAUUCAUUGGGAUAAAAACCCAAGCAGAAGAAAUAGAAUUUAAUAACUCAUAAUGUAGUGCCUAACGUGCUUCGAUUGUGAUGUGAUUAUGUAAAGCACAGAGUUAUAAUCAUGGACCAACUUGAAAUAUUACACUAGAAACUACUUCCACUUGGGUGAGAUAUUAUGCUCUUUAAGCAAUAAUUUCGUAUCAGUUCAAACAAUAACCUUGAUUGUGUUACUGAGUCUCAUGGCUUUUAGAUAAGUUAUUGAGGUAUAUGGCUUGUAGAUAAAUCACCGAUGAAGAAUAAUUUUCACCGAAAAAUACUAUAGGCUUCAAAUUCAGACUUUGAUGGAUUUGCUAUCUUCAAUUGAUCUUUAGGGGUUUUGGAAUCUUCAAAUGCAUGGCUUUAUAUGUGUGUAAGAAUAUUCAAAUUCUGUCUUCAUUCUGUCGGGUUUUCCUUGCAAUAUUAGUAACAAAUAAAUUUAAAUAAAAAAAACACACAAUAACUAGCCUCAUUUUGUUUAAUGUAGAAGAUCCAAAUUAAUAUGACAAUGAUAGAGAAUACGUAUAAUUAAAUAAACUAGUAAAAUAAAGAGUAGGGUAUAAGAUACUUUCUAUACCCGAGCAAUAAUCAUAUUGAUAACAUGUUAUAAUGUUGAUGAAUUUGGGUAGGAAGCAUUUAACAAUUUUAAUAGAUAAUAUAGAUGAUAUAGAGAUAAGGGGGCUGUGUCAUAUAAAUACAAAGCAUUUUUCUCCCACGCUUAAUUACGGUUGCGUUUAGAAUUGAGGUUAUUCAGUAGUAACUUAAAAGUGACAACACUAAAGUGUUUGGUAAACAUUAGCUGCUAUAGUUUGUAAGCUAUAUUGAUAUGAUUUUUCACUUGUAUAAUGAAAAGUUUAUUAUAUAUUUAAUAAUUUUGUCAAAAUAAUUAUUUAAAAUUUAUAUUUACUAUAUAUUAUUAACUUUUGUUUAAUAGUUAUAAAAUCUUUUUCACAGCAACUAUAACUUAAAAACUACAACACCUCAAUCCCAAACGGAUCGGUUGUCCAAUUUCAAUUCCUGUCUCACUAGAAUAAUAAGCUUAAUUAAGUGUUCAGCUCCUUAGCUUUAUAUCAUAUAGCCCCCUUAUCUCUGUAUCAUAUAUAUUAUGCAUUAAAAUUAUUAAUAUAUUCCCUACCCAGAUUUCUCUCAGAUUUGAUCGUGCGAUCUUCAAAGUCAAAAACUUUUAAAAAAAGAAAAUAGUCCGCGUACCUAAACUCAAUUUUUCUAUGGGUGAAUCUGACCCGUAGGAAAAAUAGUACAAACAUCUAUUAUGAUAACGAUACAUUUGAGGACGAUGGCCAAAUAUUUUAUUUUGGUGAAGAUAAGGUUAUAUAUAUUUUAGUGGGACUAUUGUCAUGAAUUUUUAAUCUAUUUAAGAUCUUGCAAAUUAAAAUAUCAAAUAAAAAACAAACAAACAAUAAAAUCAAUCAUAUAAUAUAAGAAUUUGCAUGAAAAAAUCAUAUAUUAAAAAAAACUAUAACUACAAAGAACAAUAAGAGAAAAAUCUAUUAUGUGAAAAAUUAUUAUAAUCAGUUUAAUAUUUUUUUCACAUACAAAAUACUAAUAAUAUCCUAUCUUUCAAUAGAUCUACCAUUUUUCUUAUACUAAAAACUGUUUAUUUACAGAGAAAUUGAGUGAUUUACAAGUGAACCCAACUUCUACAUUUAUAGUGAUUAUUUAUUGUACAAGUAAUAUUCAUUUUCUUAGAAGAAUUAUAUUCAGUCAUUGAAUAAGUUAAGUACUAAAACGAAAAGACUCAUUAAAUAAUAUUUUACUUCUCAUUUGAAGUAGCCACAUUAUUAAUAAAUGUUCAAAAAAUUAUACAAAAGAGAUUUUUCAAGUUAGAGCAUCACCAAAAGACUCUUCAAAUAAGAUUUUAUUAAUUAUUUGAAGAGCCACCUCAAUAUUUAAGGCUCCAAAAGACAUUCCAAUUAAGAUUCUUCAAAUAAGAAAUGAUUCUCUCUCUUCAAAUUUGGAGAGUUGAUUUCUCCCUCUUCAAUUUAUAUUUUAUUACUUUUCAUUGAAGAAAGAGAGAGAAGUGCUUUAAUUACUAUUGACUUUUCCUUUAAAAAAAUAAUUAUUUGAUUAAAAUAAUAUUAACUUAUUUCUAUUUGAAGAGUCUUUUGGAGAAUAUCAUAUUUUUUCACCAUUCUAUUUGCCACAUAGGUAAGCAAAUAAGUAUUUGAAGAGUAAAAUUUAUAGAGGCUUUUGGAGAUGCUCUUAGAUUGUCAUUCUCUCUUCUCAAUAUUAAAGAGUGACUUUUAUUUUCAAUUAAUAUUAUAUUAUUUUUUAUCUCAUUAUUAUUAAAAAAAUAAGUACUAUAAUUACUAUUAUUAUUAUUUUGGUUGAGAAAAUAAUUUAAUUAAAAUAAUAUUAAUUUAUUUUUAUUUAAAGAGUUUUUUAAAGGAUGUCAUAUUUUGUUAGGUAAAUAAAUAAGUAUUUAAAAAAUAAAAUUGGAAUAGUUUUGGCUAACGCUCAGUUGCUUAUAGAACAUGGCCGGCCGGCCACUACUCACACAGUGAAAAUAGUUAAAAGACAGAUUUGCCCUUAAGAGCGAUGGAACGUCGGGGAUUUGUAAAUUUCCCAAAAAACACAGGCUUGCUAACUUUUUAUUCACCCCACACGAUUCAACUACCCGCAGGCUGCGGCAACAUUAGCAUAUUUAAACAAGGUUUCUGGGGAAUUGAAUAAAAAAUUAACAGGAAAAAAGAAAAAAAAAUCGAAAAUCGAAAAUCGAAAAUGAAAAUCGCAGCUCCCAUUCUGCUUCUGUUGGCCUUUGCGUUCACGCUAUCUGAAGCCGAAACGACGAGCUUGCAGCUGAAGCCUCGAGCUUUCGAGUCCUUUAACGUUAGUUAUAUUCAGGUACCGUAGUUAUUAUUUUAUCUCUCUCUCUUUUUUUAAUAAAUUUAUUAUUUUUUGAGUAGUUGUUGAUAAUCGUUUAAUUUUUUAACCAAAAAAUAGAACCUAGGGAGCUGUUCUUACACGGUGGUCAUAACUACCAGCUGUUCCUCAAGCAAGUACACUCGCGAUCAGAUCAGUAUUGCUUUUGGAGAUGCUUACGGCAAUCAGGUUUUCAAUUUUAUUUUUUUAAAUUUAAAAGUAUCUUUUAAUUUCUUCAGUUUUUAAAUCAGUGUUUUUGUCCUUUUUUUUUUUAAUGGUGAUUCUGGAUUUCAUUUUUAGGAAGGAAAUUGAUAAUUAGAUUUUUGUUUGCUUAAAUGGAAAGUGAUGACCAGUGAUGUAGAAAUUUUUAUGUAUUUAACUGUAGGCUUUUUAAUUUCAUUUUAUUUUUGAGAGCAGAGCAGAGAAAGUAUAUUAGGGUAAAGUUCAGUUGGCUGGAGUUAAUAAAUGCAUGGAUGUAAGAUCAGUUUGGGUUUGAAUUGCAGUGGUUUUAGUCAACAAUUGCUGUGAAAUUGAAUCACUUGUCGUUAAGUUAUAAAGUUGGCGAUUAGCAGUUGAGUAAACUUCAGUUGUGCCUUUUAAAUUAAGUUCAAGCACAACAACCAGAAAUGGGCUCGUAGUCUUAGUCUUUGCAUUGGGUUCUUUUCAUUUGAGAUCCUGUUCCUGGGCGAAAUGCUUUUGUGCUCUUGAAGGAGAUAUUUGUUUAUUUCAGCUUAACACUAUAAUACAAGUAGACCACAAUGCCUAAUUGAAAAUGUUUUGUUCGGACCCAGAAUAGUCUCAAACUUGUAAACCAUCGUUGCGGUGGGGGGCACCUCCUUAGCUCCUUGCCUUCUUCUCAUGAUUGAUGGUUUGAGUGUCCCAGUUUGUUGUGCUAGUGUUUUCUUUGAAUUUCCUGAGUUCACUUUGAAGUAUGCUUGGCCAGAGCACAUAUCAAACUUCUUAUGAAAGUUGAACUAAUUUAAGGGAUUUUGAGUGGAAUUCUCGUAACCUAUUAGUAGAUGUGUUGUUGCUCCAUAUUAAAUACAACAGAAAGCAAUUCUUUAUGUAAUGCAUUCAUUUUGUUUCUAAAGGUCAGGUUUAUCUAGAAAUAUAAAACUACACUAUUCUUAUAGUCAAAUGUGGAUUACUAAUAUAUUUGAAACAUUUGUAAUCAGAUUUAUGCACCAAGACUUGAUGAUCCGUCUACCGAUGCAUUUGAAAGUUGCUCCUCUGAUACAUUUGAGAUAAGAGGACCAUGUGCGUAUCAAAUCUGUUAUGUGUAUUUGUAUCGAACUGGACCGGAUGGUUGGAAACCAGAGAGUGUGAAGAUUUAUGGUGCUAAUUCGAGAGCUGUCUCAUUUUACUACAACACCUUUAUUCCCAGUGAUAUCUGGUAUGGAUUCAAUCUGUGCCGAAGUGCUUCUUCUGCACAUCAACAACAUGUACCCAGAUGGUCUGUGUAUGUGAUUCUGGGACUCCUCUUAUGUGCUCUGUUGUAAGCUCCCAGAUGUUUAGCGUUUGUGAUUAUAGGACUUGUCCAAAGUGCUCCACUGUGAUCUCUCAAUCAUCAUUUGCUGUUGUUUGUGUAUCAUACAAUUACAUAUAAUCUGCAUUUUGUUAGUUAUAGUCAGAUGUAAUCCAGGUCUAUUAUGAAUUAUCACUUGGAUUAUUUUGUGAGAGAACAGAGCACUCAUUAAAUACUACUCUAGAAGGUGUUACCAGAUGCUUUUGUGAGAACCGUUUCUCAGAGCACUCUAUAAAAAUUUGGGAUCAUUGAACAGUAUAUUUUACUGACUUGACUGUUGCUCUGCAGUAAAUUAAAAGCUCGUAAAUCGCUGACCCUUCUUAUUCCUUAAAGUCUCGUGUGAUAGUUGAUUUUAAUUCUUGAUGUAUCAUCUCUAAUCAGUUGGGCGAGCUUGCAAAUUUGGGAAGGUUCUCCUUUGUUGCCCAUUGGCGAUCCGGGUUCCGGGUUUAUCAAGUGAUGCCCAAGACCGACCUGGCUUCAUACCCUGGCCGGGUAAUAUCCGGCCCGCAAUGCCCGGGUACGGUCCGGGUCCGGACCGGGCGGGUAUUUUUGCCACCUCUAGGCGCAAGCCACUGGACACUUGACUUUGCUGUGAAUGUUGACAAAUCGAGCGGGCAGGGAAUUAGUCAAUUGAGACAAGAAAUAAAACUAAACUUAUUUGGUUCGGAGAAUAUGUUCACUAUCAUGAGAGCAUCUCUAAAAGAUUUUUUAAAUAAAAUUUUAUUAAAUACUUCAAAAGACGCGUUAAUUUACAUUUUUCAGAUACGAUUUGUUUAUCACUUUUCAAUAUUACUUAGUGAUUUUCUCCCUCUUUUAUUAAUAUUUUAUUAUUAUUUAUUGAAAAGAUAAGAGUGCAAUAAUUAUUAUUUAUGUUUCCUUUUAAAAAUAUAAUAGCAAUUCAAUUUAAUAGUGGAAAGAUUUGAUUAAAAUAAUGUUAAUUUAUUCUUAUUUGAUGAGUCUUUUGGAGGAAAUUGUAUUUUUCCACCCACUUAUUUGCCACAUCAGUAAGCAAAUUGAUAUUUGAAGAGUAAAAUCUAAAAAGUCUUUUGGAGAUGCUCUGAACACCAUUAAUUUGGGGGUUUUUAAUUAAAUACCCUUUAAUAGUUGUAAAAUUAUUUAAAUAUCCCUUUUUUUUCACAAAAACCCUAACAAAUAUGUAUGAAAUCUAAAAUGUGAAUGCAUGAAAUCUACUCCUUUUCACUGUCUUCUUAGUUCUUAAAUUCAAAUCUCUUCUUACUGAAAUUCUCUCAAAAUCUCUUAUAACCUCUUACACAAAUACAACUAUGUAUUCACUUCUUUUUUUUUGAAUAAUUUUCAUUGACAUUUUCUACAUAGCAACAAAUAUAAAUUCUUAUAACAAAUUAAGUCUUUAAAGAACUAAAUUAUUCUAAUGAAUAAUGAACAAAGUCGUGUAAUACAUGGAGGUUGUGUAAUCGCGUAAUAUAUGAAGUCGUGUAAUACAUGAAGGUCUUGCAAUACAUGAAGUUGUGUAAUAUAUGAAGGCGUGAAAGUCCUGUAAUACAUGAUUCAAGAUCACGUAAUAAUACAAAAAGUCAUGCCAUAUACGACUGAGGAUUGUGUAUUACAUGAGUGUAUUACACGACAUUAAAUCAUGUGUUACAUGAUCUUACACAAUCAAAUCAUAUGUUACAUGACCUUACACAACCGAAUUAUCAUCGGUACAAUCCAUCAAUUUUUCACCAUUUACAUGGAACAAAAAACUAGAAAUUUGUAUGUUAUGAGAGACUUACAACUAAUUUAAUUUAUUUUUACAAUAUAAGAUCCUAAAUUUUUUAUUUUUCUUUAAAUAUAAAAAAAAUUUAAUUACAAGGAAUUACUUUCCUAAAGUAGUUAGGUUCCAACAAUUUUGCAGCAAAAAAUCAAUUUUCGUCGCCAAUUGUGCAGUAACAAACCAAGCUUCUCUUUCUCAGUUGCAGCAGCUUCCCCUUUUGAUGUCUAGUUCAACAUGUAUGAGUGUUUGUUUGAGUCAUGUUAUGUUUGAUUUGUGUAAGUGUUUUAAGAUGAUGAUAGUUUAGUAAUUUCAUGUGAGUUUUUAGAGGAUAUUCAUGAAAAUUUUGGUAAAUUCUAUUUUUAGGGUAUAGAAAUAAUUUUGAAAGUAUGAAGGUGUAUCUGCUGCAAUUACCUCCAUAAUUUUCUCUAUGUUAUCGUUACUUUUGUAUGUUUUGACGAUUUUUCUUUUUCUGUAAAUAUGAAAGUUACUUGAUUGUUGGUUUACUUAAUGGCUGUUAAAGACCAAUUCCAAAUCUUAUGUGGUAUUAUUGACAAUAGUUAAAAGUUGGGGCAUCGGAAUAAUUGUUUCACCACGAAUAACAAGUGCUUUUAUGCUGUGACAUCAGCUCCGAGUACAACCGCUUUUGGAAGCAAAAAGUGUUAAAAUCUAACGGUAGAUAUCAAAACAAAAUAGGGUUUCAUAUCUGACGGUUGAGAAUCUCUCCUCUGUUAAACCAUAAAAGCAGAAACCCUAAACUCUUUGCCUCCUCUUUCUCUCCUGCUCCCGCAACUCAUUGCCACAUCAAAUUUGUAGCAGGAGACGCCCUCUGCUGUUUCUUUGUAUCUCAUUUUAAUUUUUGUAACUUAACAUAACCAUUCAUGCCUUCGAUCGCUUUGUUUGACGGAAAAGAAGUGAAAGACGAGAAGAAGAUGAAUAAGAAAAUGGCUCUCAAGGACUUCGAAGAAACGGAGGCGGCGUUAACUGAGAAGAGUUCGGAUAAGAAGAAGAGCAAGAAGAAGGAGAGUAGUAAGAAGCGGAAGGAAUCGGAGAUUGAGGAGGAGGAAGAGAGAAGCGAAACGAGCUCGGAGUUAGGCGAGCCGGUGAAUUUGAAAUCGGAGAAGGAGAAAAAGAAGAAGAAGAAAGCGAAAGUUGAGCCUGAGGCUGGAGUGGAAGAGCAGGAGAGGGGUGAAAGCGAACAUCCGAAUGCGGUUUCGAGGUUUAGAAUAUCGGUGCCAUUAAGGGAAAAGCUCAAGUCCAAGGGGAUUGAGUCUUUGUUUCCUAUUCAAGCUAUGACUUUUGAUAUGGUUCUUGAUGGCUCUGAUUUAGUCGGACGUGCACGGACCGGUCAGGUAUAAUAACUAAAUUUUGUGUAAUUUGUUAAUUUUGAUUAGCUAGUGUAAGCAAGUAAUUGUUUAGUUGUGUUAUUAAUGGUAAAAUUAGAAGAAUUAUUGAGUUUUUAGGUAAAAAUUAAAUCAUAUUUCAAUUUUUUCUGUAGUAGCAAAUAUCUGUUCGAUCAAAUACUUUUUACCUGAAUAUGAUUGUAUAUUUAGCCGUGUUUUGAACCGUGCAGGGUAAAACUUUAGCCUUUGUGUUGCCAAUUUUAGAGUCUCUAACGAAUGGGCCAACAAAAGCGUCCAAGAAGACUGGAUAUGGCAGGGCUCCAAGUGUUUUGGUGCUUUUGCCUACUAGGGAAUUGGCCAAACAGGUAUGAAAUAGGAGUUAUAAAAAAGUUUAUUCAUUUUUUUUUUGGUUGGUUUGUCUGGUGACAUUUUGUUUUUGGGUUUGUUUUAGGUUCAUGAGGACUUUGAUGUCUAUGGCGGGGCAGUGGGACUGACCUCAUGUUGCUUAUAUGGAGGAGCUCCUUAUCAUGCUCAGGAGUUUAAAUUAAAGAAAGGGAUUGAUGUAGUCAUUGGAACCCCUGGACGUAUUAAGGUUAGCCAUUUACAAAAAAUUUCAGUGCUAGAAAAUAGAAUUUUGACAUGACCUGUUGUAUUAGUUAUGGAUUUCCUGAAUAAGUAUGUGAAAGUUGGGGUAUUUUGAUUGAUCAUGUGGUUGUCAACUGAAAUUUACAUAUGGUACAGGAUCACAUUGAGAGGGGCAAUAUUGACUUGAGUUCAUUGAAGUUUCGGGUCCUUGAUGAGGCUGAUGAGAUGCUUAGGAUGGGUUUCGUUGAAGAUGUUGAACUUAUUCUGGGUUUGUAUUCUUGAUAUAGAGUACGCGGAGUUCCCAUAUACUGGUUUUCAUAAGGCAAUUUUCAUGGUCUUUAAUUGAAAUAUGCAGGUAAAGUCGAGGAUGCUAAUAAAGUUCAAACACUUCUCUUCAGUGCCACCUUGCCAAGCUGGGUGAAGCAUGUGUGUUUCCCAAUUUUGAUUCUGGAUUAUUCCUUUCCUGAUUAUAUGUUAGAUCUUCUCAAAUUCUAAAAGUAGUUCUGUAAUUUACAUGUCAUGACUACCUCCUUUCUCUGUAUAACUGAACCCUUCGUCUUCCAUUUUCAGAUUUCCACCAAGUUUCUUAAAUCAGACAAGAAAACCAUAGAUCUUGUUGGCAAUGAGAAAAUGAAGGCUAGUACCAAUGUCCGGCAUAUUGUUCUUCCUUGUUCUAGUUCAGCGAGAUCUCAAGUCAUUCCUGAUAUCAUUCGUUGUUAUAGCAGGUCAGUUGUUUCUAGUUCUCAGUUACUGUUUAAUAAUAAGCAUGAUUGAUUGUUGCUCUUCACAGUUUAUUAUUUCAUUUUGCCUUAGCAAUUGUGUGAUUCUUCUGAUUCAGUGGAGGCCGAACUAUUAUUUUCACCGAGACAAAGGAAAGUGCUUCUCAGCUUGCUGACUUGCUGCCUGGUGCACGGGCUUUACAUGGGGACAUACAGCAGUCUCAACGUGAGGUAAGUUGUUCAGCAGGAUUCUUCUUUUUUUGACAUGUUAUGAUGAAAGCAAAGGGUCAAUCAGUUUUUGAGCUUAUAUACCGUCUCUGCUCUGGCAACAUAUAUUUUCAGCACAUUCAAAGAAAACAAUGCUUGAUGAGCCAUCCAAUGCUCAGUCUUUCAAAAUUUUGCAGUAAUCUCUCAUUUGAAAAACUGUAGUUUUUGACAAGUUGCUUUAAUCAUGACUCAUGAAUGGAAGCAUGGUGGCUGCUGAAUUGUUUAUUUUAGCUAGUUUGCUAUCAAGUUGAAAUGAUUGAAAGAAACUAUCAUUUUCUGUUUAUGAGAAUCUUGUACACUAAAAAUAUUUGCUAAAGAACAAAAUCACUUGAUGUUUUUGUUUUGAUUUUUAAUAAUCAAUCGUGACAACUUUAUUGAAUUUGUGAUCUUGCAGGUGACACUUGCUGGGUUCAGGUCAGGAAAGUUCAUGACAUUAGUUGCCACAAAUGUGGCGGCACGGGGUUUGGACAUUAAUGAUGUGCAGUUAAUUAUUCAGGUUUGUUUGCAUGUAUUUUUGGGAGGCUUUAUGUAAUGUCUUUUUCUGGUAUAUACUUAAACAGACCUUUGUUUUUAGUGUGAGCCUCCUCGUGAUGUAGAAGCCUAUAUACAUCGAUCUGGACGUACUGGAAGAGCAGGUAUGAAAAUGUGCAUUUAUUUCCUGUUUUAAAUGCACACUGUUUCACGGAAUGCUGAGGUGCUUUUUUUUUUCAAUUUCCCACCCCCAACCCCCAGGCAAUACUGGAGUUGCUGUAAUGCUUUAUGAUCCUAGAAAGUCAAGUGUAUCUAAGAUAGAAAGAGAAUCUGGUGUGAAAUUUGAGCACAUAUCUGCUCCACAGCCAGCUGAUAUUGCCAAGGCUGCAGGUGUGGAAGCUGCUGAAACAAUAACCCAAGUUUCUGAUAGGUAUACUUGCUAUGUCAGUUCUUUAAUAUGCUUAAGUGCUGUAGGUUCCAUGGGUCAUUAAUACAUAUGAAUUGAUUGCAGUGUAAUUCCCGCUUUCAAGUCCGCUGCUGAGGAGCUGUUGAAUAAUUCUGGUCUAUCAGCAGCAGAGCUGCUUGCAAAAGCACUAGCCAAGGCUGUAGUAAGUGCUUUUCUUUUUUCUUCUUCCUCGAAUUCAUUAUCACUAACGUCAGGCACAAUGUGCUUUUUUCGGCUGACAUCUGAAUUUUGUAUAUUCUGAGCACUUCUUUCCUUAUUCACAGGGUUAUACUGAGAUAAAGAGUAGAUCACUUCUUAGUUCUUUGGAGGAUCAUGUUACAGUGGUUCUUGAAGCAGGAAAGCCCAUCUACACACCAUCGUGAGUUCCUAAAUUGUUUCUCAGUUUUUUAUUAUAUUUGAUGUCAACAUAUUUAAAACAUUAUGAACCCUACCACUUGAUUCAUAUGGAUCUUUUAUGGUGAAGCAUAUAAAUUGAUCUAGUUAGAGGAUUAUACAUUUCGCUGGUUUAACCUUCCAAAACUGGAUGUUGCUUUGUGAUGUCUGGAAUUGGUGAUUGGCUGAUUAUGGGCUGGUGUUCAUAGAUUGAUAUUUUUCCCUUAUGACCAUCGUGUUCUUAGACAUUUUGUGCUUCUAUCAUGAACAUUUGGGAAACAUGGCCUUGCUUCUCCAGAGAUAUUGGAUUCCUCCUCUUGCUAAUCUUUGAUUGCUGAUUGAUUUGAAGGAAUUGUAUAUGCAUACUUGUGAAAUAAUUUGUUCUGCGCUUUGUUAGUGGAAAUAUAAUUUUUCUCAGUUUGGGUGCCUAUGGCUUUUUUGUACACUGUUUUACUUUAUGAGUUGAGCCAUAACAUUUAUUUUUUAAUGGCAUCUGACAUUUUAUAAUAUCAUGAAUUAUAUUGCAGCUUUGCUUUUGGUGUCUUGAGAAGAUUCUUGCCUGAGGAAAAAGUAGAGUUAGUGAAGGGUAUGGCUCUGACCGCUGAUGGAAAUGGUGCGGUUUUUGAUGUACCAGUGGCAGAUUUGGACUUGUUUCGAUCUGGUACCUGACUGUUUUAUAAUUUGUUCACGAGUUAUUAAACAUAUUCAUGUAAUUCUUUGUGGUGUUUCCUCAACCUGGUUCCUCGUUUGCUCUCAAAGAGAGUAUUUUCUUGAUCAUGGUUUUGAUUGUGCUAUUCUCGUGAAAUUGCUUAAGUUUUCUUCUUUUAUUUCAAUUUUUCCUUUUGUCGCAGGUGCGGACAAUGCUGCUAACGUCAGCUUGGAAGUGUUGAAACAAUUGCCACCCUUGCAAGAAAGGGAACAGUCAAGAGGAAGAUUUGGUGGUGGUGGUCGUGGUGGCUUUGGUGGAAGAGGUGGUAACAGGUUUUCAGGUGGCAGAGGUGGUGGAUUUUCUGAUAGGAGAAAUGAUAGGUUCUCCGGUGGGUUUAGAGGUAGUAAGGGUCGUGGUGGUGGCAACAGAUGGUGAAGGACUUCAGCUGCCACGAAUCUUAUUCUGUUCAGUGACAGAAGUAUUUAUGGUAUAGGCAAAUUAAUUUUCUGAUAAUGAAGAAAAUAUAUGGGGCUGUAUCCAUGGAUUUCAUCCCUAGAUUGGCUCGAUAUAGUAUUUUUGCCCCCCUUUUUUUCCUCCAUUUAUUUUUAGGGUUAGGCCAAUAUUUGUUCAGGUUCUCGGGGUUUAUAACUACUCCCCAUGAUCCUUAAAUUUUGAUGAUAUUGUAAGAAGACGAUUACUGAUUUCUUCUAAUUUAAGCAGAAAAAAUUAGUGCAUUCUUGUUUUUGUUGUAAUCAGAAGGAGCCGAGUGGUUGUGAAAGUUUGGUCCAAAAUUUCUGCCAUUCGAAAAAUCAAAAUUUGCUCAAAUUGUAAUGUUUUUGAGUGAUGUAAACAGACCUCCUUGGAUAUCUCCGAUAACGUUUUUGGCUGCUUACCAUUUACCAUUAUUUAUUUAUUUAUUUGUAUAUUGCUAUUUUCAAAUAAGCAAGAACCCGAGGGAAACAAAACAGCAGUUGUGGAAGUAAAAUGAUGUAGUUCCAGCGGCCAUUCAUGUUAUGUUGCUGAGGGGACGCCACUAUGUGCUGUACAAUUUAGUUAAUCUAAUCAUAGCGAGUGAUACCACACGUAGUAGUGUUCAUUUGCCUGGUGGUCGUAUAAUCAUCACAUAUGCAAGACCAAUUCUAUUCCAAUAUUAAUAUUAUAUUCAGGUCAGCAAUGCUACAUAUAUUAUUGUAUUGUGCAAUUUUGUAAAUAAGAGGAAAAUUGAUUUUGUUAUUAUAAGGUCUAAUUCGGCGCCCAUACAAUCACCAAUGUGCACCAUUUUGCUUUAUAAAAUGACAAGAUUUUACCUGCAUAUUUUUAUCAUUUAUAAUUUAAUUAAUGAGUAAUGAUACAGCCACAAACUCUUGUAUAAACUUAUUUUGUACAAACUGAUGUGGCAUGAUAAGAUUGGUUGAAUUAAAUAUCACUUAGCCCACAUGAUUUAUUUUUAUUAAUUUAUAUUUUCAUUCAACCAAUGAAUUAAUGCCACGUUAGUUUGUACAAAAUAAGUUUGUACAAGAGUUUGUGGCUGUAUCAUUACUCUUAAUUAAUAAGGUUUUAUCUUUCUAUCACCCAAUAAUGGUUUAGUUAUACAUACACCAUUCUCUCUCUCUCUCUCCCAUUUUUUUUUUUUUAAGCAAAUAGUUUAAGUUUAAAUUGAUGCCUCACUUUUGACUCUUGUGACACAUUCACCCUUAACUGCCUUAGCAUUUCUUGCGCACCAAUUCAAUGACAUGCAUGCCCCCAUUUCACAUGAAGAGAUCCGAUUCAAUAGCCGACCCGGAAAAGACCCGACCGAACCCACCUGUCGACACAAAAACAGUCCCAUCGUUUCCCUCUUCUAGACACGUCUACUCUAUUCUACACUAAACUCUCCUACAUCUCUUCCCUCAAGCAUUACUUGAUUCUUAAUUGCAUCGUGCAUGUUUAUUAGUAAUCACACGCAUGGCUUAUUACAGAAGAGCAAAAGCCGCUCUCGAUGCCUUUCGCAAUCUUUCUUCGAAGGCUGUUCCUAAAUCUCCGGUCCAAGAAUCUUGCUCAAGAGUUUACUCAAAUGGGUCCGCAAAUUCAGCUAAGUUUUCUUCUGGGUUUUAUUCAUAUUCUUGUAUUUCUCAAAGACUAAGAAAUAGUUAUUGUAAUCCAAAUUUUAACACUGCUAAGAGAUAUUACUAUGUAGAUCGUUACCAUGUACAACAUUUUAGGCCACGCGGACCAAGAAAAUGGUUACAGAAUCCAAGAACUGUGUUUAUUGUUGUGGUUAUAGGUUCUGGGGCUUUUAUCACUUUGUAUUUGGGGAAUCUAGAGACCGUACCGUACACUAAACGAACCCAUUUUGUGCUUUUGUCCAAAGCUGUGGAGAGACAGCUUGGUGAGUCUCAGUUUCAGCAAAUGAAAGCUGCUUUUAAGGGCAAAAUAUUGCCUGCGAUACACCCGGAUAGUGUGAGGGUUAGAUUGAUAGCGAAGGACAUAAUUGAGGCUUUGCAAAGGGGGUUGAAGCAUGAGACUGUUUGGAGUGAUAUGGGGUAUGCAUCUACUGAGACUGAUUUUGUAAAUGAGGGGAGAGCAGCUCGUGAUACAUUAAGGGCGUUGAGUGAGAAUAGUGAAAGGGGAAAGACUGAGGGGAAAUGGCAUCAGGAAGAUGAGAUUCUUGAUGAUAAGUGGGUUCAGCAGAGUAGGAAGAAGGGACAAGAGAAGGGGUUACAGUCGGCAACUUCUCAUUUGGAUGGAUUGAAUUGGGAGGUUUUGGUCGUGAAUGAGCCUGUUAUUAAUGCUUUUUGCCUACCUGGUGGAAAGAUUGUGGUCUUCACAGGGUUGCUAGAGCAUUUUAGAACUGAUGCGGAGAUAGCAACCAUUAUUGGUCAUGAGGUAUAGAUAUAUUACUGGAUUUAUACUAGAUUGAUAAGGAUGCGUUCAUGGUUUAUGCCUGAUUUUCUAAUUAGGUUGCGCAUGCUGUGGCCCGACAUGCAGCCGAGGGGAUUACAAAGAAUCUGUGGUUUGCCAUUUUACAGCUGAUUCUGUAUCAAUUCGUUAUGCCUGAUGUUGUCAACACAAUGUCAACGCUUUUCUUGAGGCUUCCUUUCUCUCGCAAGUGUGUUUCUUUGUUUAUUCUCUCGAACAGUUUUUGGAAUUUGUGGGCAUGUUUGCUUGUUUUUGUGAUAUGAUGAUGUUUAAAAAUUACAAUUAGGCUUGCGCUGUCUAUUGAUUAACGCUGUCAAUCUUGUUGAGAAAAUGGCUGUAUAGGAACCUAGUGGAUUAGCAUGACACAUUCUUUUUACCAGUAUUUUUUAUUCUUUUUGUUUCACUUAUGUCUGGCGGCAAUGAAUAUGCGUCAGCAUUCAUCCAGUGCUCUUAUUACCACUUACCCAAAAACCCAAAAAAGAUAAAAAAGAUUACCCAAAAAAAAAAGGUUUUAGAACUUCUGAUGCGAUAACAUUAUGAUAGGAAUUUCUCACAUCUCAACUGUCAUUUGGCAUAUUAUCUUACCUGAUCUGGGGAAAACCUUCUGUCUUAAUUAGCUUAUGGAUGAUUUGCAUCAGAAGAAGGGUUCUUCCAGGGAGUAUCCCUUUUUUUUCAUGGGGAUUUUUAUGGUUCUGUCUAUAGAAAGGAGUAAAAUGUUUUUAAGGAGUAGAAGUGCAUCCUUAGACUGCUGCGGGAAGAAUUAGUUCUCUUGUAGCUUUUUGAUGCUUGGGAUUCUACAGUUUAUAGAACAAGGAUCUAACAAUGAUUUACAGUAAUAGUAUGCAAAUAUGUUUAGAUAACUGUUAACCUUGGCUGUGUCAAAUUCUUCCUCUAGUCUAUUUCUAAUAUCUCACACAAAUAUUAAGUAGAACUGGACUGUAAGACUUCUGUGAGUCUCAUACUGGAAUUUACUGCUUCUUUUGUCAUUUUCCUGAAGCUUGUUGUGAACAUUUAUCACGGUGUUCUGCUCUGUAACAGUCAUCUGUUUAUGUUCCAUUUGUAGGUUUGGAUUGUGAUUCUUAUAUUUAUUUAAGUACCAUUUGGAGCUGAAAGCUUGCCAGGUCAUAAACACUAAAAACUGGAAGAGUUUUUGAUAAUUUACCCUCGGCCAUGAUUAUAAAAAGAAGAAGCUAUUAAACUGUUGUGAGUGGUCAACAUAGGACCCUUCUGAAAUGUCCUUGAAACUAUUCAAGAAACAUAUUGCUGAAACAAAGUUUUCAUAGCUUGAGUAAAACUUGACUUCAACCAAGCUGAUCCUUGGUAAGAUUAUCAAGUUGCAUAGAGUUCAAAAAACUUGCUCUUGAACUCAAGACUAGGACGUAACCUUUUUCUCUAAUUUUUCUAGAAAAAGUUAUUGUGAUAUAUAUAUAUAUAUAUAAAGGCAUACGAUGUUAUGCAUACGACCACUACACUACACUAAAGCUCCUGGGUGAAUACUCUGGAGGUCUGAGUUUGUUCCCAAAAAGUAAAUGAGUUUAACAUUGAAUUCAAGCUAGGUUCCUCUGUUAGGUGAAUUGAUCAGAAUCAAAAUCUUGUCGAGCUUGAACACAAAUAGUUGAGAGCUUGGUUUAUUUAUAUCCCAAUUUUGUUUGUAGUUGAUCAAUCCCAUUAAUAGUAAAUCCAUAGCCCUAAGAGACUUCCUCUAGUAUACCAACAUUUAGUUGAGAGUAAAACAGGCAAUCUUCCAGUUCUUAAGUACUCUGCCUAGUCUUGCUUUUUUAUUCUCUGGGUGAAAUAUAAUUUUCUUCAACUCAUUAUCUUGCUGGGAGUCAUUGAUUCACUCGAUCUGCUUUGAGCACUCAUUCAGUCCGCUGAACCUUAUGUACUUGUUUGCCUGUAAAACCUUAGAGUAGUCGUCUGACAUUGUGCUCUAUGCUGUCCAGUAGGUCUAAUUUAGUUGCACUCAUUUUGUAAGAUCUAUUUCUGGAUGGAGCACUGAUAUUUGAACCCCAUCAAGACAAAAAAGGGGAUACUGUUCAUACUAUAGUAUCACUAUAGCACAUAGAAUGGUAGCACUGUUCAAACAACAGUUCCAUCAUUUCUGUCAUGAUAGUGUUUUGUUGGUGGCCAAUAUCAUUUUUCAUUCUGGAUGAGGAACAUCCCUCUGUUCAAACAAAUUCUGCAAAUGUUAAUUUUUUAAUUCCCUUUUUUUAUGAAGAUGCUUUUGAGAUGGUUUCUUGUCAUUCUAUUGAACAUUUAUCUCUAUUACUCUACAUCCUCUUACUUUAGUUUUGUGACUUUACUCAACUUUGUGAUGUACUUACUUACAUUGUUGAAACUGACUAGUUUGUGUUCAACACACAGACCAAGAUGGCAAGAUGCAUUUGAAGAUCUUUUGUCUUGCAAGUGCUGACUCAGUAUUAUCUACUGUCUUAUCUGAUAGGAUGGAAAUGGAAGCAGAUUAUAUAGGGCUGCUUUUGAUCGCGUCCUCUGGCUAUGAUCCUCGUGUGGCGCCAAAAGUUUACGAGAAGUUGGGUCAAAUUGCAGGCGAUUCAAAGCUAAGAGAUUAUCUUUCUACCCAUCCAUCUGGAAAGAAGAGAGCUCAGUUACUGGCCCAAGCUAAAGUCAUGGAAGAAGCACUCGCCAUCUACAGGGAAGUGAAAGCAGGAUAUGGGAUUGAAGGUUUUCUUUAGGGCACCACAAACCACACAUGCUCUGAAGCCGUGUUCUCCCCCAAUCACCGUUUUCACAGAAUUUUCUUUUUCGUUGAACCUUUUGAUUUGCUAGUUUUUGGGUUGUGCCCAUCACAUGGUCAAGAAAUUUACGAUGAUGUUUUCUAGCCAUGGAUAAUGAUGCAUGCCAUUGACCAUGGACCUUCGACAUGUCACACAUAUAUAUAAUUACGAGAAAUAUUCGAUCAAAGGGGUUAUUCAUAUAAUCUAAGAACAUAUAAUGUAAUUAUGUCUCAAGUCUGACUACGUCUUAAACAAAAUGCUUGCAAUAUGCUGCAAAUCCAGGGAGCAAUCACUGAAUCAUCAUUCUACAUCCAUGAGCAGAAUUUACGAUAAACAGUCACUCGUCAACAUCUCUUGCAUUUUGAACUAACAAUAACUGAAAUGAAACCAAUAUAAUUGGACUAAGUGCUUGAUUUGCAGCAUUCUUAAGUUACAUGACAAGAACAAUAAAUUGAUCAACUUUUGAAAAUUUGAUGAAAAAUAAACAAAUCAAGUAUAUUAUUAACAGGAAAAAAAUACUGUCUCUAAUAUAUUGAAAUUAUAAAUUUGUCAUGUAGUUAGGCGUUCACGCUAGCAAUCUCUAAAUUUUUGAAUUUUUUUUUUUUUAAAAUAAGGUAAAAAUUAAAAACUUUUCCGGAUGUGACUAAAUUUAUUUUUCAAGGCAAGCCCCCAAUUUUAUUGACAUCUAUAUGGUAAUUUGCAACAGCGCUAUAUUCUUUUUGUGAAAUAACAAAAAGAAGUCGGCUUCUCAUGGUUCACUUAAUCCGUCGCCAGUGUCAAUGUCCAAGAAACUUCAAAUGGUCAGUUAUUCAUUGUUGAAUUCUCCCGCCAAAGUUUCACCUCCUAACAAAGAAUCCACUAAGCUUAUUCUCAGAAAUGCAAUCGAUGAAUGCAAGAACAUGAGAGAGCUAAAAGAGAUACAUACCCAAAUCAUAAAAUCUCCAUGUCUACAAACAAACGAUCACCAUUCCCUCAUUACCCGCCUCCUCUUCUUUUGCGCCUUAUCUGUUUCUGGCUCUCUAAGCUACGCCACCAAUGUUUUUAGUCACAUAAAAAGGUCUGAUCUUUAUACAUAUAACAUCAUGAUCAGAGCCAAUGCGUGUAAAUCCAGUGAAACAAAUGAUACCCAUUCGGGUAAAUGUCUGAAACUGUACAAGCAAAUGCUUUGCACUGGCAUUUCACCUGAUUGCCUCACGUUUCCAUUUCUUUUAAAAGAAUGUACUAAGAGGCUUGAUGGUCUUGUAGGAGCUAGUGUUUACGGCCAAGUUGUUAAAUUUGGAGUGUGUGAUGAUGUUUUUGUGCAAAAUUCUGUAAUAAGUUUGUUCAUGGCUUGUGGGUUUGUGACUAGUGCAAGGAUGUUGUUUGAUGAAAUGUCGAAUAGAGAUGUGGUUUCUUGGAAUGCCAUGAUUAUUGGCUAUUUGAGAAGUGGGGAUCUCGAUGUCGCAUUGGAUUUGUUCAGGAGGAUGAAGAAGAGAAAUAUUUUUUCUUGGAAUUCGAUUAUUACGGGGUUUGUUCAAGGCGGCAGGGCAAGGGAGGCAUUGGAACUUUUUCAAGAAAUGCAAAGUUCAAGUGUUGAGGAAAUGGUUAAACCAGAUAAGAUUACUAUUGCUAGUGUACUUUCGGCCUGUGCUUAUCUUGGUGCUAUUGAUCAUGGAAAAUGGGUGCAUGGUUACUUGAGGAGAAGUGGACUUGAUUGUGACGUGGUUAUUGGCACAGCGUUGGUUGAUAUGUAUGGUAAAUGUGGUUGUGUGGAAAGAGCUUAUGGAGUCUUUAAGGAAAUGCCUAAGAAGGAUACCUUGGCAUGGACAGCAAUGAUUUCUGUGUUUGCGCUUAAUGGGUAUGGCAAGGAGGCUUUUGAUACUUUUAGGGAGAUGGAAGCAGAAGGGGUGAGGCCGAACCACGUGACAUUUGUUGGGCUCUUGUCGGCUUGUGCUCAUUCUGGUUUAGUAGAGAAAGGUCGCUGGUGUUUUGUCAUGAUGAGGCAUGUUUACUUGGUGGAACCACAUGUCUACCACUAUGCUUGCAUGAUCGACAUUCUUAGUCGAGCUGGUCUCUUUAGUGAGGCAGAGCGGCUUAUAAGAAGCAUGCCAAUGGAGCCAGAUGUGUUUGUUUGGGGUGCAUUGCUUGGGGGCUGUCAAAUGCACGGAAAUGUGGAGUUAGGCGAAAAGGUAGCUCAAUAUUUAAUUGAUUUGGAUCCUCUAAACCAUGCUUUCUAUGUGAACUUGUGUGAUAUGUAUGCCAAAGCUGGUAGAUUUGAUGAUGUAAAGAAAACUAGAAACUUAAUGAAAGAAAGAGGAAUUAGAAAGGAAGUCCCUGGCUGUAGCUCGGUCGAAGUAGAUGGGGUUGUUCAUGAAUUUUCGAUGAAAGGGUCGCCUAAGGUUGUGAAAGAGGAGCUUGUGUUGAUCUUGAAUGGAUUAAGUAAAAUUAUGAAGAAUGGAGGUUUUGGGCAGUAUAUCAGAGGGUUAUCGAUGGAGGCACAGGUUUCAUGAUGAGGUUGCUGAUCUUCCAGCAAAUUGUUAACUUAUUUUUGAACUGGGAACCAUCAAUUAUCUAUGAAUGUUCUCAAUCUUUCUACGUAAACCUUUGAGCAUAUACCUGAGAGGAAUUUCUUUUUUGGAAGAAAUCUCAAAAGGAUUUGUGGAGUUUUUUCUUAUUCUCUUUGACGACAUCAGGUAAACGUAAGACUCAAAAUUCAGAGAUCAUAUACAAACAACCAUUCUUGUUACAAGUUUACAUUAGAAGCACUCAAUCUAGCUGGGAAAUUCUGUAAAUCAAGAUUUUGUAGAAGUUAUUACAUUUUUUAAAAUUAUCUUAAUUUUCUAGUCCCAAAGAUUCUAUCCUAUAUUUGUCAAAUAUUAAGUGUGAAAUAUGUAUCUAUUAAAUGCAUGGACUAAAAUUUAAUUGUUCACUCUAAAUACAUGUACUGAUAUAAGAUCCAUAUGUGCUGCCUAAUCAACAGAUUUCGUGUUCAUGCCCUUGAUAGUCCAAAUAUAUCAUUAAUCACUCUGACCUGUGCUAUCUUCCAAAUGGUAAUUAUAAUAUAUCUGAUUGUUUACAGUUUGAUCCCUUAAUGGGUGCAAAUCAACUGUUUAUAUUAAUGAAUUCCUUCGUCAAUAUCAAUCACUUUCAUUUGUUUGAAUACUAUUUACAUCUCAAAACAUAACUAAUAGAAUAAAAUCAAAUAAUCAAACAUCAGCUGAGGAUGCACGCUAUGCUGAAAACCAACUUCUAUAGGUAAUGCCAAGCGGAAGAAAAGCUUUUAUAGAAUAUUAUGCUGAAACUGCAAUUCAUCGACGGUCCCAAUGAGCAAAUUUUGAGUAUAUGGCAUUUUCGAGUAUAUCCCAUGUGUCCACUUAUAUCUUUAUGCUAACGAUGCUUUCUAUAAGAAAUUAAAACCUACAACUCUUACUAAAAAUCAGUUUCUAGAUCAUAAGUAGAAUGUUUUCUACUAUGGGUGCUCUCCUUUUUGCUUCUCCCAUGAUUUUCUUGCUUUGGGGAUUAUUUGUUUCAGCCUCUAUUGUUUCAAUCAUGUUUGGGGUUCUAAUCUUCUUGGUGGCACUACUCACUUUUAAAUAUCUAUUAUUUUACAUAAAAGAAUUGAUCUCUGAGGAUCAACGGCCUCCAGUUGCAGGUCUAAUGUUAAAUCUGCUCAUACACUUUUCUAGACUUUUUGAUUACCAAACGUCACUUGCUAAGAAGUAUCGUACUUUUCGUUUACUUCAACCAUCCUGUAGUGAAAUUUUCACUACCGAUCCAGUUAAUAUUGAACAUAUUCUAAAAACUAACUUCUCCAAUUAUGGAAAGGUAAUAAAAUUCCAUGAGCUCACUAAAAUUUCUUUGCUGUUUCAAAAAUGAAAAAUGGCUUUACUAGUCAGUUGAUUUUGAAAUUUGGAUGUCAUGAUAUUUCAGGGCGACUAUAACUGGAAUUUGAUGAGAGAUCUCUUCGGUGAUGGGAUAUUUGCGGUGGAUGGAGAUAAAUGGCGCCACCAAAGGAAGCUUGCAAGUUAUGAAUUCUCAACAAAAAUCCUGAGAGAUUUCAGUUCUGCUGUUUUUCGAGCUAAUGCUGAAAAGUUAACUUCAAAAUUUUCUGUUGCAGCAGCAGCAAAACAGGCUAUAGAUAUGCAGGUUUCUAUUUUACUAGAAUUGAUAUCUUUGUGCUUGUUAUAUAGUUGAUUGGGUGGUUUCAAAGAUGUACUUCUAAAUAGAAAUAUAUUGACAACUUUCUGAAGUUUAAUGACUGCAGUUCAUGAAAAUUAAGGAAACCAUUUUUAAAGAAGUUCUAGAAUGAAGAGCUAACUGCUCCUUAUUAGAAGUUAUGAGGUGUUGUCAUCAUACUCUGACGAAGAUGAAAUAUGCUGAAAUGAAAUACAUCACUACUUGGAUCUUCAAACUCAGUAUUCCUUGAAUUUGAUUUCGAGCCCACCUGAAGUUUAUACAACUCACACUCGCUAGUGGAUUUACUUUCCUUGAAUUUUGCAGGAUGUGCUGUUGAAGUCCAGUCUAGAUUCAAUAUUUAAGGUCGGGUUUGGAGUCGAGUUAAAUUCUCUAUCUGGUUCGGAUGAUUUUGGAAAUCAGUUCACGAAGGCCUUUGAUGACUCCAACUUUAUUGUGUACUGCCGAUACGUUGAUGUAUUCUGGGAACUCAAACGGUAUCUCAACAUUGGCAUGGAAGCCUCCCUCAAGCGAAACAUCAAACUCAUUGACAGCUUCAUUUUUGAACUGAUUCGUUGCAAGAGGGAGCAGAUGAAAAAUGUAGAGCUUGAUGUGAGUAAUUUUUUCUUGAAUACUGAUGCAUUUUUCUAUAUUUAGUACAUAUUUUCUGAAAAUUUUCUGCAGAGCAGAGGGGAAAAGAAGAUAUACUAUCAAGGUUUUUGCUGGAGAGUGAGAAGGACCCAGAAAGCAUGACUGAUAAAUAUUUGAGAGACAUCACUCUCAAUUUCAUCAUAGCAGGUAAAGAUACGACAGCGAACACACUGACUUGGUUCUUUUACAUGCUCUGUAAACAUCCUUUGAUUCAAGAGAAGGCUGCACUGGAUGUGAGAGAAGCAACUGAAGCUCAGGGCAACUUAUGUGCUGAUGAAUUUGCAAAGUUGGUGACUGAAGCUGCCUUGGAGAAGAUGCACUAUCUUCAUGCCGCUCUGAGUGAAACACUCAGAUUGUAUCCAGCUGUUCCUGUGGUAUUUUCUCGUGUCACUAACAACUAUUUUAUUUUCACCGAGCCUAAUCUCCUUUGGUCACCAGCAGCUACUAUAUGUAGGCACAAAGGACUUAUGGUCCUUCCAUGACCUUUAACUUUUUCCUCCUAAACACAAAAGAUAUAACUGCUAAGCUUCAUGUAUGAAUCCCAGCUUUUACUAUGAUUAUACAUCAUGUACGAAUCUCAAAUGCCUCCCUCAAUGUAAUAACUUUCUCAUUGAUCAACCAACGAAAAAAAAAAAAGGGAACACAAAGUAGCAAACCCCUCGACCCAAGAAAUGUGAGAGUGAAACGGGAGUGGGUGCGGGGUAGUGCUAGGCAUUAGCUCUUGAAACUGUUUGCCAAUGUUAUUCUAAUGACUUGUAAAAAGCAGAAGUGUUUACCCUUUCCUCUUAUAAGAACCCCAAUUAAAACUCAUUGCAGGAUGGAAAAAAUGCAGCAGAAGAUGAUAUUCUCCCCGAUGGUUUCAAAGUUAAGAAAGGGGACGGCGUGAACUACAUGACCUACGCCAUGGGUAGGAUGACCUACAUUUGGGGUGAGGACGCAGAGGAAUUCCGCCCAGAAAGAUGGCUUGUUAAUGGCGUUUUCCGAUCAGAAAGUCCUUAUAAGUUUGCCGCAUUUCAGGUCUAUAUAUAUAUGACAUUUUUUCCAUCUAAAUUUACAAUCGCCUGAUUCAUCUUACUCAAUGGCUCUUUUGUUCUAUUAUAGGCCGGCCCUCGAAUUUGCCCUGGAAAGGAAUUUGCUUACAGGCAAAUGAAAAUCUUGGCAGCUGUUCUCCUCCAAUUCUUCAGAUUCAAACUUGUGGAUGAGACUAAGGAAGCUACUUACAGAACCAUGUUCACACUUCACGUGGAUAAAGGGCUCCAUCUAUAUGCUUAUCCAAGAUAGUAACUUUGGAUUAUUUAUUAAAAAAUGUGAAAGGAAUAUUUAAGAUAGUAGUCUUUUAAAAUUAUAUAUAUUUUUCUGGUUUGAGUUGUGUUACUCGUGAUAGAAAUUUUAAUAGAAUCAAAUCCAAAUUUAAACUGGAAUAAAGAAUUCAAAAACUGCAUGGUUUAUUUUGGAUAUAAGUUUUGGAAUAUAAAUUUAACUUUUACAAUUUGUCAGUUUUGCAUGUGUCAAUUUUUUUUGGCUUGGCCACUUCAUUAUCAUAUUAUUAUUACGAAAAAAAAAAAAUUACUCCCAAGGCAUUUCGGGAGAGAAACGAGUACUACUAAUGUAAUUGCAACAUCGGAAAUUUCAAUUGCAGUUAUGCUUUAUCACUUUAUGCUUUUUGUGAACUUUUUAUUACAUAAGACAAACAGAUCAUAUAACAUCAGAACAUGGGCGUGGCCCUCCAGCACAUGCAAACAGAAGAGAAAAAGGUUCAUGUAGAAGCCACACGUGAUUCAAGUUAAUGACUGCCGAUUUGGGUGCCAAUAAGGGUCAAAAUGCAAGCCAAUUGAAGAAAUUAAAGGCACUGCCCUCGAUUCCUUUAUUUUGAUCCUCACAACGUGCCCAUCUAUCACUCCAUUUUCAAGCCUGUGAAGUUUCUUGUGCCCCACUGUGGUUCCUUCUGCCACUAACUUACCAUCCACAAAAAUUUCAUGCCGUUUGAUUCUUUGACCAAGCCCAAUUGCCUCUUGAAUCCUGAUCACAUUGAAUCUCAGCCCUUCAUCCGCUGCCCUAAUUUCAAUCCAGUGGUCAUCACUUUUUCCAUCACCAUCUCUUGGAGCCCAAUAUGUCCGCAGAUGAUCAUCAUCUAGCACAUUUUCGGGUCCAAAGCCACCACCUUUGCCUGCUCUUUGGCUACUAGCUUUCACAAAGCAAUUUUCAGCUAAAUUUUUAGAAAAUAUUGUGUCGAUUGCUGUUCCAAAUUCUCUGAGUCUCUGAACAUCAGUUUCGGAUAUCAGCCCGGUUGUAUUGGGCGGCACAUUGAGCAGCAUCACACAAUUUCUUCCCACCGAGUUAUAGUAAAUCUCAAGAAGCUCACUCAAUUUCUUGGGUGUUUCGGAUUUAUGCCAAAACCACCCCUUUCUAAUUGAAACGUCACAUUCUGCUGGCAACCAAUCUGUCCCUUUCGCAUCGCCAGUGCUUAGAUAGCUGCAAAAUUAUUAAUAAAGCUGUUUAAUUAGUUCCCCAUCAGCUCAGCCGACCCGAAAAAGUGCUCAUUUUUUUAACUUUUGUUUCACGUGCACACUCAACUAAUUGAGAUAACAACAAAAAAUAAAGUCACUUUACGAAUUUUCGCUUCUAGCGUUGACAAUUGUAGUACAUAGCCAAUGAGGUAUAGAAAUUGUGAUCCACUAAUCAACCCGAUGGUGGGUUCAAAUAGAAUUCAUUAGUGGGAUGUAUAUUUUUGUUCAAAGUAUAGAAUAUGAGCAUAAUGUAAUAUUGUUUAGUAUAGGACUCCAAAUCUUACAAUAGAAAAUCUUAUCCCUUUAAGUUUUUGUUUUUAAUUCUCAACUAAUAAUAAUAUUACAUUAAAACCAAGAGUGCCAGGAGCGAAAAAUUUAAGAAUAUAACGUAACAAGAGAGAAGAUUGUUAACUUAUUUUUUGAGGAGUUUCGGAUGAUAAUAUUUGUUGAAAAUUACUGUCAAUAUUUUACUAUAAACCUUUUGAAACGCACCGAUUUUGCUACUAAUAAUUCACAACCAAAAGCGAUAAGUAAACCACUAUGUAAAUUUCAAUAGACACCGACACCACGCAAAAGUUCAUGUGAAGACAAUGGCUUUAAUAGAAGCACUCACUCAACAAUGCUUCCAUUUCCGAUUGACAGUGAAGUUCGAUUUAUCGUGGACCAGCAAGUGCUUCCGGCGAAGCCCUUUUCAUUACCAACCCAUCUAACGUCGGGACCGGCGUCGGAGAAAAUGUUAAUUGAGCUCUGCAGCUCCUUCACCAUCGCAAACCAAUCUGUAAAAUAAUAUGACAUGUUUGGCGCAUUUGAACCUUUUGCUCCAUCAAACCAAAUCUCCCUCACAUCCCCAUAUCUUUACAAAAAAAAAAAAAAAAAAAAAAAUCAUGUGUCAAUUAAAUUACAUAACAACAAGUGAAUUAAUUAAUUAACCAUCUUUUUUUUUUAAUGAUACAUACCUUGUGAGCAAUUCUUGCAACUGAGCUAAAUAAUAUUCAUUGUAUUGCAAGUCAUGACCAUAUCUUGGAUCAUGGCGAUCCCAGGGUGAUAAAUACAACCCCACAUCGACUCCACGGGCUUUAGCCGCAUUGACAAGCUCUUGCACGACGUCGCCGCGUCCAUGUUUCCAGGGACUAUGAGCCACAGAAUGCUCAGUAAAUUUCGAAGGCCAAAGGCAAAAACCAUCGUGGUGUUUUGCUGUCAGAAUCAUCAGCGAAACCCCAGCUUCAGCCGCUGUGUUAACCCACUGGUUUGCAUCUAGCCCCAAGGGAUUGAAUAUCUCAGGAUUUUCAUUGCCGGUUCCCCAUUCUGAGUCAGUGAAUGUGUUCACUCCGAAAUGAAGAAACAUUAUCAGCUCCCUUUGCUGCCAUUUGAGUUGUGAAAAUGAAGGAAGUGGUGACAGAGGCAAUGGUGGUGUUGGUACUUGUUGGCGUUUUGAACUUGCUAAAUUUGUGAGUUGAAACAAUAUUGUUAUUAAGCACACAAAACAACAUAGCUUGGGCAUAUUAAUCCCCUGGGGUUAUUGUUUUAAGCUUAAUCUUCUUCUGGUUUGUCUAUCUUAUAUGUUAAUGAAUGAUUGAGAGAAACAAAAGAGAUGGGUUUGAAUGAUAAGAUAGGGGACCAAACAAAGAAGGGUGGUAGAUUCUUUGAACGUAACCAAGCCAAAAGAGAAACAAAAGCUGACAAUGCGUUAUCUUUUGAUUCGAAUUUUGUUUGAUUCUUUUCUUUUUUUGGUUUUUCAAUUGUUUUGCUGUGGCGAUGAUUCACGAGUUGGCAAUUAAUUGUGUAUUACCUCUAAUAAUCCCCUCAGGUUUUCGUGUGAAGUGCAUAAUAUAUAUAUAUUGUAAGUUAAGCGUUAGAAAUGAAAAUUUUAAGCGACGAGUAAAAGUACCGUAGGAGUAAAACAAAACAUUUGAAAAUUUUUUCACGGAAGAAUUAAAAAGCCAGCAUUUUAGUUGCAAUCAGUAUCAAUUUGGGCCGUGUAUGGCAUGGAGGAGCUGUAAUAACGAUAUUUAAUUAGAGAAUUGUAAUAUUAAAUAAUUUAUGUAUAAAUUGAGUUAAGCAGGUUAAUUUAUAGAAAGCAUAAAUUGAACUCAAGUACUCAAUCUUGAUUUCUUUCUACUUUCAUAAAUAAGGUGAAAAUGGCCCUUAAAAUCUAUACACUUAGAUUUAUUGACAUCUGAAAGCAAUAUUUUUCUGAAAAAGAAAAUGUCCUGCUGUACCGUACAUCCGCCUUGGCCGUACAGCAGAAAUUAAUUUAUUUAUAGUAAAUAUAAUUUUUAAAUAAUAGUUUUAAUAAAAAUAAUAAAGAUAUUUUAUAUUUUUAAUUAUACAAGUGGUAGAUCAAAUCAACUUAAAUUUAUAACUAAUAAUUACUAAACACUUUAAUAUUAUAGUUUUUCAAUUACAAUUGUUAAAUUUAAUAUCAAACAGACCCUUCAUAUAUAUGGUUUCUAAUUUCUAUUAGAAGUUGAGUAAUGCACACGCACACAUCUGUCUGGGAUUAUCUUUCAAGAAAUCAAUAUUUUAAUAGAUAUCAUAUCUGUGGAAUCUGUCUGAAGUAAUAAUAUAUUAAAGAAGAAUAAGCCUUGCCUGUUCAUUCCGUUAACAAUAUUCACCUUAAUAGAAAGUCUACUUAUUCAAUCUGAUCCCUUCUUUAGCUUAUUUAUUCAAAUUAUAUAUAUUCUCAAACAGUUGCGUCAUGCUUGAGGUUCUCGUUCCCAAGUUACUAAUUUUACAAUAAUAUCAGGGAUUUGAAUAGUUGAGUCUUAAUUUGAAUUUGAAUUAUUAUGCAUUAUUUAUUUAUUAGAUAGUGAAUUUUAUAUGGUAAAAUUAAUAUUCUACCAUUCAAUAACUGAAUGUUACAUCAGUUAAGACUUGAUCAUUGGAAUUCUUAACAUUAUUCUUAUUUUAUAUGUAAAUAAAUUAUUGGAACAACAAUAUAUGAUUGAAGAUUCUUUGUUAACUCACUCUAGUUUCAAAUCUUAGACAACUGUCAAGAUGAAUUAUAUUUUACAAGUCCUAUUGGGUUUUUUAAAAUAAUAUUUUGAAAAUAAAUAAAAAAAAUCCCAACAAAAACAAACAAAAAAUUUGAACCAAAUUCAUAUUUCACUGAUGUAGCCAAGUUAUAUAGAAAUGGAAGAGUGAUGUUAUACUUGCUUAGUUUAUAUUAUAAUUGAUGCGUCACUUAUAAAAAUUUCAUCAUUUGUAUUAAAAAUGAUAAAUGCAUUAUCACUUGAGCCAAUCAUGUAGUGACAUAUCAUUUGUCACAUCAGUUGGGAUACAAUCUAAGUAUCUUAAAUAGGUAAGCAUAGCAUUUAUAAAAAAGAAAUUACAAUAGUUAAUUGUGCAAUAAAGUACAAUUUCUGAAGCAAUUUUAUUUUAUUUUUGAAAGAUAAAGCAAUUUUAUUUAGUUGCUUUUCUAAAUUCAAAUUCUAAAAAGAUACAAAGGUAAAAAACUAAUCUAAGCUAUUCAUCCCUCUAUCUUUUUUAGAAAUAAACAUAAAAGAAAUUGAUAAGAGGUUAACUAAGAAAACAAAGUCUGUUCAAUUAGAAUUUUUAAAAGAUACUAUCUUUGCUUUCACACUAGGACACUUGCUUAUUUACAAUAACUGUGUGUAUACUUAAACAAAGAGUAAUUCAGAGACAUUGUUUUAUUGUUCGUUGCUUUGCAAGUAAGAGAGGGGAAAUUAGGUUUUGGUUUGGGUUGUUCGAGUUUAGAUGGUUGGGUUGGAGAAUUGAACCCAAUUAAGUUCAAAACGUGAUCUCAAACUAAAUCAAACCAAAAUUAAUUUGGUUCGAUUUGGUUUGAGUUCGCUUUUCAAAUUUAUUCAUUUUGAAAAUUUAGGUCUAAAUUUUGUAUUAGGUUCAAUUCGGGUUACAAUAGUUUAUUUUUCCCACAUCCGCUAGCAAACAUCUAAAAUUCCGAAAGUCUCAAAUCCCAGCCCAAAUCAAUAUAAAAUAAAAGCAAAUAUCAACUACUAAUCAUCCUCAACAUUUCAACAAGCCUUUUUAAAAAGUUUAAGCUUAAUAAAACAUAAAAUAAAUAAAUAAUGAUUACAAUAAAGCCACUAAGGUUACAUCUCCAAAUGACAAACAUGAUUAAUAAUCCAUCUCCACCAACAUAUAUCUAGAUGACAAAUAUGUAAGUUUAAUAAUCUAUCUUCACUAGCAUAGCACUCAAGACAACAGUUCUAGAUCACUAAUAAUUAACCACCACCAAUCGAGCAUCAAUGGAUAAGUAAUAAUUGACAUUGAGUUGAAUCACUUAAUAUGCCUUAACAAGGUGUAAUAUUCUCAAUAUGACUAUACGAGUGCUACCAUUCUGCACUCAAUACGCCUAAUAAUGUGUAAUCCCAAUACUAGUAUACUAGUACUACCUGAUAACUCUAUGAAAUGAGAGUUAUCAUGAUACUUUUAUACUUGAAUCAUUAUUACUUAGAGAGUAAAUAAUAUGUUUUUAUUGCAUUUUAGUUUUAUUUUGCAUGAAUAAUCAUUUUAGUUUAUUUUUAACAAAUUGCAUUGUUUUAGAAUAAUUUUGUGUGCUUAGAUUGUGUGCAUAAUUGUAGGUGAUUGGAAGCUCAAAUUUCAACGAAGGAAUGCUAUUGCAAUAGGCUUGCAAAAGAUGAAAAAGAACUUAGUUACAGAAGAAUUGAAACAAAUCUGGAACUAUGCAAUUGUUGUAGCCGUUGCUGUAGUAAUGUUGCUGUAACAACCAAUGCUGUAGCAAUCCUAGAACAACGAUAGAGAAAAUUUUGCUCGAGAUACUCAGAAUAUUGUGAGCCUUAGGCUUCAGUUUACCCUAAUUUUCAUUUAUAAAAAGAGCACACAUCAUAAAGAAAAUGAGGAGCCGUCACCCAAAUGGAAAAACCAGAAAGAAACAAAAGAAAAACAGAAUUUAAGAGAGAGAUUGAGAGCUGCAGAAGAGGAGAAUUUGCAGAAAUCAAUCGGGAACUCAAUCCUUCUUAUUAUUCUCUUAUUUUAUUGUUUAUCUUUUAGUUAUGAGGAUGUGUUUGAUGGCUGAAACUUUGUUCUUUAUUUUUCUUUUCAAACCAUGAACUAAAUUUAUUUGUGAUUGAGUGAUAAACAAUCUUGAUGGUUUAUUGAUUGAAUAUAUGUGUUGUUGCAUGUUUGCUAUAACAUUUUGUUUUGAUAGUAUUUAUUUCUAUUUAUUAUUUCGGUUGAUCACCCAUUUAAUGAUAUUAGUUAAGAAAGAGUCACAAAAGUGCCUAUCUUAGUGGAACAUAUCAGAGUAAUACUUGGUUUUAGAUUGAGUUUCCUAGGUUGAGUUUAACUCGAGUCCAAAAGGGUUAUGCUUAAUUUAAAAUUAGUGAUGAACUAGACAUAGAGAUUCACUUUGUAGGGUAAUUAGAACUUAAGCGUGUAAUGCUAUAUCUUAUGUUGGCAUAACAAUUGAUUACUAUUAGGCUGCAUAUGGAUAUAAGAUAUCCAACAUGCGACAACUGAGGAUACAUAAAGAUUCUGCCCAAUGCUGUAGCAGAUACUGUAGCAACCGAGUCAAACAUUAGAAAAAUUGUCAAAAUCAUUAAGUGAAUUUAAUCACUCAACUACUCAUUUAUUAUUGAUUGCAUCUUUGUGUUUGAUUUAAGAUUUCAUUUGUUGUAUUUUUAAUUAAGUUAGUUUAUUAGUUUCUUUAAUUAUUUUAUUUUAAUUUAAUUUAAUCUAAACUACACUGUUAGAAUUGUUGUAGCAAAUCCAAUAACAUCAAUCCCUGUGGAGACGAUUUUGAAUACUCAUCAUUAUAUUACUUGUUAUGUACACUUACACAUUGACACCAAUAACAUUAGAAUUUAUACCAACACUAUCAUUAUGCACUAUGAUUUUGCCUAAAUGUUUUAAGUAGCGUUUACAUUUUAGAUUGGAGUGGAAAUCUUAAAAUUGGGAGUGUGGAAUAAGAGUGAGAGUAAGUUAUUUACUUACACUGGAAUAGAAGUAUAGAAUGGAGAUUAGAAUCCAAUUUAUUUGUUUAUUUUGUCUUAAAUUGUGAGUAAAUAGUUUCAAAUUAUAAUUUUACCCUUAUUUAAAGAAUUGUAGUUUUUAAUUAUAAAGUUAAUAAACAUAUAUUUGAUGAAUAAAUAUUUACUUUAUUAUAUUUGUAAAUUUAUAAUAAUUAUUAAUAUUCUAAAUUAUAUAUAUCAUAAUUUUUUAUUAAUUUUAAUUUUAAAUAUGUAAAUUAAAAAUUAUUGAUAAGGGCAACAUAAAUGAAACAUUUCUACUAUUAACAUAGUACAAAAUUAAUAUUUUCUUAGAAUAAACUAUUUCUGCUGUACGGCCAAGGCGGAUUACGGUACAGCAGAAGGUGUANNNNNNNNNNNNNNNNNNNNNNNNNNNNNNNNNNNNNNNNNNNNNNNNNNNNNNNNNNNNNNNNNNNNNNNNNNNNNNNNNNNNNNNNNNNNNNNNNNNNNNNNNNNNNNNNNNNNNNNNNNNNNNNNNNNNNNNNNNNNNNNNNNNNNNNNNNNNNNNNNNNNNNNNNNNNNNNNNNNNNNNNNNNNNNNNNNNNNNNNNNNNNNNNNNNNNNNNNNNNNNNNNNNNNNNNNNNNNNNNNNNNNNNNNNNNNNNNNNNNNNNNNNNNNNNNNNNNNNNNNNNNNNNNNNNNNNNNNNNNNNNNNNNNNNNNNNNNNNNNNNNNNNNNNNNNNNNNNNNNNNNNNNNNNNNNNNNNNNNNNNNNNNNNNNNNNNNNNNNNNNNNNNNNNNNNNNNNNNNNNNNNNNNNNNNNNNNNNNNNNNNNNNNNNNNNNNNNNNNNNNNNNNNNNNNNNNNNNNNNNNNNNNNNNNNNNNNNNNNNNNNNNNNNNNNNNNNNNNNNNNNNNNNNNNNNNNNNNNNNNNNNNNNNNNNNNNNNNNNNNNNNNNNNNNNNNNNNNNNNNNNNNNNNNNNNNNNNNNNNNNNNNNNNNNNNNNNNNNNNNNNNNNNNNNNNNNNNNNNNNNNNNNNNNNNNNNNNNNNNNNNNNNNNNNNNNNNNNNNNNNNNNNNNNNNNNNNNNNNNNNNNNNNNNNNNNNNNNNNNNNNNNNNNNNNNNNNNNNNNNNNNNNNNNNNNNNNNNNNNNNNNNNNNNNNNNNNNNNNNNNNNNNNNNNNNNNNNNNNNNNNNNNNNNNNNNNNNNNNNNNNNNNNNNNNNNNNNNNNNNNNNNNNNNNNNNNNNNNNNNNNNNNNNNNNNNNNNNNNNNNNNNNNNNNNNNNNNNNNNNNNNNNNNNNNNNNNNNNNNNNNNNNNNNNNNNNNNNNNNNNNNNNNNNNNNNNNNNNNNNNNNNNNNNNNNNNNNNNNNNNNNNNNNNNNNNNNNNNNNNNNNNNNNNNNNNNNNNNNNNNNNNNNNNNNNNNNNNNNNNNNNNNNNNNNNNNNNNNNNNNNNNNNNNNNNNNNNNNNNNNNNNNNNNNNNNNNNNNNNNNNNNNNNNNNNNNNNNNNNNNNNNNNNNNNNNNNNNNNNNNNNNNNNNNNNNNNNNNNNNNNNNNNNNNNNNNNNNNNNNNNNNNNNNNNNNNNNNNNNNNNNNNNNNNNNNNNNNNNNNNNNNNNNNNNNNNNNNNNNNNNNNNNNNNNNNNNNNNNNNNNNNNNNNNNNNNNNNNNNNNNNNNNNNNNNNNNNNNNNNNNNNNNNNNNNNNNNNNNNNNNNNNNNNNNNNNNNNNNNNNNNNNNNNNNNNNNNNNNNNNNNNNNNNNNNNNNNNNNNNNNNNNNNNNNNNNNNNNNNNNNNNNNNNNNNNNNNNNNNNNNNNNNNNNNNNNNNNNNNNNNNNNNNNNNNNNNNNNNNNNNNNNNNNNNNNNNNNNNNNNNNNNNNNNNNNNNNNNNNNNNNNNNNNNNNNNNNNNNNNNNNNNNNNNNNNNNNNNNNNNNNNNNNNNNNNNNNNNNNNNNNNNNNNNNNNNNNNNNNNNNNNNNNNNNNNNNNNNNNNNNNNNNNNNNNNNNNNNNNNNNNNNNNNNNNNNNNNNNNNNNNNNNNNNNNNNNNNNNNNNNNNNNNNNNNNNNNNNNNNNNNNNNNNNNNNNNNNNNNNNNNNNNNNNNNNNNNNNNNNNNNNNNNNNNNNNNNNNNNNNNNNNNNNNNNNNNNNNNNNNNNNNNNNNNNNNNNNNNNNNNNNNNNNNNNNNNNNNNNNNNNNNNNNNNNNNNNNNNNNNNNNNNNNNNNNNNNNNNNNNNNNNNNNNNNNNNNNNNNNNNNNNNNNNNNNNNNNNNNNNNNNNNNNNNNNNNNNNNNNNNNNNNNNNNNNNNNNNNNNNNNNNNNNNNNNNNNNNNNNNNNNNNNNNNNNNNNNNNNNNNNNNNNNNNNNNNNNNNNNNNNNNNNNNNNNNNNNNNNNNNNNNNNNNNNNNNNNNNNNNNNNNNNNNNNNNNNNNNNNNNNNNNNNNNNNNNNNNNNNNNNNNNNNNNNNNNNNNNNNNNNNNNNNNNNNNNNNNNNNNNNNNNNNNNNNNNNNNNNNNNNNNNNNNNNNNNNNNNNNNNNNNNNNNNNNNNNNNNNNNNNNNNNNNNNNNNNNNNNNNNNNNNNNNNNNNNNNNNNNNNNNNNNNNNNNNNNNNNNNNNNNNNNNNNNNNNNNNNNNNNNNNNNNNNNNNNNNNNNNNNNNNNNNNNNNNNNNNNNNNNNNNNNNNNNNNNNNNNNNNNNNNNNNNNNNNNNNNNNNNNNNNNNNNNNNNNNNNNNNNNNNNNNNNNNNNNNNNNNNNNNNNNNNNNNNNNNNNNNNNNNNNNNNNNNNNNNNNNNNNNNNNNNNNNNNNNNNNNNNNNNNNNNNNNNNNNNNNNNNNNNNNNNNNNNNNNNNNNNNNNNNNNNNNNNNNNNNNNNNNNNNNNNNNNNNNNNNNNNNNNNNNNNNNNNNNNNNNNNNNNNNNNNNNNNNNNNNNNNNNNNNNNNNNNNNNNNNNNNNNNNNNNNNNNNNNNNNNNNNNNNNNNNNNNNNNNNNNNNNNNNNNNNNNNNNNNNNNNNNNNNNNNNNNNNNNNNNNNNNNNNNNNNNNNNNNNNNNNNNNNNNNNNNNNNNNNNNNNNNNNNNNNNNNNNNNNNNNNNNNNNNNNNNNNNNNNNNNNNNNNNNNNNNNNNNNNNNNNNNNNNNNNNNNNNNNNNNNNNNNNNNNNNNNNNNNNNNNNNNNNNNNNNNNNNNNNNNNNNNNNNNNNNNNNNNNNNNNNNNNNNNNNNNNNNNNNNNNNNNNNNNNNNNNNNNNNNNNNNNNNNNNNNNNNNNNNNNNNNNNNNNNNNNNNNNNNNNNNNNNNNNNNNNNNNNNNNNNNNNNNNNNNNNNNNNNNNNNNNNNNNNNNNNNNNNNNNNNNNNNNNNNNNNNNNNNNNNNNNNNNNNNNNNNNNNNNNNNNNNNNNNNNNNNNNNNNNNNNNNNNNNNNNNNNNNNNNNNNNNNNNNNNNNNNNNNNNNNNNNNNNNNNNNNNNNNNNNNNNNNNNNNNNNNNNNNNNNNNNNNNNNNNNNNNNNNNNNNNNNNNNNNNNNNNNNNNNNNNNNNNNNNNNNNNNNNNNNNNNNNNNNNNNNNNNNNNNNNNNNNNNNNNNNNNNNNNNNNNNNNNNNNNNNNNNNNNNNNNNNNNNNNNNNNNNNNNNNNNNNNNNNNNNNNNNNNNNNNNNNNNNNNNNNNNNNNNNNNNNNNNNNNNNNNNNNNNNNNNNNNNNNNNNNNNNNNNNNNNNNNNNNNNNNNNNNNNNNNNNNNNNNNNNNNNNNNNNNNNNNNNNNNNNNNNNNNNNNNNNNNNNNNNNNNNNNNNNNNNNNNNNNNNNNNNNNNNNNNNNNNNNNNNNNNNNNNNNNNNNNNNNNNNNNNNNNNNNNNNNNNNNNNNNNNNNNNNNNNNNNNNNNNNNNNNNNNNNNNNNNNNNNNNNNNNNNNNNNNNNNNNNNNNNNNNNNNNNNNNNNNNNNNNNNNNNNNNNNNNNNNNNNNNNNNNNNNNNNNNNNNNNNNNNNNNNNNNNNNNNNNNNNNNNNNNNNNNNNNNNNNNNNNNNNNNNNNNNNNNNNNNNNNNNNNNNNNNNNNNNNNNNNNNNNNNNNNNNNNNNNNNNNNNNNNNNNNNNNNNNNNNNNNNNNNNNNNNNNNNNNNNNNNNNNNNNNNNNNNNNNNNNNNNNNNNNNNNNNNNNNNNNNNNNNNNNNNNNNNNNNNNNNNNNNNNNNNNNNNNNNNNNNNNNNNNNNNNNNNNNNNNNNNNNNNNNNNNNNNNNNNNNNNNNNNNNNNNNNNNNNNNNNNNNNNNNNNNNNNNNNNNNNNNNNNNNNNNNNNNNNNNNNNNNNNNNNNNNNNNNNNNNNNNNNNNNNNNNNNNNNNNNNNNNNNNNNNNNNNNNNNNNNNNNNNNNNNNNNNNNNNNNNNNNNNNNNNNNNNNNNNNNNNNNNNNNNNNNNNNNNNNNNNNNNNNNNNNNNNNNNNNNNNNNNNNNNNNNNNNNNNNNNNNNNNNNNNNNNNNNNNNNNNNNNNNNNNNNNNNNNNNNNNNNNNNNNNNNNNNNNNNNNNNNNNNNNNNNNNNNNNNNNNNNNNNNNNNNNNNNNNNNNNNNNNNNNNNNNNNNNNNNNNNNNNNNNNNNNNNNNNNNNNNNNNNNNAAAAAAAAAAAAAAAAAAAAAAAUCAUGUGUCAAUUAAAUUACAUAACAACAAGUGAAUUAAUUAAUUAACCAUCUUUUUUUUUUAAUGAUACAUACCUUGUGAGCAAUUCUUGCAACUGAGCUAAAUAAUAUUCAUUGUAUUGCAAGUCAUGACCAUAUCUUGGAUCAUGGCGAUCCCAGGGUGAUAAAUACAACCCCACAUCGACUCCACGGGCUUUAGCCGCAUUGACAAGCUCUUGCACGACGUCGCCGCGUCCAUGUUUCCAGGGACUAUGAGCCACAGAAUGCUCAGUAAAUUUCGAAGGCCAAAGGCAAAAACCAUCGUGGUGUUUUGCUGUCAGAAUCAUCAGCGAAACCCCAGCUUCAGCCGCUGUGUUAACCCACUGGUUUGCAUCUAGCCCCAAGGGAUUGAAUAUCUCAGGAUUUUCAUUGCCGGUUCCCCAUUCUGAGUCAGUGAAUGUGUUCACUCCGAAAUGAAGAAACAUUAUCAGCUCCCUUUGCUGCCAUUUGAGUUGUGAAAAUGAAGGAAGUGGUGACAGAGGCAAUGGUGGUGUUGGUACUUGUUGGCGUUUUGAACUUGCUAAAUUUGUGAGUUGAAACAAUAUUGUUAUUAAGCACACAAAACAACAUAGCUUGGGCAUAUUAAUCCCCUGGGGUUAUUGUUUUAAGCUUAAUCUUCUUCUGGUUUGUCUAUCUUAUAUGUUAAUGAAUGAUUGAGAGAAACAAAAGAGAUGGGUUUGAAUGAUAAGAUAGGGGACCAAACAAAGAAGGGUGGUAGAUUCUUUGAACGUAACCAAGCCAAAAGAGAAACAAAAGCUGACAAUGCGUUAUCUUUUGAUUCGAAUUUUGUUUGAUUCUUUUCUUUUUUUGGUUUUUCAAUUGUUUUGCUGUGGCGAUGAUUCACGAGUUGGCAAUUAAUUGUGUAUUACCUCUAAUAAUCCCCUCAGGUUUUCGUGUGAAGUGCAUAAUAUAUAUAUAUUGUAAGUUAAGCGUUAGAAAUGAAAAUUUUAAGCGACGAGUAAAAGUACCGUAGGAGUAAAACAAAACAUUUGAAAAUUUUUUCACGGAAGAAUUAAAAAGCCAGCAUUUUAGUUGCAAUCAGUAUCAAUUUGGGCCGUGUAUGGCAUGGAGGAGCUGUAAUAAUAAUUUUAACAAAAAUAGUAAAAAUAUUUUUAAAUAAAAAUUAAUUUAUUUAUAGUAAAUAUAAUUUUUAAAUAAUAGUUUUAAUAAAAAUAAUAAAGAUAUUUUAUAUUUUUAAUUAUACAAGUGGUAGAUCAAAUCAACUUAAAUUUAUAACUAAUAAUUACUAAACACUUUAAUAUUAUAGUUUUUCAAUUACAAUUGUUAAAUUUAAUAUCAAACAGACCCUUCAUAUAUAUGGUUUCUAAUUUCUAUUAGAAGUUGAGUAAUGCACACGCACACAUCUGUCUGGGAUUAUCUUUCAAGAAAUCAAUAUUUUAAUAGAUAUCAUAUCUGUGGAAUCUGUCUGAAGUAAUAAUAUAUUAAAGAAGAAUAAGCCUUGCCUGUUCAUUCCGUUAACAAUAUUCACCUUAAUAGAAAGUCUACUUAUUCAAUCUGAUCCCUUCUUUAGCUUAUUUAUUCAAAUUAUAUAUAUUCUCAAACAGUUGCGUCAUGCUUGAGGUUCUCGUUCCCAAGUUACUAAUUUUACAAUAAUAUCAGGGAUUUGAAUAGUUGAGUCUUAAUUUGAAUUUGAAUUAUUAUGCAUUAUUUAUUUAUUAGAUAGUGAAUUUUAUAUGGUAAAAUUAAUAUUCUACCAUUCAAUAACUGAAUGUUACAUCAGUUAAGACUUGAUCAUUGGAAUUCUUAACAUUAUUCUUAUUUUAUAUGUAAAUAAAUUAUUGGAACAACAAUAUAUGAUUGAAGAUUCUUUGUUAACUCACUCUAGUUUCAAAUCUUAGACAACUGUCAAGAUGAAUUAUAUUUUACAAGUCCUAUUGGGUUUUUUAAAAUAAUAUUUUGAAAAUAAAUAAAAAAAAUCCCAACAAAAACAAACAAAAAAUUUGAACCAAAUUCAUAUUUCACUGAUGUAGCCAAGUUAUAUAGAAAUGGAAGAGUGAUGUUAUACUUGCUUAGUUUAUAUUAUAAUUGAUGCGUCACUUAUAAAAAUUUCAUCAUUUGUAUUAAAAAUGAUAAAUGCAUUAUCACUUGAGCCAAUCAUGUAGUGACAUAUCAUUUGUCACAUCAGUUGGGAUACAAUCUAAGUAUCUUAAAUAGGUAAGCAUAGCAUUUAUAAAAAAGAAAUUACAAUAGUUAAUUGUGCAAUAAAGUACAAUUUCUGAAGCAAUUUUAUUUUAUUUUUGAAAGAUAAAGCAAUUUUAUUUAGUUGCUUUUCUAAAUUCAAAUUCUAAAAAGAUACAAAGGUAAAAAACUAAUCUAAGCUAUUCAUCCCUCUAUCUUUUUUAGAAAUAAACAUAAAAGAAAUUGAUAAGAGGUUAACUAAGAAAACAAAGUCUGUUCAAUUAGAAUUUUUAAAAGAUACUAUCUUUGCUUUCACACUAGGACACUUGCUUAUUUACAAUAACUGUGUGUAUACUUAAACAAAGAGUAAUUCAGAGACAUUGUUUUAUUGUUCGUUGCUUUGCAAGUAAGAGAGGGGAAAUUAGGUUUUGGUUUGGGUUGUUCGAGUUUAGAUGGUUGGGUUGGAGAAUUGAACCCAAUUAAGUUCAAAACGUGAUCUCAAACUAAAUCAAACCAAAAUUAAUUUGGUUCGAUUUGGUUUGAGUUCGCUUUUCAAAUUUAUUCAUUUUGAAAAUUUAGGUCUAAAUUUUGUAUUAGGUUCAAUUCGGGUUACAAUAGUUUAUUUUUCCCACAUCCGCUAGCAAACAUCUAAAAUUCCGAAAGUCUCAAAUCCCAGCCCAAAUCAAUAUAAAAUAAAAGCAAAUAUCAACUACUAAUCAUCCUCAACAUUUCAACAAGCCUUUUUAAAAAGUUUAAGCUUAAUAAAACAUAAAAUAAAUAAAUAAUGAUUACAAUAAAGCCACUAAGGUUACAUCUCCAAAUGACAAACAUGAUUAAUAAUCCAUCUCCACCAACAUAUAUCUAGAUGACAAAUAUGUAAGUUUAAUAAUCUAUCUUCACUAGCAUAGCACUCAAGACAACAGUUCUAGAUCACUAAUAAUUAACCACCACCAAUCGAGCAUCAAUGGAUAAGUAAUAAUUGACAUUGAGUUGAAUCACUUAAUAUGCCUUAACAAGGUGUAAUAUUCUCAAUAUGACUAUACGAGUGCUACCAUUCUGCACUCAAUACGCCUAAUAAUGUGUAAUCCCAAUACUAGUAUACUAGUACUACCUGAUAACUCUAUGAAAUGAGAGUUAUCAUGAUACUUUUAUACUUGAAUCAUUAUUACUUAGAGAGUAAAUAAUAUGUUUUUAUUGCAUUUUAGUUUUAUUUUGCAUGAAUAAUCAUUUUAGUUUAUUUUUAACAAAUUGCAUUGUUUUAGAAUAAUUUUGUGUGCUUAGAUUGUGUGCAUAAUUGUAGGUGAUUGGAAGCUCAAAUUUCAACGAAGGAAUGCUAUUGCAAUAGGCUUGCAAAAGAUGAAAAAGAACUUAGUUACAGAAGAAUUGAAACAAAUCUGGAACUAUGCAAUUGUUGUAGCCGUUGCUGUAGUAAUGUUGCUGUAACAACCAAUGCUGUAGCAAUCCUAGAACAACGAUAGAGAAAAUUUUGCUCGAGAUACUCAGAAUAUUGUGAGCCUUAGGCUUCAGUUUACCCUAAUUUUCAUUUAUAAAAAGAGCACACAUCAUAAAGAAAAUGAGGAGCCGUCACCCAAAUGGAAAAACCAGAAAGAAACAAAAGAAAAACAGAAUUUAAGAGAGAGAUUGAGAGCUGCAGAAGAGGAGAAUUUGCAGAAAUCAAUCGGGAACUCAAUCCUUCUUAUUAUUCUCUUAUUUUAUUGUUUAUCUUUUAGUUAUGAGGAUGUGUUUGAUGGCUGAAACUUUGUUCUUUAUUUUUCUUUUCAAACCAUGAACUAAAUUUAUUUGUGAUUGAGUGAUAAACAAUCUUGAUGGUUUAUUGAUUGAAUAUAUGUGUUGUUGCAUGUUUGCUAUAACAUUUUGUUUUGAUAGUAUUUAUUUCUAUUUAUUAUUUCGGUUGAUCACCCAUUUAAUGAUAUUAGUUAAGAAAGAGUCACAAAAGUGCCUAUCUUAGUGGAACAUAUCAGAGUAAUACUUGGUUUUAGAUUGAGUUUCCUAGGUUGAGUUUAACUCGAGUCCAAAAGGGUUAUGCUUAAUUUAAAAUUAGUGAUGAACUAGACAUAGAGAUUCACUUUGUAGGGUAAUUAGAACUUAAGCGUGUAAUGCUAUAUCUUAUGUUGGCAUAACAAUUGAUUACUAUUAGGCUGCAUAUGGAUAUAAGAUAUCCAACAUGCGACAACUGAGGAUACAUAAAGAUUCUGCCCAAUGCUGUAGCAGAUACUGUAGCAACCGAGUCAAACAUUAGAAAAAUUGUCAAAAUCAUUAAGUGAAUUUAAUCACUCAACUACUCAUUUAUUAUUGAUUGCAUCUUUGUGUUUGAUUUAAGAUUUCAUUUGUUGUAUUUUUAAUUAAGUUAGUUUAUUAGUUUCUUUAAUUAUUUUAUUUUAAUUUAAUUUAAUCUAAACUACACUGUUAGAAUUGUUGUAGCAAAUCCAAUAACAUCAAUCCCUGUGGAGACGAUUUUGAAUACUCAUCAUUAUAUUACUUGUUAUGUACACUUACACAUUGACACCAAUAACAUUAGAAUUUAUACCAACACUAUCAUUAUGCACUAUGAUUUUGCCUAAAUGUUUUAAGUAGCGUUUACAUUUUAGAUUGGAGUGGAAAUCUUAAAAUUGGGAGUGUGGAAUAAGAGUGAGAGUAAGUUAUUUACUUACACUGGAAUAGAAGUAUAGAAUGGAGAUUAGAAUCCAAUUUAUUUGUUUAUUUUGUCUUAAAUUGUGAGUAAAUAGUUUCAAAUUAUAAUUUUACCCUUAUUUAAAGAAUUGUAGUUUUUAAUUAUAAAGUUAAUAAACAUAUAUUUGAUGAAUAAAUAUUUACUUUAUUAUAUUUGUAAAUUUAUAAUAAUUAUUAAUAUUCUAAAUUAUAUAUAUCAUUAUUUUUUAUUAAUUUUAAUUUUAAAUAUGUAAAUUAAAAAUUAUUGAUAAGGGCAACAUAAAUGAAACAUUUCUACUAUUAACAUAGUACAAAAUUAAUCNNNNNNNNNNNNNNNNNNNNNNNNNNNNNNNNNNNNNNNNNNNNNNNNNNNNNNNNNNNNNNNNNNNNNNNNNNNNNNNNNNNNNNNNNNNNNNNNNNNNNNNNNNNNNNNNNNNNNNNNNNNNNNNNNNNNNNNNNNNNNNNNNNNNNNNNNNNNNNNNNNNNNNNNNNNNNNNNNNNNNNNNNNNNNNNNNNNNNNNNNNNNNNNNNNNNNNNNNNNNNNNNNNNNNNNNNNNNNNNNNNNNNNNNNNNNNNNNNNNNNNNNNNNNNNNNNNNNNNNNNNNNNNNNNNNGCAGAUUAAUUUUUUAUUAAUAUAAUAAUAUUAUUUUUAAGUAAUUUUAACUUAGAAUCAAUGCAAAUUAUUAUUUAGUUAAAUAUAAUAAUAUUAAAUUUAAUAAAAGGAGGGUAAAAAUCCACUCCCACCUCCCCCCAUGGGAGUCCCACUUUCACUCCCCACUCUAAAAGUAGGUGGAGUCCACGUAGUGAGAUUCCUAAUCCUCCCUUAAAAUGUGCAAGUAAACACUAAAGUGGAAGAAAUCUACACUUCUCACUUCCACUCUAGAAAGUAAACACAACAUUAAUUGAUUCUUAUUAUUGAUCCAAUCAAUUCUUAUUCUUGCAACACAAAAUCUUCAUAUUGGAGCACUUGGAUGGUCGAAUUGUGUCGACUUACAAAGCUCUACAUGAAACAAAAAAACCUUAAAGUAAAAAACUCUUAGAGUAAAUAACAAAGUCCUAAAAAUAAAUAACUAAGUAAUCAUAAAUAUUCGUACCUUCUACAAGAGAAUCCAUAAACUCAUUUUCCUCAACUAACGCCUAAAGGUUAGUUGUUGCAUACAUGAAAAGUGAAGAUCGCAACCAAUUUUGUGUUAAUGUUAAUGCUUCCACCAUGUCAAGAGUCAUAGAACUCUUAUAUUCAUAUACAACACAACCUCUCAUACUAAAGACGAACUCAGAUACAAUAGUAGAUAUUGGAGUGGCAAGCACAUCUCUUGCUAUUUGCGAUAAAAUUAGGCGUUUUGAACUAUUAACCUUCUACCAAAGCAAAAUAUCAAAUGGAGCACCCAAUCAACAGUGAAUUAAGUGCUUGAUACUCAACCGACUCCAUCAAAUAAAAGUUUAACUCAUUUGACGAUUCUAUAUGAUCUCUAGUGACAACAACCAUUUCCAUAUAUUUUUUGAAGGCUGAGUCCUCAUAUACCUCAUAUUCUUCAUCCACAAAAGUUAGCCCACUACUAGCACUACCACCAAUAGUUACACUUGAAAAUGCACUUGGUUUUAAGUGCCGAGCACUGUAAGCUUCAAAAAGCUUAACCCAAUCCGAAUGCCACCCCUAAUUGCAAGAAUUAAUUAUGCCUUGCUUAAUUAAGAAGAGUUGAGUGAGAAUCCCCACAAAAUGUCUAAGAUGGCCACCAAUGUUAAAAAAUGGGCUUUCUGAAAAUUGAGCCCAUUAGCCUACUAAUGGCUUAAGGCCUCAAUUUGUUUGCCUCAACAGAGAACACCUUUCAUAUGCCUUAAGCAAAAUUUCCUAGUAUCCUUGCUUUCACUCUUAGUCUUGGGUCACCUAAUUGUGAUUCACAAGAGGUAAUCUCUAUCCUUGCUUUCACUCUUGGUCUUGGAUCACCUAAUUAUGAUUCACAAGAGCUAAUCUCUAUGUAGUGGAAAAAGAUUUAUACAGUUGAAGUUGAAUUUAAAAGACAUUGUUAAUUUUCUCUUUUGUAGUGCAAGAAUUGAUAGUGCUUUGCUUGGGAACCGCCAACGUAUGUCCAAGUUGAGCAAUCUAUGAAAUAUAUUAAAAAUGGGUACAAUUUGAUUUGUCUUUCUAAAGAUGCAGCAUCACUAAUGUUGCCCAAAGGCUUGGCUAAUACAAAGUCUCGUUGAUACCCCAAAUAGAGAACUGAAAGUUAACUUGCUAAACCAGGCUGCUGGAAAAUGUGAUGUGCAAUUGCACCCUAAUAUAUGGAUCCUCCUAUGUAACAUGCCACACCUUUUUUUUUUUAAUUUUUGGGUUAAUUACACUGCAAUCCCUGUUUUAUUCUAAAAUUAAAAAAAAAUCAGAUAAUCCUAAAUUUUGACUCAUUAGUCCUACUUAUUUUGAUUUUUUUAAACUUAAAUCAAAAGGUGAGGAUAUUUUUUAAUUAUUAAUUCACACACCCACCAUCAAGUUUUAAAAAGAAAAUUUACUCCAUAUACUUACGUAAAUGUCAAAUACAUUCUUGAUAAGACUAAUUUUUUAUUUGUACUAAAUAAAUUAAUUAAAAUGAUAUAAAAAAUGAUUGAAUUCUUUACAUGCCCACUAGUUUCAACUCCAUAUCUCUAGCAAAUAGCAACUAAAUUCUAUCAUUAACUCAAAAUUAUUGAACAUGAGAUGUGAAAAAGGUUCUCAAAUAAAUGUGGAGUAUGAAAAAGGUUCUCAAAUAAGUGUGGAGUAUAAAAUGGCUUGACCUCCAAGUUCUUAUUAAAAGCUUCUAAACUUAUUCCUCAAGCUCAUAGAUAUAAGAACAAACUACGAGCAAGUUGCCACCACCCCCCUCUCACUUUUAGAUACGUUCUUAUUAAACAAUAAAAAAAUUAUUAAUUGGUAAAUAAAUAUAGUUUUAUUUCAUAUUGAAAUUAUUUACUGUAUAUUGAAUAAAUAUUAUUAAAAAAUAUCAACAACAAAUUAAGAACUAGAGAUCAAAUUCAUACUCAUAUUUAUUAUAAAAUAUGGUUGUAAUUAAUACGUGGUUUUACUAUAUAUUAAAUUAAUUAAUUAAUAAGAAAGAAUAUUAAUUUAAAUAUAAGAAUAAAUCAAUUUAUCGGUGAAAUUAUCCAGGUCAUUUGGCACGAUAUAUUGUAUUGCAUUAGUUACAUUGUAUUACAGUGUGUGUCAUUAAGGUGUAUUAAACUAUAAUACAAUAUCAUAUUUGAUGCAACAUGAACUGUAGUAUAUGUAAUAAAAUUUUAUAUAUAAUUAAAUAAUAUUAUAUUAUGUUAUAAUUUUUUAUAUAAUAUUUAAGUACUUAUUAUUAGUUAUAUUAGCUUAUUAAAUAAUUAUCAAUUUUUACUUAUUAAAUGUUAUAAUAUAAUUAAGUAAUACAUUAUUUAAUUAUAUUUUUAAUAUAAUUAAAUUUUUAAAUAUUAUUGAAUACUAAAUUGUAAAUUGAUGGACUUAUGUGUCAAUGUUUUAAACUUUGUUAGUUUUGUAAUUUUGCAGCAAACAAUAGGGAGUAUAAUAUUAAUAACCCAACACAAGCAUCUUAACCAUUACACUUGUUUUAAAUUAAAUCUAACGGUGGAUUAGGAAAAGACAAAAGAGUGUGGUAUGUUACUACAGUAGUAACAUAGCUGCACCCCAUAUAUAUAUAUAUAUAUAUAGAACUGCAGCACCAAGAAUUAUCCUUAAAUUUUUUCAUUUUACGAGGAAAAACCGUCAAAGCAGGCAGGGUUGAAACUCUCUACACACCGUUCCAUAACUUGGUCUCAACUAACUCUAUUUAUGUCAGUCAAUAGUAUUGGUAACUUACGCUCUCAAAAUAGGCUUGAGCUUAUGUCAUAAAAUUUAUGAUCUGUAUUGCGAAGUCCAAAUUUUAUAGCAACUUAUUAAUUUCUCAGAGUCAUCGUUGAAAAUUUCCUUCCUCUGACAAAUAUAAAGAGUAUGACUGACCAUGCCUUGCUUUUAAUGAGUAUUUAUUAUCACCGGCAUAGUUACCGAGUACCAUCUGCCAAACACUGUUUACUGCGUUAAUAACAUGUGGUUCUCUGAAUUAAUCUUUAUGUUUUAUCAAAUAACUGCAUACUUUAUCCAUUUGCGUCAACUAAGUCCCUCAUUCGUUUAUUAGGGUUAAUUGACAUAUUUGAUACAAAUAGAUAAACUAUUUCUUUGUUUACAAAAAUAUAAAAAUUUAGGGAUUCCAAUGUUAUUGUCUGUACCCUUCACUUUCAACUCCAUUUAAACCUUCUCAGAGACACUCCCAGACCCACUGCAUGUCAGCAUCUCUUCUCUCUAGCUUUGGCAAUAUGCUAUCUGAUCACUUGCAUUCAACUCUUUAUGAAACCCUAAAAUUUCUAUUUCUUAUUCUUGUAACUGCCAUUGAAGCAUUCUUGAUCCAUCAACGCUUCAAACCCAUUUGCCAUUUCUUCUAUUUCACUUGUCUUGCAAUUAUUUUGCUUCUCCAAUUCUACCUUUCAAAGCCUUCAGUAACAUACCUGGUGGACUUCUCAUGUUACAAGCCACCAUGCUUCUGCAGAGUCCCUUUCUCCUCAUUUCUUGAAAACUCCUCAUUGGUAGAAACUUUCGACAGCGAAAGCAUGGCUUUCAUGUCCAAAGUUCUCACUUGCUCAGGACAAAGUGAAGAGACUUAUCUCCCUCCAGCAUUACAAUACAUUCCUCCAAAAACCAAUCAGCAAGAAUCCAUCAAAGAAGCUCAAAUGGUCCUCUUCCCAGUCAUCGAAAAUCUCCUCUCCAAGGUUCAGAUCUCACCUCAAGAUAUUGACAUCCUCAUAAUAAACUGUAGUGGCUUUUGCCCUUCGCCCUCACUUUCAUCCAUUAUCAUCAAUAAAUACUCCAUGAAGAGUGACAUCAAGAACUUUAACCUCUCCGGCAUGGGCUGCAGUGCAAGUGCACUUGCCAUCGACAUGGCUCAAGCCCUUCUCAAAACCCAAAAAGACUCCGAUGCCCUUGUCCUCAGCACUGAAAUAUUAUCCACCGGUUGGUACUCGGGUAACGAGAAGCCUAAGUUGCUCCUCAACUGCCUCUUCAGAAUGGGCAGUGUAGCAGUUUUGUUAACAAACAAAAAACAAGCAAAAAGAUCAUCAAAAUACAAAGUUGUUCGCACUGUGAGAACCAAUAAAGCCUUUGAUGACAAGGCUUAUAAUUCCGGAAUGCGCGAAGAGGACUCUAAUGGGAAACUUGGGGUAACACUCAACAGGGAUUUGCUGCAAAUCGCCGGAGAAACUCUUAGAGCAAAUAUAACAAUUUUGGGUUUUAAAAUUUUGCCCUUUAGAGAGUUAUUUUGGCUUGGUGUUUCAGUUAUAAAGAAGGGGUUUAUUAAAAAUUCUUGUGAUGUUUAUGUGCCAAAUUUUAAGGCCGCGGUGCAACAUUUUUGCCUGCCGGUUUCGGGAAGGCCGGUGAUUAGAGAGAUAGCGAAGAAUCUGAAGCUCGGGGAGAGGGACAUUGAAGCUGCUCUGAUGACAUUGCACAGAUUUGGAAACCAGUCAUCUUCUUCAUUGUGGUAUGAGUUAGCUUACAUGGAGGCUAAAGAGAGAGUGAAGAAAGGUGACAGAGUUUGGCUAAUUGGAGCCGGGACUGGGAGCAAGUGCGGUAGCGUCGUUUUGCAGUGUUUGAGACCCAUUGUUGGGGAAUCUAACAAGGGCCCAUGGGCUGGUUGUGUCGAAGAGUAUCCAGUCAUGAAUUCAUGAUGCAUCAUCAAAGAAAGUUUCCAUCUUGCUGUGGAUUCAUUGCUGCUGAUUGCUUGUUUUCUUAUAAUUAUUGUAGAGAAAUACAAUAAAAUAUUAUUCAUUUCAUGAAAAGCUGGUAUUAUUUUUCAAUAAAUGGAUAUCUAUUGUGUCUCUUUUGAAUUGUUUAGAGUCCAGCUACGUUGCGGAUCAGUUACACAAUUAUUUGGUGGACACGUUAGAUGAUUAAAAAAUGAACGAAAUUUAAGAAAAUUUAAUCAUCCAAUAAUAUCCACGCUAUAGAAUUUAAUACUCCUCAAAUAUUAUAGUCACAAUCAAUUAUUUAUUUAAAGGGGUUAUAAGAGAAUAAGAACAUGAUAAUCAUAUAUCAUAUAUUAAUCCAUGUAAGCUGUAGCUAUUUUUCUUAUUUUAGUAAAGAAAAAACACAUUUUGUUUUUAUCUAUUUGUUGGAUGGACAGGUCGCCCAUGAUAGGCUGACCCGAUCCGACCCAAGUUUGGUAACUGCCAAGCAGUUACCCUACACGUUGAUUUAUGGGAGUUUAGAAGGAAUUUUGAUUUUUGAAUCAGCUUCCCUAACCGUUGUUUAAAUUAAAACAAAGUAUAAUAUAGCAUUUUAAUCUAUCGAAGGCAGAGACUUCUCCUAUUUCUUCAUUAAUUUCUUUCAGAUUCAUAUACAAAAGAACAUAGAACAACCCAUUAAAAAAAGGGCAUUUACACUGUGGUAUAGAGGAGAAUUUCCAUUUGUGAUUUCUUUCCGACCAUUGGCGUAAUCCAACACUUGAAUAUUUUGCUGCUUAAUUUCUUGGAAAAAGGUAUAGCUUCUUGAAUUCCUUUUAUUUUUCCUUCAUUGGUAUCAAAGCUUUCUAUUGUGUUGGAUUCGUGCAUAUGGUUGAAUUUAUUUCAUGAAAAAGCAUGAAUAUCACAUGUUAAUUGAAAUUUAUGGAAUGUGUGAUCUGGUGGCUGUUGAUUUUAUGUUCUUAGUGCUUAAAUUAAUGCAUAAAUUAUAGAAUUGAUAGACAUAAAAAAGGGCCUAGGGUUUAGGUUGCGUGAACCUUAAGAAAUCAUGAAACCCGAAAUUUCAUUUGCUCGUAUCUUUUGGUCUAGGUAACUUGACAUUGUGUGUAAUAUAUCAUUGGAAAGAUCUUUUUGAGAGCUUUCCAAUGAUAUGUGGUUAAAAACGAAAAUAAAAUGAGAAAGUUAUAACCAAAACAAGAAUCUGGUCGGAUUAGGGUUACAGAAGUCAGAAACCCUAAUUUUUGGAGAAGAUGAUGAAUAGUGCCAGAAUUAGUUUCUCAGUGAUUUCGGCUUAUUCUGACCUCUGAUUGAAAAUAUAAGGCCACCAUUGGACUAGGACGAAAAAUUGAGUCGGAUGGUGCUCGACCUGACAUCAUUAGAGCUGCUCAAGGCGACGCAUGAGGAUGCACACGGCAUUGUAGCACACUGUAGUGAAACUGUAGCGGAUUGUAGCGCAUUGUAGCACACACUGUAGCAUGCAUGAAGAGCAUGCAACUACCUUUGUGCGUGGCAGCGUUGGAAUAAUAAGAAUCUUUGGAGAUAACUGUUGUGAAAAUUUUAAUAUACUCGCAAGCGCACGAAUUUAGAAAUAGAAUAGUGGUAACGAAGUCGAUCCCAUAGGGAUUGUUAUAAAUUGGAAAGUCUAAUUUAAAUCUAAAAUUAAUAUUAAUCCUAACCUAGUUGAGCAAUUUGAAUUUUUAAAAGAAAUUAAACUUAUUAAAUUAAGAAAACAAAUAAAGUAAAUGAGAAAUCAAUAAGACAAAAAUUACCAAGGUUUCGGAAUCCACCACUAUUCAAUUAGUAAUUAUCUAAAUAUUAAUUAAUCCCCAAUUUUAGAGUGACAACUCGAAAUCAAUUUAUGUCAUCUCAUGGAUAUAACAAUUGAGCCCAAGUAAUUAAAUCUAAUGGAGGUUCUUUUUCUGCUUAAUAAUAUGACUUCUAAGCAUCCCAUGUAAAUAUAUUGAACAACAAAGAGUCAAAGUUUUCCUAAGCACUCUAUGUAAACAAUUUAAUGAAAGACAUAGAAUCAAAGAUAAUUAUGUAUAAACUUUAUAAAUCCAAGUAUAGAUUUAAUCGAAUAUUAAUCCUAACAAUCAAUAAUGAAUGACAUAAUUGAUGAAAAGAUUUUAAUAACAUCCAAUUAAUCAUGUGAAAUAAAAACCAUAAUCAUUCAAGAACAUAUAUAGGGAAUUAAAUAAAUAAAAAGAUAAUUAUUUCAUUGAAUAGGGUUUCAUCCUUAACCUCAGUGUAAGAAAAUUAGCUAGACAUACUUGAAUAGAGAGCAACACAAGAAAUAAAAUCAGCCAUGAAAGCCGAACUGUUGCUGCUGCUGAAUACUCUCUCCCAGCCUUGUGUCUGCACCUCUUUUCUUUUUCCUGGAAGCUACUCUCUUGCCUUUAUAUAAUGUUACUGGCUUGCUUAAUCCUUAUUGGAUUCUAAUUGCAUUAAUUCUUCACAACUUAUUAUAAGUCAAAGGCAUCCACCAACUUACAAAUCCCACUCACCGAGCCC
rnacentral:lncRNA from 1 species